UUUUUUUUUUUUUUUUUUUUUUGAAAAUCCCACCUUUGUUUUUCUUUGAAAAAAAUCCAUGUCCACUUAUCUUAAAUUCAUUUUAUCAUUGUAUUUAUACGCAAAAUUAUGAAUGAAAUAUUAUUCUUUUACCGGACAAACUUACAACAUACAUGCAAUUUUAGCAAUUUUUUAAGCUAAUCGUGAAAGUCUUGAGUUCGUUACUUUGUAAUCUGCGUACUUGCUUGAACAAGGUCAUCGGUAGGUAAGGUACAAUUUCCAACUAGCCUUUUCCGAAUUCGAAAGAGGUAGAUGACCGUGGUUCGACACUAGUGCCCAUCUUUUUAGAAAGCAAAAAAAAAAAACUAAUCGAAUAGUGUGUCAUGUGUUUUGUUAGACAUAAUAAUGUGAUUAGUUUAAAAAUUGUCACAAUGACAUCCUCAUUUGAUGUCAUAUCAAAAUCACCAACUAACAAAGAAUUAAUCCUUUGUUCUUUUGCUAUCGAGAAAAAUCCCUCUCCCUAAUUACAGUAAUUGACCAACUGAGCAAGAAUGUUAAUCCAUAAGUCAAUCCCUUGAUUUUUAAACCAGAAAAAUAUUAACAAUCUAGAAUUGUACAUAAAUAUUUCAACACUAAAGCAGCUCAAUGUGUAAUAUUACAGUAUACAAUUCAACUAUAUGAUCAAAGUCUUGGCCAACUCCUGGUGGGAAGUUAAAAAAGUGGCCGCCAUUUGAUCAUUCAACUUGGUUAAAAUAUAUUAUAGGGUAAAUUACAUAAAACUACCUUAAUUAUUAGUCGAACCAUAGUUUCAUACCUCAUGGUUUAAACAUUGCAAUAUCAUACCUCAAUAUAUGUAUUCGUUACAAUGUCAGACCUCCAUUAAAUUUUCUGUCAAUUUAGUUGUUAAAUUAUGACGUGGUAGGAGUGGGACCCACUCAUUUGCCACCUUGAAUAAAAAAUUAAUUAAUUAAUAAUAAAUUACUAAUUCUUAUUUCACAAUUAAACUUAAUUUAAAAAAAAAAAAAAAAAAAAACUCUCUUCAUUUCCCCCCCUGCUCCGUCCCCCUUCUUCCUUGUCCAUCUGCCGCCUUCGAGUCCACCGAUUCGGACCAGCGAGUUCGUCAUAUCAGAUCGGCACAUAAUCAAUCUGUUCGACGGAAAAGAUCCGGUGUUUUGACUCCCUCCCUGGUUCUUGUGGAGGUUGCAACGAAAUGAUCUGGCUACGACGUCGGCGAGCACAUACAUGUCUUCUUCGGCAUCAAAAUCGGUCCGGUUUUCUUUGAAACGGCAGUGGAUCGAUUCGAAUGAUGGUUGAUGGAGAACCGAACGGACGGAGACGGAAAUGAGAAGGUGUAGAGGUUGACACGCAUCGGGGAAGCGAAUCUGUAGCAGUGGUGGUAACCCAGAAAAUGGGAAAAAAAAAGGGGAAAGAAAAAUAAAAAAAAUUGGACUGUAAUGAACUUCCAUUCUUCAAUUAAUAUUAUGGAGGAUUUCGAAAAUCCGGAGUUAUGGGUGAAUUUUCAAAUGGCCACUUCUUGAAUUUUUGAAAUUUUAAUUUCUCUAGUUUAAAAAAAAAUUAAUUUCUCUAACUUCUUGAAUUUUCUGGGUUUGUAUUUGUGUUUUUCCUUUUGGGUUUUGUUUUUGUGGGGUUCUUCGUUUUGGCUUUCUGGAACUCUCCCUUUGCAAUUUCGUUUGGUGGUUUUUCUUAGAAAAAUGGUGAAGAAGAAGAAAUUGAAGAAAUGGCAGUGGGGCGAAAGCCCCAGUCGGUGAUGGGAUUUGAAGAGAGGGAAAAUGAAAGGGGGAUGGUUUCUAAUGCUCAGUUGUGCGAAAUCUUAGUGAACUAGUUGUGCGAAAUCUUAGUGAACUUAUGAUGAAGAAAUCAAAUUAGUUUUAUGUAAAGACUGUUGGAGCAAGAUGAUUUGGGUCUGGUUUUUUGUUUGCCAUCAAAACCCCCUUAUUUGGGGUCUGGUUUUGGUUUGCCAUCGAAACCCACCUGCGUUUUGCGAUCGGCGGUGUAUCAGUUGUUCCCGGAGGAGGACGAAAAUUGGCUGUGUUUAAGGAGGACGAGGAAGAAGGAGAGCGGAGGAAGGAGUGAUGGGAGGAGGAACGGGGACGAUUUCCACAGAACAAGGAGGAGAGGUAUUUUUUUUUAAUUUUUAAACUUAAUUUUAAUUGUCAAAUAAAAAAUUAUUAAUUUAUUAAUUUUUUAUUCAAGUUGGCAAAAAAGUGGGUCUCGUUCUGUCAUGUCAUCAUUUAAAACAUAAGGUAUGAAAUUGUGAUUCCACUAAUAAUUGAGCUAGUUUUUGUAAUUUAUCCUAUACUAACCUUCAUGCACGUGCUCAAGCGCGUGCAUAAGGCAUUUUUUGAAUCACAGCGUGUUACGUGUAACUUACAUGUUUUAAAUAUAUUUAUAUACGUAAAUUGACAAAAGGAAAGUCAAAUAUUUUAAGUAAAUGAAUAAUCUUCGAUUAUGCUAGAAGAAACCUCUCAUAAACCAAUUAAAGCAGCUGAAUUCACAUAAUAAAAUCAAUCUCUAUUGAAUUUAUAUUAAGAAUAGAGAAAAUAAUAUAUUAAUAAACAAUUGAUUGAAUCACAUUAUUGCUGGUUCAUUGUGAGGCUAAGCCCAUCCCUCCCCCUUAGUGUAGAUAAUAUCAUUUGUUAAAAAAAAAUCAUUUGACAAUUAAUUUAAUCACAUUAUUACCUCGAAAAACCUUUUUGAUAACCGGCAUUACACGUUUCUUAAGAUGUUUUGAACGUGUUUAAAAUAGAGAAAAUAAUAUUUAAUGAACAACCGAAUUACAUUUGUUAGCCAAUUGUGAGGUACUAAUUAUUUAAAAAAAGAAAAAAAACUGUACAAAAAAUUUAAUUAUUAAAAAAACAUUACUAAAAUGACGAAAAUACUCUUGCUAUAUUUGAUGUAUUAUUUUGAAUUGCUUUUGAAGUUUUUUGUUUGAGGGGCAUUUUUGUCUAAUUAUUUUUAUGUGAAGCUUGUGACAUUAAAAAAUAAUGUUCAUUGUCCCUUGGCUUUAUAUAAUAUAUAAAGAUUAUAUAUGUAUACGUUGUCAAUAUAUGACUAAAAUCUAAUGAUCUUCUUCUUCUUACAUGCAAUGCAUGAUUCAGCCAGUCGGAAUAUAAGUGUUGGUCGUUUAUGUUCACGCCGUCGAGGAGAGCAAGUUCUGCACAUGUACAAUAUGAAGAUUAAGUUGAUGAUGAGGAUACUAUUACUCUGCUUCCUCAGCUACUUCUGGUUUCAGCUGUCCUUUGCUCAAAAUGCUACCACUGAUCCAUCUGAAGGUUCUGUCUCUAUCUCCCUACACACACAUUCUUUGCCACAUUUAAGUGUUUUUUACCAGGAACUGGGCUUUUUUUUCCUUCAACAAAAUGAUAUUUUAAGUGUUUUUCGAUUAUAUGAAAUGAAGUUUCGAGGAACUUAUUUGUAAAGCCCUUUCUCUUCCCAUAUACAAAACAUCCACAAAUUAAGGGUAAUUUUCCUCUGUAAUAAUCAAUUUGAUCUCUCGUUUGAUUCGAGAUAGUCUGGUAAGUGGUAACACAAGUCAAAUUAUGGUGAUAUAAUCUAAUACACACAAGGAUUGAAUUAAUAUGGUGAUAUAAUCUAAUACACACAAGGACUGAAUUAAUUAACUGAGAGUGCAGUGAGGGCGUUGAACUCAAUAUUUGAACAAUGGGACACACAAGUAGUGUCGGGGCAUGGGAAUAUCAGUGGAGAACCCUGCAGUGGAUCUGCCAUCGAUGGCACCGACAUUGAUAGCCCCAAUAUCAACCAACUGUAUGUUAAACUACUCUCUCCUGAUGAACAAGAUUUCCAUGCCACUGCUGAUUUUUCACUUGCUACCUAUAUAUAUUAACGUCAUAAUUUGACUGUGUCGCUCCAUUUUCUGUAGUUCUAAAUGUUCAAUCUUUUUGCUUUCCAGGAGAGCCUAUGCCCUUAACAUUCGAGGGGUGUUUCCAGAAGAAUUUGUGGCUCUAAGAUAUCUCACAUAUUUGUAUGAUUUUUUUUCAACUCCCUUCUCUGUUUUUGGUUCAUCAAAAUCAUAUAUUGGAUAUUAAAAAUUGUAGAAUUAUCAGAGAGACGGGCCAAAAAUUCACUUCCAACAACACUGGUACUAUCUUUAACUUGGUAAUUACCACAUGCACAAUUUUUGGUAAUAUCCAACUGAUUGUGCAUGUGGUAAUUACCAAGUUAAAGAUAGUACCAGUGUUGUUGGAAGUGAAUUUUUGGCCCGUCUCUCUGAUAAUUCUACAAUUUUUAAUAUCCAAUAUAUGAUUUUGAUGAACCAAAAACAGAGAAGGGAGUUGAAAAAAAAUCAUACAAAUAUGUGAGAUAUCUUAGAGCCACAAAUUCUUCUGGAAACACCCCUCGAAUGUUAAGGGCAUAGGCUCUCCUGGAAAGCAAAAAGAUUGAACAUUUAGAACUAAUGCCGAGACCUUUUAAAGGUAUGGGGUUUAUCUCAAAAGGUCUCGGCAUUAGUUGGAGUGAGAUUUGGAUAUUUAAACUCUUCUUUCUUUAUUUCUCUAGCCGAUGUGGGAGUUCAACAAAAAUAUGGUGAUGUUGUAAGAUUAAGAGUUAACGAUUACACUUCCUUUCAAUUUUUGUAGGAGUAUCGACCAUAAUUAUUUCACCGGUCCCCUACCGGCAUUCAUUGGCAAUAUGUCUGCAUUGACUGAAUUGUAAGUAGUGAGAGAACAUUUCUUUAAGUAGACUGAAUUGUAAGUAGUGAGAGAACAUUUCUUUAAGUACACAUACUUCUGAUGAGACCCGUAGCAAUUUGUAUACUUCAUUUUGAAUAUCAUGAUCUACAGUUAUGUUCUUUACACCUUUUCGCUACUAUUUAUGCCGAUAAUCUACAAAAAAUCAUUAUGCUUUUAUUGAAUAAUGCAGUACUAGUUUCCUGUUAUGUAAUGUUUAAGUUUAAUGGUGCUUAUCCUUCACUAACUGAUAUCUCCAUUCAGGUCAAUUGGCGUCAAUUCAUUCUCUGGGCCCAUCCCCAAGGAGCUUGGAAACCUUAAGGAGCUAAAUGUGCUGUAAGCCAUGAAAAAUGAUAGCUUACAGUAAAAUUUUGUGUCAUAAACAUUAGAUACAGAACCUUCAAUAAUUGCUUUCAAGUAAGUGUUUGCCUGUUCAACAUGACUUGCAGGAAGAUCGGAUCAAAUUUCUUCUCUGGAACACUCCCUCCAGAACUUGGUAAUUUAGUCAAGCUCGAGGAAAUGUAAGUGCUUCGUUAAUCUACAAAAAAUCAUUAUGCUUUUAUUGAAUAAUGCAGCAUUAGUUUCCGGUUAUGUAAUGUUUAAGUUUAAUGGUGCUUAUUUUUCACUAACUGAUAUCUCCAUUCAGGUCAGUGGGCAUCAAUUCAUUAUCUGGGCCCAUCCCCAAGGAGCUUGGAAACCUAAAGGAGCUAACUGUGCUGUAAGCCUUGAAAAAUGAGAAAGUGUACAGUAAAAUUGUGUCAUAAGCAUUAGAUACAGAACCUUCAAUAACUGCUUUCAAGUAAGUGUUUGCCUGUUCAACAUGACUUGCAGGAGCCUUGGAACAAAUAAUUUCUCCGGAACACUCCCUCCAGAACUUGGUAAUUUAGUCAAGCUCGAGUACCAGUAAGUGCUUCGUUAAAUCAUCAAAUUUGAAUUACAUGUUAAUUCCUUACGGAUGAGCAAAAAUUGCACUUUAUCGUAUGAAAUGGGUACUCAUCAAUUGCCUUAUGAUUUUCACAGUUACAUUGACAGCUGUGGACUCAGUGGUGAAAUUCCUUCAACAUUUGCCAAGCUCACCAACAUGCAAACCCUGUAAGAACGGCUCUUAAAUCGUAUUUUAUAUUUGUUCGUAUAUCCAGUACUUUGAGAUUGCUUUUCUUGGAUGAGCUUAGUAUAAGUCAACUUUUUGAAUUUUAGCUGGGCAUCGGACAGUCCGUACUCAGGAAAGAUACCUGAUUUCAUAGGGAAUUGGACACAACUCAUUGAGUUGUAAGUAGAGAAACCUUUUAUGAAAGCAGACCUGAGGUGGAUAAUUUGUUCACAAGCUUCUUAUAUGUUUCUGUAGGCAAUUUCAAGGGAACUCUUUCGAAGGCCCAAUACCAACCAACUUUUCUCAACUGACCUCAUUGAAGUCUCUAACUGACCUCAUUGAAGUCUCUGUAAGUACAAAUGUUUCAUAAAUUGUAAUUCUCUCUCUCUUUCUCCGAAGACAGGAUUUCAGUUUAUUUUGCAUAUACUGAUGUAGGCGAAUCAGUGAUAUAUACAAUGGGAGCUCCUCUCUUGAUUUCAUAAAAAAAUGGACAAGCUUGACUGAAUUGUAAGUGAAGAUUCUCAUCAAUCCAGAUACUUUCAUCUAACUUCUUUUUCCUUUUGAAAUUUGAUAUCGUACUCCAUCUACUUUUUAUCAAAUUUUAUGUUUUUGGAAUACAGAAAACUACGAAAUGCAUUAAUCACUGGUACCAUCCCAUCUGAUAUUGGAGAAUAUCAAAGUCUACAGACUCUGUACGUACCAGCAAAUAUAAGCUUGAGUCCCAACGAGACCAAUUAGUUUUCUUUCUUUCUGAUUGCUCCUCUCAACUUACCGUUGGUGUUGCAGGGAUCUGAGUUUCAACAAUUUGACAGGCCAACUCCCAAGUUCUUUGUUCACCAUGAGUGCUCUUACAUCCUUGUAAUCCCCGUCUUUAUUAUUAUCUUUUUCUUGCCUUAUCAUACAUUCCCUACUUUGAUUGAAGAUCUGGACUAAUCCUUCUACAUUUUGUGCACAUCUGACCUUUUGUUUGUUCAUCUUUUUUUCUUUUCUGGAUGCCUUCUACUAUAAUCGAAAUGGCCAGGUUUCUUGGAAACAAUAGUCUCUCCGGACCUCUUCCAAGUGAAAAAAACAGUCAACUUCAGACUAUGUAAGUCCUCGUUUCUUGAAGUAGUCAUAUAGAAUGCACGGUGCAUGUAUGUGUUUUGUGUAUAAUCGUAAGCAUUCUAAUCCUAUCUUACACAAGUUCUUAAUAACUUUCAUGCAUUUUGUGUAAUCUGUUUCUAUUUUGUUAUUUGCAGAGAUUUAUCUUACAAUUUUUUAUUAGGAAGCUUUCCUGAGUGGGGGACCAAAACAUCGCAAUUGUUCGUGUCCUUUUAUCUUUCACCUUCAUUUUACAGUUUAAAUCACCAGAAUAUGUUCGGACAAAAAAUUAUCACUGAGAUUCGUUUUCACCGUGCUACUUGCCUGCCUACUAAGUUUUGAUCUUGUACAUGGAAUUUUCCUUUGAUAAAGAUAUAUUUCUUCAUAUGUUGAUUGAUUAAUGAUUUUUUGCAGGAACUUAGCGGUCAACAACUUCACAUUUGACAGUUCAAACAUAGCGUGAGUUGAAGUUUCUCUUACUCGUUUUAGACAAGCAAUACUAUCACUACUCUUCCACUACAUGAUUCUAUUUGGAUAACUAAUAAUUGUUCUCUGUGUUUGUAGUCUUCCUGGAUUGAAUUGCCUUCAGAGAAAUUUUCCAUGCAAUCAAAAUACCCCACGAUGUAAUCUGCUCUUAUGUCACCCAUCAUUUACUAUUUUAGCGCAACAUCAUGUUAGAGGAAAAGGCAUUGCUUCUCUAGUUAUGUAUACAUAUGGAUAUAGAUUGCAAGCAUGUUCAUAAGUUCAGUAAUACGCAUAACUGGCUAAAAAUAUGAGUCUUCAAUUUGACGUUUCAUCGCUAAUCAUGGCUAGCUUCUGGCAUUACAUGAAACUUUACAGAUGCAAACUUCUCAAUCAAGUGUGGUGGAAAACAAAUGACGGGAAGUGAUGGCAUAUUGUAUGAGACUGAAGACUCAGCUCUUGGCCCAGCAACAUUCAGUAUAACCAGUACAUGGAAAUGGGCUGUCAGCAAUGCCGGUUUGUUUUCUGACAGAAAGGACCCAUCGUUUCUGGUAAAUGCCGAUGCACAAGUCACCGGAACAGAUGUGACCCCAGAGCUUUUCCAGACUUCAAGAAUGUCCCCAGGAUCACUGAGAUACUAUGGCCUGGGCCUUGAGAAUGGGCCUUACACUGUAACAUUGCACUUUGCAGAGACGGUUUAUGAAAAUCACACUUCGCAAAAAUGGGAAAGUCUAGGACGGCGUGUAUUUGAUAUCUAUAUUCAGGUAAAACUACUUAUAGAAUAAAAAUUCUAACUUAUUUGAAGUAAACACUCAUUGGACAGGUUUUCGAUGUUUUAAGCUACAUUAACUAAAGACAGUGAUUUAAAGGAGAUUAGAACUAUCACCUACCUCUUCAUUUGGUUGCAAGGGUACCCGCAGGACGAAGGAUUUUGACAUAUCGAAAGAGGCAGGUGGGGUUAGCCGUGCAGUUGUGAGAAGAUUCAAUGUUAGCGUGUCAGAGAAUUAUCUUGAAAUUCAUCUGUUCUGGGCUGGUAAAGGGACUUGUUGCAUACCCAAACAAGGUGAUUAUGGCCCACUAAUAGCAGCUGUCCAUGUUGCUUCAGGUAUAUUGUGUUUACUUAUAGAGAUUUCCUGUGAAUGGUUUAAAUAUAUUUUCUGUUGUUCAUUUACACUGAAGAAUUUCUCUUUUAUCGCUCAGAUUUUACACCAACAGUUUCCGAGCUUCCACCAACUACUCCAGGAAAGAAGAGCAGGACUGGGUUGAUAGUCGGCAUUGCAAUUCCUGUUGGAGUUGCGAGCUUGCUAUUAAUAUUUGCGAUUCUAUAUAUGAGGAGGAAAAAAUCAAAAAAAGAGGAUGAUGAAGGUAAACGACUAUAUUGCGAUUCUAUACAUAAGUUUCUCUGCUCUAACAUUAACACACAGAAGUAAGAAUGCUUUCACGAAAGUAAAACUUAUGUCAUACUGUUUCGUGUAUGUGCAGAUAUUUUAGGAUUAGGCCUCCGGUCAUAUACUUUCAGUUAUGCUGAAUUGAGAGCUGCAACUGAAGAUUUUAAUCCUUCAAAUAAGCUAGGAGAGGGGAGGAUAUGGCUCUGUUUAUAAGGUGAAAUCCGUAUUACAUCAAUAUCAUGUACUUGAAGUAAUGACAAGGGAAAAGAGAGAGAGCGAGUGAGCAAGAGAAGAAAAUAUAGCUUUUUUUUUUGUUAAAUUACACAGUAGCCUCUCAGGUUUUGAGGUCUAUUACAACUCCACACAACAACUUUAAAACAUUUCACUUUCAUACCUCAAGUACUAUUUUAUUUCAAUAUAAUACAUCCGUUAGAUUUUCCAUCCAUUAAUCCGUUAAAUGCUGACGUGGCUACCACAUUUGUGCCACGUGGCUGCCAAAUGUUUGCCACGUGGCAAAUAAAAUAUUUUUUUAAUUUUUUUUAAAUCCUGAAUUUUCUCAACAAAAAAAAAAAACCCCAGAUCUGCAAGAAGAAGAAUAAUAGGGAGGAAGAAAGAAAAAGAAAAAAAAAUUGUCCUCCCCCCCCUAGCGACCUAGAAGAAGAAGAAGAAGAAGAAGAAGAAGAAGAGGGAGGAAAGUGUAAUUUACCUUUUUUUUUCUUUCCUUUCACGUCACUAAAUUGUGUUUCUGUGUACAUUGUAGGGUACACUUUCUGAUGGUAGAGUGGCUGUGAAGCAACUUUCAGUAUCAUCUCACCAAGGGAAGAGUCAAUUUGUAUCUGAAAUUGCUACCAUAUCUGCUGUGCAGCAUCGGAAUCUAGUGAAAUUGUAUGGAUGCUGCAUCGAAGGCAGCCAACGCAUUUUGGUUUAUGAGUAUCUUGAAAACAAGAGCCUUGAUCAGGCACUUUUUGGUACAAACCUAUCUACAAUUAGGUUUCAUAGAAACAACAUUUUCUACAGUUUCAAGCACUCUAAAAUUACUUAAAAAAUGUUUUUGAUUGGAUGUGUUCACUAAUAUUUCAGGGACAAGUAACUUGCACCUUAGCUGGCCUACUCGAUUCAAUAUAUUGUUGGGAAUAGCAAGAGGACUUGCUUACCUCCAUGAGGAGUCAAGGCCAAGGAUUGUACAUCGAGAUGUCAAAGCCAGUAAUAUUUUGCUCGACGCAGAACUCUCCCCAAAAAUAUCAGAUUUUGGAUUGGCAAAGCUUUAUGAUGACGAGAAAACCCACAUCAGCACCCGGGUUGCAGGGACAAUGUAAGCCAUCCUUUAUUGUUUUUCUAUAGGUUACAUAUAUUAUAGCCACACACAUUUAUACUUGCAUGAAAUUUUAAUACACAUCAUGUUAAUAAUGCCACUAAUGAUCUCAGGAAACAUUGUACAACCAUUUGAUUAUCUUGCAUUGCAGAGGCUAUUUGGCACCAGAGUAUGCAAUGCGUGGACAUUUGACAGAGAAGGCUGAUGUGUUUGGUUUUGGAGUCGUUGCUUUGGAGAUCCUCAGCGGGAGACCAAACUCUGACAAUAACUUAGAUCCAGAAAAGAUUUAUCUUCUUGAAUGGGUAGGAAUUGCAUUCCCCUAGCUUUAUUUUGGCAUUGUUGUGAAAAACUUAUUCACCCUUUUUCUUGGACCAUGGCAUAAUGUUUUUCAGACAUGGACUCUACAUGAAAACGACCAAAUUCUGGGGCUCGUGGAUCCGAGAUUGACAGAAUUUGACAAAACUGAAGGGACUAGACUGAUAAGAGCAGCUCUCCUGUGCACGCAGGCAUCACCGAUGAUGAGGCCAUCUAUGUCACGCGUGGUGGCAAUGCUCUCUGGAGAUAUUGACAUAGGCACUGUCAUGUCGAAGCCGAGCUAUUUGACAGAUUAUGAUUUUAAAGAUGUAACGACAUUGUCAAAAAGUAGCUUUUUGAUGAAGGAUGAUACCCCAUCAACUGCAUCCAAGCAUAGUAAUGACCGCCUCAACUAUCAGCCCGAAGGUAGCAAUGCAAGUGGUACUAAAACCCUCUGGGUUGACCCUGCGCCUUCUCCAGUAAACGUCACUCAGUCACUGCUUGCUGGCAUUAGAGGAGAAGGAAGGUGAUAAAUAAUGAUUUCCGCAUGCUUUUUUUUAUCCUUUUGUGCACCCAUGUACUUGUCCUUGGGUAUUUUCUGCCUCUAAGGUUUUGGCUAUGAUGAUGUAUAACUAAAAUAAGAUAUGAUUUUAUAGAUAUUUGAGUCAAACUUACAUGUCAAUUUUGUGUUAGUAUGUUGCAGUGUAAAUCUCCUCUUUUAAUCAAGAGGAAAAAAAUGGAUGUUUCUUUUUCUAUAGUUGGUGCUAUUCACACUCCCAUUUUAACUUCUCACACAUUUUUUUUGGUAAUUUUUGUUUUUUGGUAAAUUUUAAUUCAUUUGAUCCGAUGGUGAAAAUUGAGAAGAGUGAGUGGAGGUAAAAAUAGGUGUGAAUAGCACCACCUUUUCUAUCUGAUAGCCAAGUACGUAUAAUCAAACAUAAGCAACCUUAGUAUUUUUUAUUUUUUUUUGAAAACCUUGGCAGGAUGAGGUAAAUUUAUUGAUAGGAAAAAAGAAGUUAUACCUAGUCAGGAGGGGACAUAAACCUUACCCCCUCAUAGAACAAGAAAAACAAAAUACAAAGAGGGGGGACGUAUACCUUACCCCUUUUGAAAAAGAAAAUACAAGAAAAAGAGGGGGGAGGGGGGACAUAGACCAUAUCCCUUUUGAAAAAGAAAAUACAAGAAAAAGAUUGAGUGGACAUAUACCUAAACCCUUCUAUAAACCUUAAAAGGUAUGAACCUGCAAGACAAGCUGCAAAACGAAAAAGGAAAUCCAAAAAAUUACGUUAAAAAGGGAAAUCACACAUCAAGAAGGGAAGACAAACUUGUAGGCUGGCAUGCCCAAGAAGUCAAAGUGCAGAAGAGGAAGAAUCUCUAUAGGAGGAGCGGAAUGCCAAACAAGUGAAGAUAAGAGAAGCCCUAAAUUGGUUAUUUUGUCAGCAACGACAUUCCCUUCUCGAAAUGUAUGAGAGCAACGGAAAACCAUGUUUUGCAAACGAAGAAUACAAUUGUCCCAGCGUGUCUGGAGCGACCAAGGAGGAGAGAAGGAUCCAGAAGCAAAAUAGGAUAUCACACUAGAAGAGUCACUUUCAAGCCAUAAAUUUUGCCAACCCCACGCAUGAGCCAAUUCCACAGCAAGGAUGACAACAUGGAGAUCCGCAUAGAAAGAAGCACGAUGCCCCAAGCUUAGGGAGAAACCACCAAGAAAAUAUCCCGCAAAAUCUCUGAAAACCCCGCACAAGCCGCAGGACCCGGGUUACCUUUAGCAAGGCCAUCAUUAUUCACUUUGACCCAAGAAAAAGGAGGGGAGUGCCAAAUAACAUGGACUAUAAAAGGAGCUUUACAAGACUUAGCCGAGAUUCCAAGAGAGACUAAAAGUUGCCUAUCCAAAAUGCCUCGUACAUGACCAGGGGUGAGAACUCUAACUUGCCUAAUCCAGGUCAAGGUGGAACGACAUGAGUUAUUGUCAAUUGUUGAUUGAUUAUGGGGUCACCCUAAUGUGACUCUUUGGUAGGGUUUUUGCAUAAGCCAACUUUUUUACAUGAGUGAUUGUUAAUUGUUGGUCGAUCAGCGUCACCUGAAGAAAUUCUUUGGUUAAAUUGCUAUGCAAAUGUCACCUUUCUCACAUGAGUGGUCUCAACGGUGGGGCCGGGUAAAACCAAAAUCCAGGGAAGUUCAUGCUCACCAAAGCAAAUCUCAGUAGAAAAAUAACCUCGGAUCAAUAAAAAAUUCCAAAGCAAGAUCAACCCGUUUAAGGCUAUGGUGCUCGUCUAGUUGUCUUUGUGCCUUUUUUCUAUACAUUUGGAAGCAUAUUCGUGCGUGAAACUGCCAGUGCCAGAUCACUUGAGGCAACAAAUCCAGGCCCCACAUUUUAUUCGUUUCUAUUGCCCCCACCCCCACUGAAAGUGACCGUUAGAAUUUGAACGUUAUAAGCCUACCGUUUUCCAGUCCCACUUUUUUAAUUCUUGUCGCUCACUUCGCUCUUCUGGACAGAAUCAGAAACCCCCAGAUCAUCAUACUUCACUCUACAAAAGUAUUAAUUACAUGUACACACACACACACUUAUUAGCAGCAUAUAUACACCUAUAUAUAAAUACUCUUAGUCUCAUCAUAACUCAAAGAAAUGAAAGCUUUGGAGAAGUGAAAGUAGUAGCAGAAACUAGAAGAAGAAAGGGAGAUCUUUGUCUCACCCAAGAAGCUGAAGUUGCUGCCUGUCAAGAAGUGUUUGUAUGUGGUCAAGGCAAGCACCUUCUUGACCAUCUUAUCUGGCUUCAAAUUCGCAUUCACUGCUUCUUCUAAAAUCACAUCGAACACCUUCCCGAAAUCAGCCGUCCAGUCCUGGCUUUUGAUCAAAGUCUGCAUAUAUUUGGUAUUCGAAUUAAGAUCCUAGCCUUGUAUCGAAUGCAGCUGCAGGUUUUUGCUUUAGGUGACCACAUUUCCCUUCCAUGGCUCGUCACUCAAUUGAGGCAACAAAAGCCCCAAAGCCAAACCCGCCGACAAGGAGUUGUCGACAUCACACACAGCCAACCAAUUCUUCAGCUUCCCCUGCUUUAAGUAGACCUUCACCAUUUUCUUCCACUUAACAUCAGCAUCUUGCUCGAGCUCGGGAUACAUGACAUAGCUUAAUAUGUCAUGCGGAAGCAGCGCGGCAUCUCCAGGAUCAAUCUCAUUGGCUGCAGCUAGUUGCCUUCGCUUGGACUCCGCUCUAUAACCCCACCGGUUGGCAGGUUCCCAGCCCUCUGGCGCCUUAGUUUUUCUCAAGGGCGACAAAACCUCCUUCCUCAGUCGGUAAUUACAACAAACACUACCGUCCCCUUCUCGGCGGCAUGAUUCUGGCGGGAAAACCUUCCUUGCUAUGUUUUUGAACAGCAUAUGAUGAUCAGCGGUGGUAGGCAAAGAGGUAGCCGAUUGGGUAAUCUCCAAGCAGUAAUCAUCAUGACGGUCAUGGUCAUGAUCCUUGUGAUGAUGAAAUUUUUCAAUAUCAGACUUGAGGCACUGGGCGAAAAUAUCCAAAACACAGCCGUGCAAGAAGCGGUAAUCAGCGUCGCGCUCUUAUCUCUGAGCCGCCUUGUUGGCCGUGUGGAUCCCCUUCCUCCUCAACAACAAUUCGCUUGCCUUUGACUUGGCGUCCUUUUCCUUUACCUUCACCAUUCCGUUUGAAUCCGCCUCCUCCCUCGUCCUCCCAGUAAAUUUCAAGUGAGCUUCGCCCCGUAGAACCUGCGAGAGAAUGCAGGGAAGGUCUAGGAUAUGUCCGAAGGAGCCGGAAAUUGGCACGAGAUUGUAAGCAAGGGUUUUGGGGUGGUUCUGGUGGAGACAACCGCCGCCGUGAAGAAAGCUGUCUUGGUUGCGUUUUCCAUCGUCGCCGCGUCUGUGUAUGAAGUUCCAGAUGAGGGAAGCACUUGGUUCAUCAGAGUUUCGUGGAAUUCCACGGUCGACAUGGCGUCCUGUCCCUUGGCGCAGUGGAAGUACAUAUCAACGCAAGGGUUGUUGUGGAAGCGUAACUGGGGCUGUUGUUUGAAGUUGAACUGCUCGGGCGGCGGCGGAGGGGGCGGAGGCGGAGCAAUUCUUGUGAAUUGCGGCCAAACGGCCUUGUUUCGGCAUGCUUCCAGAAUCGAUAUCAUGUUCACUCGCAGCACGGGCUUCGUCAUCAUCGUUUUCAUCGCAGCAGCUCAAAUUCGAAUUGAAUAAAUUAGUUGUAUAGUUACUCUCUUUGCUUUCCCGAUGAAUUUCUCUCUUCUUAUAUUUCUCUGUUUGCUUGGGAACCAAGGAUUAGUUUUCCUCAAUAUAUUCAUAUGAUUAGGUUUCCUAAAACAAAAAAAAUAUGAUUAGGAUUUUCGAUUAUAUGCACCAAUUUUUACACCGUCGAUUUCCUUAGACUUUUGACCAAAUAAAAAAAGCAACGAUCUUAAUCAUCUAUUGUCUAACAAAUAUUAUACACCGAAACAUAAUAAAAUUUUCUACAAAAUUUAAUCUACCUAUCAUUUAUAAAAAUAAUUCAAAUAUUUUUUUUAGGGGUGUGAUAUCCACACAUCCCUUUUUACUUCUCCCACACAUUUUUGGUUUUCAGCCGUCGGAUCGGAUGAAUUAAAGAAGAUCAACAGACAUAAAUUAACAAAGGAUGUGUAAGAAGUAAAAAGGGGUGUGUGGAUAGCACACCCCUUUUUUUAUCUUCCAUACAUUUAUAAAUUCAUAUAUAUGCUAAUAUAUAUAGUACGUACUUAUAUCAUGUUUACUCAUUUUUAAGCUUGUUGGAGAGGUGGAAACUAGGCUUGGGCACCAUGAAUUUCCUACUUGGGCUCUAGCUCCAACGCGAGAAAUCUUCUAAACAGAAAGGGCAUUUAUAAUUCAAUUCAAAUACAUAUACUUACUUUCUUUUUUUUUUUAGUGAAAAAUACUUAAAUUUACUUUGAUUUAGCAUACCAAAAUUUUCCUUGACUUGAUAGAGACGAAUUAAAACUUGGGUGUACAAAAAAAGGCACAUUGAUGUGAUCUACUGACCUCAAAUGACUAGCAUCAUACAAUUACACGUCGUAGGUCCAAUAGUUAGAAGUGAUGAGGCCAACUAGCUUAGUUUUAUGUUUUGACUAGUUAUUUUCGGUUUAAGUUGAGCUAGUCCAAUAGUUAAAAGUGAUGAGGCCAACUAGCUUAGUUUUAUGUUUUGACUAGUUCUUUUCGGUUUAAGUUGAGCUAGUCUUGCAUGUAUGUUUCUUGGAUACAACUAGGUUUUUUGACACUUCCCGAUCCCGAUAUUCCACGAACACCAAGAUAGGCAUGUGUUAGCCGACACCCAAGCGUGACGAAAACCAUUUAUUGAAUGCAAAUGCUGAGAAUAAGGAAUAAAUAAGACUUAUAAAUUUAAAUAUAAUGAAUAUGCAUUUAAGGAACGUGUACAACUAACUAGAAUACUAAAAGAAAUAAUAUAAAAUUGAAUGAAUAAAAGAAUGGGUCCUACACCGAGAGGACUCGAAGAUGCCGAUGCGAAAGUGCCUUGACGCCAGAAUUGUAUACCUGGAUUCUAAGUCCUAAAGGGGGCACAAAACAAACGUGAGUGGACCAAGUUGAUAUAUAUAUAUAUAUAUAUAGUAAAACAAUUAUCAACAUUGUUAAAAUGCAUGAAAUAAACAUGUUGGAAUAAUGGUGAAAUUAGGCUAGUCAACUUUCUUGUUCAAAGUUAGGCAAGUUAGGUUAGUCAAGCAAGAUAGGUAAGUUAGGCAAAAUUAGGCUUAUGAUCUUUUUCUUCCCUAUAUAUAUGUUUCAUCUUGUAAUUGUUUCAUCAAGCAAAUAUUCAUCAAAAUUCAAUAUGGUAUCAGAGCUGUGAUCUGGGAAAAACCACAAAACACAGCUCUAAAGCAGCCACGAGGUCAACCAUUCUAGGCAUGGCCUCUCAUUCAAAAUGGGAAAAUCCCAACCACCCGCUCUAUCUCCACCACUCGGAUCAACCUGGUGCAAUCCUCGUACCACAACCAUUGGUGGAAGACAACUACAACACAUGGGUUCAAUCCAUGAGUAUGGCUUUAACGAUCAAGAACAAACUUGGUUUUGUUGAUGGAACGAUCAACAAACCAAGUGAGGAUAAUUUUGAGGAGCUGCAGCAAUGGAAUCGCUGCAACAACUUGGUCAAGACAUGGUUACUAGGCUCCAUGUCAAAGGAGAUUUCAGGGAGUGUCAUCAACUACAAGGAUGCUCGACAAAUGUGGACCGAUCUGCAGGAGAGGUUCUCACAUGUGAAUAUAGUUCAGCUGUUCCAUGUUGAGAACGAGAUCCAUGAUUGUGUCCAAAGCAAUAUGAGUGUAAGUUCUUACUUCACUAAACUUAAAAGUUUAUGGGAUGAACGUGAUACUUUGUGUUCCAUUCCAGCAUGCAGUUGUGGAACAAAGAAUGAGAUGAACUCAUAUGUUGAAACUCAGAAAACCAUGAAGUUCCUUAUGGGACUGAACGAAUCGUAUGCUACGGUUCGAAGCAAUACUCUUCUUCUCGAACCACUGCCUACGGUGAACAAGGCAUAUGCGUUGGUCCUUCGACAUAAACGCCAGGCAGAGGUUUCCAAUGGGAAAAGCACACAACUAGAAACUGCUGUCUUUGCAGUGAAGAAUCUGUCGCGAGAACCUACACCUGAAGACAAGGAGAUGCGAUGUGGAAAGUGCAAUAAAACCAAUCACAUCACCAAAAAUUGUCGUGCACAUCUCAAGUGCACUUUUUGCGGAUGGAAAGGCCACACGUUCGAUUUCUGUCGAAAACGGAAAGCAGCCACAGAGACCGAAUCCAAUCGUCUCUUUUCUUCAAAGGGGAAUCAAGUUUCACAAAGUAACAAGCAAGAGACAGUGCCUAAUUUCCCGUUCUCUCAGGAGGACUGCAAGCAAAUCCUUCAGAUGUUGAACAAGAACAAAUCAUCAUUUGCCAAUCAAGUCAGUAAUCUUCCUAGUCAUGAAGAACUUUCAGGUAAAGCCUUCUCCUUUUCAUGUAAAGGAACCAAAAGUAUUUGGAUCCUGGACAGUGGUGCCACAGAUCACAUAGUUUGCAGUCCUAGUCUCCUUACACACUCAUGAGCUGUUGAAAAUCAUACAGUUGAACUGCCAAAUGGUUCCGUUGCCAAAGUCACUCACAUUGGACAAGUUGUUUUCUCUCAUAAUCUUAUCCUUGAAAAUGUCCUAUGUGUGCCGUUCUUUAGGUUGAAUUUAAUAUCUAUCAGUAAACUAGCCUAUGAUUCCUUAUAUGUCACCAUUUUCUUCACCCAAUUUUGUGUCAUUCAGGACCUUCGCUCGGGGAAGAUGAUUGGGACAGGAACUGAAAGGGAUGGACUUUACUACCUCGACCCAUCAAAGAAAGGAACAUGCAACAAUAUUCAAACCGUCUCACCAAAGCUUUGGCACCAACGCCUAGGACACCCAUCUCAUAAAGUCACUUCGUUAGUACCUUUAUUUAACAAUAAGGCUUGUGAUUUGGAAAAAUGUUUAAUUUGCCUAUUGGCCAAACAAACAAGAUCACCCUUUCCUUUGAGUUCUAUUUCUACCAAAUCAUGUUUUGAAUUAUUACAUAUUGAUAUUUGGGGUGGUUAUCAAGUUGCUUCUAUUUCAGGUGCCAAGUAUUUCCUUACCAUCGUAGAUGACUACACUAGAAGCACUUGGGUUUAUUUGAUGAAACAUAAAUCUGACACAAAAGACAUUUUAGUCGGAUUCAUUCAAAUGAUUGAGACUCAAUUCAAUACCAGAGUUCAAAUCAUACGAAGUGACAAUGGCCCUGAGUUUAAGCUUGAGCAAUUUUAUGCUCUCAAAGGCAUCAUACAUCAAUCUAGUUGUGUCAACACACCACAACAAAAUGGUGUUGCCGAACGUAAACACCGGCAUUUGCUCAAUGUUGCUCGGGCUUUGCUCUUUCAAGCUUGUUUGCCAAAACGUUUUUGGGGGGAUGCAAUCUUAACCUCAGCCUACCUCAUCAAUAGAACACCCACUCCACUUCUCCAAGGUAAAACACCUUACGAAAAACUGUUUCACAAAGCACCUAACUAUUCCCAUUUAAAGGUUUUCGGUAGUUUAUGUUUUGCUUCUACACACGCCCAAAGGCCCUCUAAAUUCGACCCCCGUGCAAUCCAAUGCAUUUUUCUUGGGUAUCCUUAUGGUCAAAAGGGUUAUAAAUUGUUUGAUAUAAAACACAAUAAGACUUUUGUUUCUAGGGAUGUUGUUUUUUUUUAAGAUCAUUUUCCAUUCCAAAAUCAUACCACUUCCGCUGCCCCGUCUCCAUCAAACAUUACACCCUCACCCAUCACGUUUGACUUGACCUCUCCCAUUGAGUCGCACUCAAGCCUUGCACCCGAAGAAAUAAACAUCACCUCUCCCACACUUGCCGACAUCACACCACUCUCAUCUCCUUUACCUACUACAACUCCACCACCAGAUACCUUAUCAACACCUUCACAUACCCUACAUUCUUCACCACCUCCAACCACUCAAUCACCAGACCAACCACCUCCACUCCGUCGUAGCACUCGACCGACCAAAACUUCCACAUUUUUGCAGGACUUUCAUGUUGAGGUGGCCCUCCCUUCCCGUGUGUUGCUCCCACAUCUUCCACAAGCAUGGUUCAGUCAUCAGGUACAUCUCACCCCAUAUCUCGUUAUUUAUCUUAUGACCAUGUAUCCCCCACUCACAAAACCUUUCUCACCACCCUCACCAUUAUCAAAGAACCCACCAGUUUUUCGCAAGCUGUUCAGGAUCCAAAAUGGCGUGACGCCAUGCAAAAAGAGAUUGUUGCCCUUCAUGACAAUCGCACUUGGACUCUUGUGCCCUUACCACCUCACAAACAUCCCAUCGGUUGCAAAUGGAUCUAUAAGGUGAAGCUUAAACCUGACGGCAGUGUUGAACGCUACAAAGCUCGUCUCGUUGCUAAAGGCUACAGUCAAAUUACGGGGCUUGAUUAUCGGGAAACUUUUGCUCCGGUUGCCAAGCUCACUACUGUCCGCGUCCUCCUGAGUAUUGCCUCCAUACGAGGCUGGCAUCUUCAUCAACUUGAUGUGAACAACGCAUUUUUGCAUGGUGACUUAUACGAGGAGGUUUAUAUGUCCCUGCCUCCUGGGUUCGGACGAAAGGGGGAGACACGAGUAUGCAAAUUACACAAAUCCAUUUAUGGUUUAAAACAGGCCUCGAGACAAUGGUUUAUCAAGCUGUCUAGUGCUCUCAAGACUGCUGGUUUUCAUCAAUCAUGGUCAGAUUACUCAUUGUUCGUCCGAAACCGUCAAGGCAGUUUUAUGGCAUUACUUGUGUAUGUUGAUGACGUGAUACUUGCAGGUAACAAUUUGAGAGAAAUUGAAGAGACUAAACUCUUCCUUUCCCAACAUUUUAAACUAAAGGAUUUGGGAAAACUCAAAUACUUUUUGGGGAUAGAAGUUGCAAGAUCUAAACAAGGGAUUGCCUUGUGCCAACGCAAAUAUGCGUUGGAGAUACUAGAAGAUGCUGGGUUCCUUGGUGCGAAACCCUCACGAUUACCAAUGGAACCAAACCUGUCCCUUACACAAACUGAUGGGACGCUCCUACAUGAUCCUUCUUCAUACAGGCGACUCGUAGGGAGGCUGAUUUACUUAACCAUCACGCGGCCUGACCUGACUUAUGUAGUUAAUAUGUUGAGCCAAUUCAUGGACAAGCCACGACAACCACACCUUGAAGCGGUGCAUAAGGUUCUCAGGUACAUCAAACAAUCUCCUGGACAGGGAAUUCUUUUGCCUUCUACAGGUUCACUACAAUUACAAGCCUUUUGUGAUGCUGAUUGGGCUCGGUGUAAAGACACUAGAAGGUCAAUAACCGGUUAUUGUAUCUUCCUUGGACAAGCACCGAUAUCUUGGAAAACGAAGAAACAAAGCACAAUAUCUCGUUCUAGUGCAGAGGCAGAAUACCGUUCUAUGGCUACUACUUGUUGUGAAGUUAUAUGGCUAAGAAACAUUUUGAAGGACUUGCAAGUAAAUCAUCAUGCACAACCAGUCACAAUGUUUUUGUGAUAAUCAAGCUGCCAUGCACAUUGCUUCGAACCCAGUGUUUCAUGAACGAACGAAGCAUAUAGAGAUAGACUGUCACCUAGUACGUGAGAAGAUUCAAAUGGGAAUGGUGCAAACAGCUUACAUACGGACCUCGAAUCAACCUGCAGACUUGUUCACCAAACCACUAAGCUCGGCACAAUUUGAGGUCUUAAUUAGCAAGUUGGGUGUCAUCGACAUUCACACUCCAACUUGAGGGGGAGUGUUAAAAUGCAUGAAAUAAACAUGUUGGAAUAAUGGUGAAAUUAGGCUAGUCAACUUUCUUGUUCAAAGUUAGGCAAGUUAGGUUAGUCAAGCAAGAUAGGUAAGUUAGGCAAAAUUAGGCUUAUGAUCUUUUUCUUCCCUAUAUAUAUGUUUCAUCUUGUAAUUGUUUCAUCAAGCAAAUAUUCAUCAAAAUUCAAUAAACAUACUAACCUCCAGGUUUUAUGAAAACUCAUAUAACAUGAUAAAAAUAGGUUUUUCGAAACCUAGCAUGCCGUGCAAUGUCUCAAAACAUAACUCAUAUAUAUCGUAAUCACUAGUGAAUGUCCAAUAUCCCUCCAGGCCCCAUGCCUGCUCUGCGUCUCUGUGCCAAUUGCCAGAGGAAAAUCACCCACAGGCCCCGUGCCAGCUCCCCGUCCCUGUGCUAAUAGCCAGAGGAAAACCAUCUUUAGGCCCUAUGCCAACACCGUACCCUCGCUUGUGAUGGAAUCUAUCCCUCGUCCCGUAGCGGAAUAGGGACCACUAGGUAAGUACAACACCAUCGAACAUAUAUAUAAUUGAAAAGCAUCUUCAUAGUAUAAAGUCAUACAUCAUCUAUAUUAUAAAGAUGUGAAAUCCCGUUCCUGAAUUUCACUAUUGUAAUCUACGUAUUUCGUAUGGGCGGGAUUUAUAGUAUUUUCAUGAAUUUAAAUUAAUUCUAGAUUUUAAUUACCUAAUUACAAAGUUUGAAUUUUUGGAGUUAUAUCCGUAGACCUUCAAGGGUCACUUUUAAUGUUUUUAAUUGGGCUUGACCUCACAAGCGCUUAAGCGAAGGCCAUAUGUGAAUCGGAUCGAGAAAGGAACUUUAUGGAUGUUUUAGAAGUUUCUUCAAAAAAUAAAAAAUAAAAAAUAAAAAUUGGGAACCAAUCAGGAAAAAAAAGAAAAUGAGGAAAAAAAGAAGAAGGGGGGAGUUGCGGGAGAGACAGGAGAAAAGGGGGGGAGAGGAGGAAUAGGAGGAACAAGGAGGGAGGUGGACGAAUCAGAUUUUAAAAAGGGUGAGGAGCAGCCAAUCAGGAGGAGAGCAAGGAGGGGGAAGGAGAGACCCGAGUUGGGUCGUUUUCGACCCGUGAACCCUCAAAUUUGACACGGCCGUAUCUCCCUCAUCCGAACUCCGUUUUGGGUGAUCUUGGUGUCCAUGGAAAGCCCUUGAUGAGUCCUACAUCUUUGUAUUGUUAGAUUUCCCAAUUUCUUUCCCAUUUUUCCUGUUCGAAGCCACAAACCCACGGGUGUUCCGGCGGCUUUAUCCCUUUUCUCGGUGGCUCCGGGAAGUUUCACCAUCCAUGACCACCACCAAAAGACUUCCUUCAACCCCAGGAACAAAGCCCAAGCAGUGUUGGAGGCGUCGGAGUUCGAUUUGAAGCCGAAUCAAAGCACACCAUUUUCUAGGGUUUUGGCGCGUUUGAGUGAAAUUGAGUUGUUUCCCAGCCUAAUUGGACUUGGACACAGUUAUAAAGUUUGCUCUACUCUUUGAGAUCUUCAUUUAUGUAAUUGUUGGUAAUUUUUAAAAAUAGUUGAAUUUUUCCGGCAAGUCGGGGCGGCCGACCGCCACCUGCAGCGGCGGCCUGGGAAGUGGGUUGAAGACGUCCCUUUAAGUUCAAAUAAAUGCCUUGGUUUCAUAAUUGAUAUUUGUAUGAUGUAAUUUGAUUGUUUGGACUUAGUUUCAUUAUGAUACCUUACUUGGUCUAAUUAUGAAUCAACAAUCUGACCGUUGGAUCGUCUCCAAACCUUACUUCGUGAUAGAACAUAAUAAUUGUGCAUCAUAGAAAAUUACAGAUCGGGAAUCCGACGUACGGAUCUUCCCUAAUUGGAUUUCUAAGUUGGUAAAAUAAAUUGUUGACCGCCACUUAAUUUUAGUAAUUGGUGAAGAUCUGACCGUCGGAUCGCGAUGGGAAUUUAGUAUGUUAUUCUAGAGGCAUAAUGUGGACUUUGGGAAGUUACGGAUCUGAAAUCCAAUGUGUGGAUCUUCCGGACUGAAUUGUGUAGAAUUGUGGACCCUACCGUUGACCGAGGGUUGACUUUUGGUCAACAUGUCUCGAAACGUUCCCAAUACUAAAAUUAGUACUACGGGAGACUUAAGUGAAGUCUAGUAGACCUAUAUUGGUUGGAGAGUGACUUGAAUAUUGUGAUAUGGUUAUUACCUUAAUUUCUUAUAUUAAUAUCAUUUGUAAACAUGCAUUGGACUUAUAAAUAAGAUUUCUAUUGAAAUGUGAUUUUUCAUAUAUUUAGCCAUAGACUUAUGUUUAUUAAACAUGAUUUGGCUUGUGUAUUGAUGAUAUGGUGAUAUAUGGAUGUUUAAUUAUUUCUAGUAAUGUGAAUGUUAAGUAUGAUAAAUUUAUGGCUAUGCGAUCUUAGAAUCCUAUUUGAAAUAUUCUGAAGAACUUAUAUGCGUGUGUGAUAUAUUAGUUGGUGGCCAUGAGAGUUGACGGUGUAGGAGACUACGUUGUAAUUCAUAGGGAUUAAUGUGAUGUAUAGAAGUGUGAGUGACUUUAAUAUAUGUGAUAUUGGUGAUUACCCUAUUUUCGUAAUUGUUAUCCUAUGUGGAUAUGACUUGGUUUUAUAAAUAUGUUUUCUAUUGAAUUGUUAUUUUUAAUCCUUAGCCAUUGAUUUAAGUUUAUGAAAUGAGAUUUGACAUGUGUAUAUUGAAAUAUGGUUUGAUUGGUUUGAUUGGCAUGUUGUGAUGAAAUGUGAGAACUAGUGGUAGACCGUUAACCCGUGGUGAUGGGGAUUUGUUGUUUUGAUAUGAUUUCAUCUUCAGCUUCGUUUAUUCGUUCUAAAUUUAGUAUUUGUGCCUUAUUUUCCUUGGUUGAGCUUUUGUAAAUUAAGUAACUUGUACUUGUCUCAUUUCUUUGAGCCAUUGUAUAUAUGGUUAUAGACAUUCCGCGAUUCCGUUGAGUGAUGGUCCGGAAUUGUAUCCACUCGGAUUCCGUUGAGAGAUGGUCCGGAAUCCCUCCUACUCCGCGAUUCCGUUGAGUGAUGGUCCAAAAUCGUAUCCACUCGGAUUCCGUUGAGUGAUGGUUCGGAAUCCCUUAUACUCUGCGAUUUCGUUAAGUGAUGUUCCGGAAUCGUAUCUGAUUUGGGUUUCAUUUAGUUGUUGUUAUACAUUGUACUUCACGAUUUCAUUGAGUGAUGGUCCGGAAUCCCUUUCUUCGGAGAAGUAGGUUUGAUUUAACUGUGUCACUUUAGCCUUCGUUUGAUUAUAUUGUGAAUAAUGGGUUUGAGAUUAUUAUGAAUUGAAGUAUAAAAGCGGUUGUACGUCUGUGGGAUUCCUUCGAGAUUUUCUACGAUUCAAUUAUAAUUUCAUAGUUUAUGAAUUUAGAAGAUAUGAGAAUGAUUGUUAUUAUUUUGACUAUAUAGUUUAUUAAUGUGGCUAGAGGAUGGUUUUGUGUGUUAUCGGUUCUUAAAUAUGAUGUAUGUUGUGAAUUGAGAUAUCAUGUUGAGCCAUAGUGAUUUAUAUGAAGGAUGGAGGGGAAAUCUUGAUUUUUUUUCAUGUGGGUUGUUAUGUUACCUUGAGUCUAGGAUUUUUAUGCUUGUCAAAUUCUAUUGAUUGAUGUGAUAAUUGGAUGGUGUUUGAACGCUUAUGAGUGGAUGAAUGACGAGAUGACUAAAAAUUAUUAUUGUACUUUGUUAAAUGUUCCUUGAGGUGCUACAUGAUUGAAUUGUGGUAUUAUGUUGAGACAUAGUGGUCUAUGUGUUGAAUGUUCGAUUGGAGUGGAAUGACGAACUACGAAUGGCUUGAUCCCUAAUGAGGGUACAUAGAGAGGAGGUUAGAUGCAGCCAUAAAGUAAACGAAAAAAAAAUAAUUUAUUUUGCAAUUUGAUUCCCAAGUUGUGAUUUGCCAUAUUCCAAAGAUGAGAUAUGUGAGGUAUACGAGUAUUUGGUGACGUCACGUGUCGAUCCUAGACGUAUGUCGGGAUCGGGGGCGUGACAAAAGAAGUGUUCGAAACAUGUUCUAAAUAUUAUAUCGUCAUCCAUCAAAUAUCCUGUAAAGAACAUGGGUUAUAGGAAAAAUGGUAAUAAUUCAAACUAGCCUCAAUAAGCAUGUUAUCUCGUAAAACGCUUCACAAAACGUAAUCAUUAAAUCAUGUUUUUCAUGUGUGCAUUUCUACUGUUAAAACAUGCAUUUUUAGAAGGGUCCACUCACAAAUACUUAGCUACCAAAGAGCCACGCAAACUAGCGAACACAGAAUCAUCACAAAUAAUUGCCCCUAAUCACAAAAAAGGUCCAAUUAAUAAAAAUCUAUUAUAACAAUUGAAUUUGGGAAAACGGGUGUCGGAAACGGAUUCAGAACGUCGAAUUACGCUAAGAAGGGUUUCGGUUAAAUUUUCAAAAAGCCAACAGGGGAAUAUUCCAACCGGAUUUGGGCUGGGUUGGUGAGUUUAGGCUGAAAUGUCCUAGGCCCAAAGGCCUAAAUUCAAAGGGUUUUAGGUUAGGCUUUAAAGGGUAAUGGGUUGGGCUGGCUAAGGUUUGGGGUUUAAAGGGAUUUUGGUAUUGGGCUGAAGGCCCGGUCCAAUUCUUUUGGGUUUUAAAAGGAAAUAAACAAACAAAUAAAUAAAUAAAGAAAAGGGUUUUGGGUUUUCAAACAACAGCCUAAGGCCCUAGGUUUUAGGCAUUACCUAAUUGGCCUGGUUCGAAGGGUUGGGCUUGGGAGCCUGCUACACGCCGGGGAAGAAGGCCAUAAUUUGGCCGAAUAUUUCCGAGCUCUGUCGAAGCUCAAGGCUCAACCAAAUCAUGUAACUCAAUAUACCAUAUUGAAGCCUGGAAAGUAAGGGAUCGAAAUAUACCUAUCUCAUGACUUGAAGUGGUCGGGAUUGAUCGAAAACGGCCUGGAAGCCACGGGUCUCGCCUGAAACUGGGUUUAGUUUAUCCAAGGUGAUUUUUCAAUGAUUCAAAGUCCACAAAACACACAUAUGAUUAGAAGUGAAAUAUGGGAACCAAAAAGGAAAGCUUUGAAGUGUUUUUCGAGACCUACCCAUAUCGAAGGUGACGAAGACUCACCAGAGCUCCCUCAUGCAAUUGCAUCGGUUCACUGGGUACCUAAGUCUCGAAUGUAGCCUAGCACUCCGUCUGGGGUCUUGGAUUUGGGAAUGAUCGAAGUAUGAGAGGUGAUGGUGGCAUGAUCGUAGUAUAUGGGUGUGUGUUCUUGUCGGAGAGAAAAGGAUCGAGAUGGAAGGAGUAGCAGAGAGAGUUUCGGGGAGAGAGUGUCACAUCCCAGCUCGAGCCCCCACCAUAUCCUAGGCUCAACUCCGCCGUAGCACGAUAGUGUCCACUUUGGGCCCCGACCACACCCUCACAGUUUUGUUUCUGGGAACUCACAUAAGAACUUCUUAGUAGGUGACCCAUCAUGGGAAUGCUUUCGCGCGAACUCGCUUAACUUUAGAGUUCCGAUGGAACCAAAAGUUAGUGAGCUCCCAAAAGGCCUUGUGUUAGGUAGAGAUGAGAAUAUACAUAUAAGGCUUAAAGGAUCCACAACCCUAGGCGAUGUGGAAUGUUAUAAUCCACCCCCCUUAGGGGCCCGACAUCCUCGUCGGCACACUUCCGACCAGGGAUUGGCUUUGAUGCCAAAUUGUCACAUCCUGACCCGGGCCCCCACCACAUCCUUGCCUUGACUCUGUUGUAGCAUGAUAUUGUCCGCUUUGGGUCCCGACCAUGCCCUCACAGUUUUGUUUCUGGGAACUCACACGAGAACUUCCCAAUGGAUCACCCAUCAUGGGAAUGCUCUUGCGCGAACUCGCUUAACUUCAGAAUUCUGAUGGAACCCGAAGCCAGUGAGCUCCCAAAAUGCCUCGUGCUAGGUAAAGAUGAGAAUAUACAUAUAAGGCUUAAAGGAUCCACACCCCUGGGCGAUGUGGGAUGUUACAGAGAGUGUGUGGCACGAUGGUGUCGUCGUCGAAGUCUCCUUAGGAGUGGGGGUGAUUGGGUGUGUGGGUGUGUGUUGAUCGGGAAAGAGGGAAGGAAAAGUUGCAGAGAGUCGAGAAUGAGAGAUAAAGGAGAGUGAGGGAGAAAAGAGAACUGAGAGAGAAAAGAAAGAAAGGUCGGGGGACACAAAUUAGGGGGUGGGGCCCCUUGGGCUCACCAAUUAAGGCCCAAAAACCAAUUUUAAAAGAAAAAGAUCUAGCCCAAGGUGAAAUUUCACGAAAAUACCCCCUUCGUUCCGAUAAAAUCGGGAUGGGUUGUUACAUUUUUUUCCUCAGUCAGUAUAUUAUCGCAUGUAUCUUCAUAUACGUAAUGUUAUCUUACCUAUCUACCUACAUACGCGUGCAGUUUACUCAAGUGUUUAGACAUUUUUUAAAAUGAAAAAGGCUAUAAAAAAAGAAGAAAAUGAUAGUUUUACAUUAAACUAUAAAAGAACUAAAAUACACUUGAAAGGAAGUAUGAGGUUUGAAUUUGGGACAUAGUGAAAUGAAAGAAAGACCCUAUAUACUAGGGUAAUCCACCACUUGGGAAGGGAUUAAAAUUGUAUAUGGUAUUGAAAUAUUCAUUUUCAUAGUUCCUUACAGACAAGUACAAAAUGUCCUUCACACCAAACAUUAUGCACAUAUUGAAUAUGGAAGUGAAAAAAUAGCCUAAAUUUGUGUCCUCUAUAGAAUUGUGGCAACCAUUUGUUGUUUGUGUACCAAACCCUUUAUGACUAAACAUAAUUACAAAAACCAUGUUGUAAGCAUAUAACUUUGCAAACUAAAGUUCGAAACGAAAUGACGACUGAAAAUAUUAUAUUCAUUCAAAGGAUCCUUCAUUUUAACAAUUUUUUUUCAUAAAUUACAAGUUGUUCACAAACUGGACAUUUUUAAAGUUAAAUUUUGAUUUCUUUCUUAAACGAGCCCAUUAAUUUACCUCCCAAUCCGUCAACUUUGUCCAUUGACUCGUUAUCUUUUGAUUACGAGAUAAUUUAAGGGCAUCCACAUUAUUAAACAUCUUGUCGUUGAUAAAAAUUUAAAAGUUAUUAUGAGAAUUGAUAAAGAAUAACUCGUAAGACUAUAUAUGCGUGUUGAAUUAUAAUCCUGGUUUGGCCAAGAAAAAUGAUCCAGCCCGAAGCACAUGCAUAUUGAAAGUUUUAAAAUUGUGGGAACAUUAGGCAAAGCCUAAGUCGGUACACAUUAGCUAGAAAGAUCUAGCAAUAAGGUAGGUUGGCAAACCGCCUAUAAAGCAAAGAAGAAGUGAGAGUAAGUAGUGAGAAGUAAGAUGAGUAAGUAGAAGAAGCAUCCAUAGCUUCUAAGAGUGCAAGAAAAGUUUUUGAGUGUUAUUCUGUUUGAAAGUUGUAAAAUUGUGUGGACAUUAGGCAAAACUUAAGUCAGUAUGCAUUACGCGUAAGACUAUAUAUGUAAACGGUGUGUGCUGAAUUAUAAUCCUGGUUAUGGUCCAGCCCAAAGCACAUGCAUAUUGAAAGUUGUGGGGACAUUAGGCAAAGCCUAAAUCGGUACGUAUUAGUUAGAAAGAUCUAGCAAUAAGGGAAGUAGGCAAACCUUGCCUAUAAAGCAAAGAAAGAAGUGAGAGUAAGCAUCCAUAGCUUCUAAGAGUGCAAGAAAAGUUUGUGAGUGUUAUUCUGUAUUAGCUUGUUGUGUGAGAGAAAAAAAAAAUUUGUGUAAUACUUGAGUGUUCUUUCUUUCUCUUGCCUAUCAAUUUCCGUUGCGUUACAUUCUUCUUUGUGAGAUUAACAUCUCCAAAGUAGUGAAGUCUCUUUUAAACCCCAACAGCUGAUUGCUAAUUUCAUAUCCAUGUAUAAUAAUUGGGUUAAUCUUAGUUUACUACCCUCAAGUUUCGUGAUUUUCAACAUUUGGUACAUGAAGUUUUUUUCGUCCCAGAGUCAUACCUAAAGUGUUAAUUUUGGGACAGUCUUAUACAUCCGUUAGUUUGGAUGUUAAGUCUCCAGUUAACUGAUGAUGUGGUGUCCAUGUGGACAAUGACUGGACGCCACGUGUCAUUAAAGGGUCCACGUGGAAAUUAAUUUUUUUUAAAUAGUUAUUUAAAGAAAAGUAUAACAAAAAAAAAAAUCCCAAAUCCCCUUCGUCUUCCCUAGAAUCCCUACCCAUGCCUACCCUUUCAAUCCCCCAACCACACUUCUGCAAUCAACCCUCAUCACCAACCACCCUCUAAUCCAACCCCAUCGCCAGCCCCCGCUCCCAUCCAACCCCUUCCACCCUUCUUUCAUCUGUGCCCACCAAACCCUUUAUACCCGACCCAUCUCCCUCUCCUCCAACCUCUUCACCACCCCUCCAUUCUCUCUCCUCCACCCUUUGCAAAAACCCUAACUCCCAAAAUCUUUUGAGUUUUCAAAAAAAUUGAGCAAACCCAAGAUGAAAUCCUUGAUCCCCAAAAUCUUUCCAACCCGUUUGAAUUUGACUUCAAUUUCGUCAAACACAGAAUGAAAACACAAAAAGACUUCGAAUUUGUAGAGCAUCAAAAGCAAUCCACAGUGCCGCUGAGGAAAUCGAAGUCGAAGUCUUUUUUCAGAAGAAAAAAGGGAGGAAAUCGGCUUCGAACUCACAUACCGAAGAAGUCGAAGUCGAAAGAAGGGAGGGUUCGGCACUGAGCAAAACCUAUUGCUCUGCCGUCUAUCGUCUUUCUAGCCCUCUCAGAUUUUCCAGGAGUUGUUGAGCGCCACCAUCUCUUUGUUCUCCCGUCUCGACGCCUUAUCAGCCCACCAUCUUUCUCAGGCAUUUUCUCAGUAACCAAACAGGGAAGACGACCCAUUAAAAACCCAACUUACAAAGAAAGGGAAUGGUGAGGAGCGAAUAGCAGUGACUUCCAGUGAAGGUUGGAUCAGUGAAUGGGCACUGAAAAGGGACAUGACGCUCCAUUUGUUAUCAAUUGAUGCGAAAGAGAGAGGCUAGUGAAGCAGUGGAGGGUAGGACUGAAGCAAUGAAGUAGAACAAAGAGACAAAGGGAAAGUUUGGCGCUGAGCAAAACCCAUUGCUCUCUAGUCUCGAUGUCGACGAUACCAGCCCCUCACCACCACCUCCCAACCCGACCCAUCCCCCUCCCCUAAUCCUCCAUAUAUGAAUCGAAUCCCAACUAAAUUCUCGAUUCGAAUUCUCCAUCCACAAAUCUUCUUAACCUUCCUCAACCAACUUUGAGGACUGGGACAAAGGCGAGAUCGAAGGCCCCUCGAGGACCCAGCAAGUCCGGCAAACUGCAAUUCCAAAUUUUUAAUUUUCAAAGUUUUUUUUGGAAUUGAUUUUUUCCCUAUUUAAUUUGACUUUUUUUUUCAAAAAUUUUUGGUUGGAAAAAAUGUAAGGUACAUGGUUGUGGGAAAAAAAAUUUGGGUGGGAAAUUUUUUUUUUUAACCCCUUCUCUUAAAAAAAUCCACAUGGACCCACAUGACGCCAAGUCAUUGUCCAUAUGGGCGCCACGUCACAGUUAACGGGAGACUUAACAGUUUGACUAACGCAUGUAUGAGACUGUCCCAAAAUUUACACUUUAGGUAUGACUCUGGGAUGAAAAAAACUUGAUGUACUAAAUGUUGAAAACCACGAAACAUAAGGUUAGUAAACAAAGAUUAACCCAUAAUAAUUAAUCAAGAUACACUACAGCUUCUAUCAACUCUUUCUCUCUCUUCUCUCUCUCUCUCUGAGGCUAGAUUGGAUUCUCAGAGUCAUGAUGAAGGAAGAUGCCUGCGCCACGCAGGUCAUAUGUGCCAGCAGCGAAUUCAAUGUUGCUGCGCUCAACAGAUUCGUAAAGAAAGUUAAGUUUGUUAAGUGCGGGACCUCCUAUGCCGUUGUUGCCAUCAUAGCCCUCAGGGUGGAGGUACUAAGGCCUUCUACUUCAAUCAAUUAAAUUUUAAUUUGUUGUGUACAGAUCAUAUAUAGUUUCUGAAAUUGGUUGGCUUGGCUAUGAGAUCACAGGGAAAAGCACUUUGAUGAACCAUCAUUUCGACACCGGCUUUCAGGAGAUGAAAAUAGAAUGCGGAAAGUUAGUUCUGACUUUGCAUUUAGCAUGGAUGUUUGUCUUCUACAUCACUUACAUGUGCACUCUCACUCUCUCUCUCUCUCUCUCUCUCUCUCUCUCUCUCUCUCUCUCUCUCUCUCUGUAUAUAUAUAUGUAUUUGUGAAUCAGUAUUUGUGUAUAAUUAAUUAAAUAUUUAGGAUCCAAACAACGAAGGGACUUUGGAUAGCCAAGUGUGUCGGCAUUGAGCCUUGCACCAUCGCCCUGGAUUUGGAGGGUAGUGAUAGCAGCGAGAGAGGCGAGGUAAUCAUCUUUGAUUAAACCGAGUUUUUAUCAUAAAUGGUCAUUUUACCUUAAAAAGUCAUGUGUCAUUCAUAUGAGAACAAAAUCAUUGUGCAAUGCCAUGAUGAGUAUUAAAUACACAAAAUUAAAUUUUUAUGAUAGUUUAAAAAAUAAAAAAAAUGGUGGAGGGGUUUGAGGUGGUGGCGGAGCCCUCUUCUCUAAGAAAGUUAGGCUAUCUCCAACCGAAUACUGGUCAGAGGGCUCGCUUUAGCCCUCUGGUCCUCCAACAUAUUAAUAUUUUAAUGAAAAGUACAAGGUCAUAUUUCUUACCAUCUUCAACCGAGAGUCAUAGUGUCAAACAUAAUUUAUUAUUUAAGUUUAAAAACUACAACACUUAAAUUUAAAAACAACAACAACCAACUUAAACUUAAAUUUAAAAACUACAACUUAAAUUUAAAAACUACAAUUUAAAUUUAAAGACAACAUUAACUUAAAUUUAAAAACUACAACAACUUAAAUUUAAUAUUCAUAAUCAACAUCAUCUUCAUCAUCCGCCAUUGUAGGAGUAUAGUCAAAGGUAAAUAACUGCCGCCGGGUCAUAAUAUCUUUUUUUUUUCCUAUCAAAAUAGGCCUUACUCAUUGGAGUGUAAUUCGAAGUGUUCCUUUCCAUAUUCUUAUCAUCCAAUCUCUUCUUGUAUUUGUUUGGCCCGUUCUUCAUGCCUACGGUUGCUUUCUUCUACGGCAAUGGCAUUUUGCUCUGCCAUUAAUCGCAAGGAGGUCGCCACUUCCUGUUGAGCUGCGUAAUCAUUAUUUGCCUUGCCCUUUUCCUGCAACCUUUGGGCCUUAUUUAGUCUCAUAGCCCUAGGUAUGAAACCUUCACCCGAUAACGGCCUUGAAUGGUAGGAAAUCCAUCUUCAUCCAUAUCUACAGUUGAGGAUGCAGUUCUGAACAUCGGCUUAAGACCUACUCUAUGUUGAGGUAGAUCUUUAAAUAACACCCACCCUUUACAAAUUUCCUAACAACCGUGAAACUGAAAGGGUUUUGAGCUGCCCUCCAUAUAUAAUUCAUCUGCUUGGCAUACCUAGAAAAUAUAAUUACAAAAAUUAAAGGAAAUUAAUUUAUGAAAUUAAAUGUAGUAUAAUUAAAUAUAUUUACAAAAAUUAAAGGAAAGUAAUUCAUGAAAUUAAAUGUAAUAUAAUUAAAUAUUUAAAAUAAAUUGUGAAAAACUUCGUCAUAGUAAUUAGCGUCGUUUUCAUGUCUACUUGUGGCUGCUAACAAUGCUUGAUGUCAUUUGUUCAAAUUUGGCUGAAGAUGUUUCUUCCAUCUUGAAGAACAACUCUCGUGGUUUCGGGUAUUCGAUGGAGUGAUGCCUUUAUAGAACUCUAAGUAUUUUUUGGACACAUGAGUCCAAACACUUUCACUUGUUUGGAACUCCCCCUCGCACUAUCUUCCGACACCCAUCUAUAAGCCAUGCAAAGAGUUUCAUCUUCUUUUCGGGUCCAAGCCCUACCUUUCAGUGCAGAUGAGGCCAUUUGAAAAUUAUUGAAAAAAUUGAAGGAAAUAUUUUUGGAAGAGGUAAGAAAAUAUGAGAAUUGAAAUGGUGUAGGAAUAGUGAAAAUUUGUGAGGAAUGGUGAAGGAUGGUUUAGGUAUUUAUAGGAAAAAAUGAGAAUUUUUUAGAUUUUUUUUUUAAAAAAAUUUGGCCCAAAAAAAAAAUUCAAAAACUAACGGUAACUGACGUCAGCUAGCCGUUGGGGAUUCAAAAUUCCAACCCGACCCGGGGACAGCUAGCUGGCUCCUUUAUGCCGGCCGGUUGGCCCUUUGGCCAUUUUUUGUCCAUUGGGGUCCACGAGCCCUUUGGCUUGGCCCUCGAUUGGAGACCAUUUUCGGGCUAUUUUCGGCCCUCUAGCCCUCUAGACCCUUCAGUUGCAGAUGGCGUUAGCAUCUUUAAUUUGUGGUAUUGGGUUAGGUUGGUAUUGUUGGUCGUGUGCUUAGAGUUGUUAGCUAUAGGGUUUCUGCAAAAUGGGAGACAAAAACAUUGAUCGGUAAUCCAAUGCUUGUUGUUCUGGUCUUGCAUCUGUGGCAUUAUUUCCAUACCUAUACCAUCUUCCCAUUGGAUGGCUAUAUGACUUUUGAUAAUAUAUACUAGCAUAUGGGCACACACAAAGUGCGUGAGAAAUUUUUUUUAUUUUUGUUUUUGAAAUAGAAGGAGAGAGGAAGAGAGUGAUAUAGAAUGUGGGAGUGAAAAGUUUUUUUUUUUAAAUUUUUUUUUUAAAUUAGAGAUAUGUUAGAAUUACAUGUAGAUAAGGCUUUGAAAAAAAAUAGCAAAAUUUGGUUGUGUGAAGUUACAUUUAUGCCCCAUAUUUCGUAUUCAUGUUCUGUUUUAAUUAGAGGGUUAAACUAGUAAUUUCAUAGGAUUUUGGUUGACAAUAAGUGUUUUAUUAAUUAGUAGAGAGAGCGAGAGAGAGAGAGAGAGAGAUAUAUAUAUAUAUAUAUAUAUAUAUAUAUAUAUAUAUAUAUAUAUAUAUAUAAGACUAAAACGAAUCAUGUGAAGACGGCCUUCUGUCCCUCUCUACUCGAUUGUGAAUAAUACCAAAAUAAUUUGAAUCCUUAAGGGAUAUCAUUUUGGAAAGCACAAGAAAAACUCAUGGGUGUUAUUCUAAAUAACUCCCACUUUUUUAUGAUGUUAAAUUGUCGUACACUAUUAACGUGGUCACAGAUCAGGUAACUCUUUUCACCCUAUAUAUUGACACUCGCCAUCAUUAAUGUAGACAUACAGAUAUGAUAUGAAGCUGAUUUCAUGUGCAAAAGGAUAUAAAAUAUAAUUCAAAUAUAUCAAAUCUACAAAAGGAUAUAAAAUAAAAUUAAAAACCAAACAUGUUUAAAUGAAAUUAAGUUGGAACAAAUUCAUGUAAUUAAAAGUGAUUACCAUAUGGCAAAUACAGCCCAAAUCCUCAGGUAUACUCGCCCACUUGUUCCUUUGCAAUUUGUUUUUUCCAAGAUGACACUACGUUUGAGAAACAAGUCGCCCUUUUUGCGCUGGCAGUUUCGGACAUUUUGCUCAUAAAUAUGAGAGAUUUUUCAAUGUGAUCUGCAUGUGCAUAUGAGGUGGUACAUCACGUGUUACUAUACAAAUUGUAAGACAUGUGUGUUAAAAAGUUAGGCCAUCUCCAACCGAUGGCUGGCUAGAGGGCUCGUUUUAGCCAUCUGGCCCUCCAAGAUCCUCCAAGAUAUUAAUAUUUUAAUGAACAAUACAUUGUCAUAUUUGCCUCUGUCUCUAACUGAGGGCCAGAGGGCCAAAUGGCUCGUUUUAGCCCUGUCACAAAAAACCGUCUCCAACCGAGGACCAAAUGGCCAUAUGGCCAAAUAUAAUUUAUUAUUUAAAAACUACAACUUAAAUGUUUUUAAAAAUGUUGUUUAAGUUUCAUGUUGUUUAGUUUUUAUGUUGGUUAAUGUUAUUUAAUGUUGUUUCAUAUUGUUUAAUGUUGUUUCAUGUUACUUAAUUUAAUUUAAUGUUGUAUAAUGGCUUAGGAAGUUAUAGGAAAAAAAAUAUGAAACAAAUUUUGUGAAAUAGAAGUUAUAGGAAAAAAUGGAAUUUAAAAAAAAUAUGAAACAAAUUUUGUGAAAUAGAAGUUAUAGGAAAAAAAUGGAAUUUAAACAAAAUAUGAAACAAAUUUUGUAAAAUAGAAGUUAUACAAAAAAAAAUAUGAACCAAAAUUUGUAAAAUAUAAGUUAUAGAAAAAAAGUUAUAGCAAGUUAUAGAAAAAAAAAAGGUUUAAAUUCAUAAAAACAAAAAAAAAUAAUUUGAAUACAACGGCUAGUGACAGGCUAGCCGUUGGAAUUCAAAUUAGAAUUCAAAUUAGUAUCGGUUUUAACCGACAUUGUUCAAACUGCUAUUAUAUUAACAUCUAUUAGUGUCGGUUAUAACCGACACUAAUAAUAUAGUAUAUAUUAUUUCUGUCAGCUAUAACCGACAAAAAUAACAAAACAUUAAAAAAAAAAAGCCAGCCUCUCCGAUUCCGUGGGGCCCUCCCAGAUUCCAGAGCCCUCUGCCCUAACCCUCGGUUGGAGAUGGCCUUAAUAACUUAAAAAAUAAAAUUUCUCACCACUUACAUAAAAACAUAUGAUGUACAAUGUUCCCGUCAUAAUAAAAAAUUUCUCCAUAAAUAUGUAAGCUCAUUAAUUAGUUACCCCAGGAAUUACUUGACUGAUGGCCUAUCUUAACCACAUAUACAAAGUCUUUUAGAGAAGAGAUUUCUAUUUUAGUUGUGAGGCUCAUAUCAUAUCGAUUUCCAACGAUUUGAACAGUUUAUUUUUCAGUUUGCAUUUCAUAGAUCAUCUUUAUAAUAUUUUAGCCAAAAGGGAAAUACAUGAGGCAUCUAAUUGAGUUCAAAUAAAUUGACGAACACUAUAUUUUAAGAAACAUUGAAAUUUCAUCGUGACAAUUAAAGUGAGCAAAUGAUUUCGAAUUGAAAUGAAUUUUUACAAGGAUGAUCUUUGAAUUUUGAGACUUACAAAAUACAUGAUUUGAAGCCUUGAAGUUCAAUUGUGGUAAAUGUUCACCACUCUAUUUAUUACCAUUAUAUGAGUUUGAAUUUUAAAAUUGGGUAUCUUUUAUGGUGAGCAUUACUAUCACUUAAGAGUAGUGAGCAAAAAUAUUUUUCGUAUAUAUAUGUGUGUUUGUGUGUGUGUGUGUCAAGUAAGGGAUAAUUCAAUUUUGUAGUGGCCCAUAUUACUAUUAUAUUAAGGUAAUUACUGAUGACGACUGAUUAUCUGUUACUUUUUUUCUUUUUCUCUUUCUUUUUAUCUAGAGUUGAGUGUAUUUUUGCUCACCCCUUCAAAUGAUGAUAAUGCUUAUUAUCCUAUUUAUUAUUAUUGGAUGUGUUUGAAUUUUGAUAUUUGUAUCUAUCAACUAUACUAAUUUCAAAAUUUAAACUCAUCCAACAAUGAUAAAUAGGAUAGUAAGCAAAAAUAUUCCCUCUACAGUUUGUUUAGCAAGAAAACGCUGGUGUGAAUUUGGGUUGCAACCAUCUUUGGUCCUCUGAAAAAGCUUCUGAUUUCAUCUAAUUGAGUUGCUAGGCUCUAAUCUAGGAAUUUUCCUUUAAAAAAAAAUAUAGUUUUUAUUUCACAAUCCUACCCGAAGAUUUAAACAUGACAAUACGUAUGCUCGUAGUAAUAAUACCCUACGAACAUAGAUAAGAAAAGGUUUUUUAUUAGGAGAUGUCUAUAAACAUGUAAACUAAUAAUUUCAAUAUUAAUUGGAUUGGAUGUUAUAUACAGGUGGUACAAUGAUAUUGGUCGAGAGCAUGCUGCGAGCAAACCUUUACUAAAAACUAUUUUUCAGGUACUUAUCUAUAACUGUAACCAUGUAUGCAUAUCUUAAUUAAUACGUAGUCAACAUUCAGUGUUAUUAUUUGACAUUCUGGUUUCUGAAUUUUUUGGUUUUUUUUUGUUUUUGUCAAUGUUUCUGAAAUAUGUAUUCAUAUGAAGGUAAUGAGGCCCUUAUCUAGCGACCCCCAUCAAAGGUACUGUGAAAUAAAUGAAAAGGAGGACCCUUUUUUUUUUUUUUUUUAUAAAAAAUAUAAACGAUAGAAGCACAGUCAAUUUUCUUUCCCUUAGGCACUUUUGUUUAAGUUUGUUCUUUAUUUCAAUUUGACGGUAAGAAAUAAAAAAAGGUGCGUAAGAAGACAAUAAGAGUGAGAAAAAUUCUAACUUUGUUUACGUAUUAACUUUCUUGUUUGCGGCUGUUCAUUUAGGCCUAUUUUGAACUGCUGGCGAAUUGCUUAAGGGAAGACACAGAGAAGGUAGUUUUGUCGUCCCUGUUUUUAAUCUUCAUUCCUUUUUCUCCCGUAUCUGCUCAUAUAUAUCUAUAUUCUGAAAAAAGUUAGGGUUUCACUAUGAAACUAAUUGGCAAUAUAGAGAGUACCCCAACUCUUUAUAAGCCUUUGCAUGGUUUAAUGUGGAACUUUGUUCGCACACAUGGACAACACAAAUUGAGUGACGUGGAGCACGUGUGGCCGUUUAGGCUUCACAUGUGAGCCAACCUACUCUAAUACCAUAAACAAAGUUGAAGUUUUACCAUAAAACCAAUUGAAAAUAUAGGGAGUACGCCAACUUCUUUUUAGUCCUUGCAUAGUUUGGUCCCUAACCGAUAUGAGAUUUUGUCCUCACAUUCUCAUGUCACUCUGCAGAUGUGGGAUGCAGUUUCAAAGCCCCAAGCCCACAAAAAGUCACCGUUCACUGUGUUUUUUAAUGUGAGUUCGAUCUCUUAUUCCUUCCACUGCUCGCUUACAGUCUGACAGCCUGUGUGUUCUUUGUCUCUGAUUUUAACAUUUUUGAAAUGAAGGUACAAGUAGUUGCUUUGUCCAAUUAUCUAGAGAAGGAGGAGACGUUAAAGGAGGAGGUAACCCUUACACUAUAUAUCAGAAGCAAUUCAUCAUGUCCUAAACAUAUUGCCCAUUACAUUUCUCUUUUCUUGGGUUUUAAUUCCUGGGGUGUGUUGAAACAUCUGUUGAAAUGCUGCAACUGCAUAUUUACAUCAGGAGAAACAUUUCUCAGACCUGAAAACUGUGGGCAAACAACCUUAAGUAAAUUCAUUCAUUGUUAAAGAUUAAGUUGGUAGAUACUUACAAGUAUGGCCAGCACAUACCAUGCAGGUUGCUCAACUGAGGCAGCGCUUUGUCAAUUCCAUUUCUCCAGGAGGCCUUGUUGGUGAUAGGAAGGGCGUUGUCCCUGCCUCAGGAUUUUCUCUUAGUACACAGGAGAUGUGGAGAGUAAUCAAACUGAACAAGGACCUGGACCUUCCCGCUCACAAGGUACAUUAGUUUCCUCAAUUCCCAAUUAAAGAAUAUAAUUCAUUUGUGGCCAUCACCUCUCUUAUGCAUACACGGUACCUUAAUUAGGUUAUGGUUGCCACUGUGCGGUGUGAAGAGAUUUCCACCGAUAUAUUCAAACAGUUGAUCGAAGAUAAAGUAUGUAUCUUAUACUUAAAUAUAAUCCAUUUGAUACUUUGAAAUUCUUCUGCUUAAUUCUAUAUCAUGAACAUGAUUUAGGGUUGGUUGGCACUGAAAGCAGCUGCCCAAACUGGUCUUAUACCAGAUUUUGGUAAAAGAUUAAGCUCAAUUCUAGACACCUAUCUAUCUGAGUAAGUUCCACCUUCUGAUUUGAAUUUGUUUGUGGUUUUCUUUAAUUAUAUAUUAGUUACAAGAUGAUAAAGAGGCAUUUGACGGGGGGUUAGGUUUAUGUGGACUUUCUUUCUCCCGUUUCAUUCUAGUUAUGAAGCGAAUGUUCUACAUUUCUGGCUUCAAUUUUAUUGUAGUUUCUCUGCCUGGUUGGCCCUCUUUCUCAAAUAAACUCGACUUCAUUUUUCACUUGUUAGUCUGCUGGUGUUGGUCGACCGUUGAAAUUUGGACACUAUUUGUGUGUUUGCUUUUGUGUUCCUGUGCAGUACCAAGUUUUCUUGUUAGUAUUGUAUCUGAAGAGAAGGCCUUGUACUAUCAUGAAGGUGUAAGGAACUCAAAACGACUUUUACCACAAAAAAAAAAAAAAAAAAAAAAGGAACUCAAAGCGACAAAUUCUGGAGUCAAAAGCAUUGUACGUAUGGCAAACUUCUCUCUACUUUAAGAAAGAUUUUAGUUAGGUUUUUGGCCACAUGAGUUCUACAAAACUAAGUCAAGUACUUGAAUUAGAAACAUGGCAUAGAUUAUAGUCCAUGUAUAAUUAUUCAAUUGAUUCAUAAAUUUGCAAUCACGUAAAUAUUAUUUCUAUUUAUUGAAGCUUAAAUCUUUCUUUUAUUUCCUCUGAACUUUACAGUCUGUCUACAUUACGUACAUUACCAUGCUUAGACACCUACGUUCUAAAGCACUUGGAGAGUUUAAAGUGAGAUUGGAGCAGUCAUUAAAGGAAGGAAGUGGGUCAUUUAAUUCAUCUGCUCAGAACUGUAUACAGUCUUCCAUGCACGAUUUUGACCAAGAAUGUAAAGGUAAUAGGAUUUUUCGAUCUAAUUUAUAACUGGUUAUCGUCCCAAAUUUGGCAAACAUGGCAAUCGAAGUUUCUUGAAAUAUGGAAUAAUAUAUACCUCUAACGUGGGAGCGGUUCUUGUGUAGCGCAUCCGGAUUGGGGGUAGUGUGAGAGGGGAGUGGGCUACAUUCGAAAAUCAAUCAAAUUACAUGUAAAAUUUUAUUUUUCACCGAAAGCUACCUGGACUACAGCCCAGGGCAGCCCUUAAUCUGGCUCUGCCAGUGAUUACCAAUAGAAAUAAGCACAUCUAUCAAUGCAUAAGUAAUAAAUCAAUCAUCAACUUUUAUAUCAUUUAGUUUUCAAAUUUUAGUCUUCAAAUUAAGUUUCCUUAACAUUACUCUUACAAAAUCAAAGCACGAAACUGAAUACAAAUUAGAUUUUUUUCGAUUGACGAAAAUGAAGAACAAUAUAAAAUUGCCAAGCGGUUAUGUAACUUGAAUAUUUUGUCAGACUUAAUUUUAUUGUAGUGGUACUCUGAUCUAGUUUCAAAAUUUUGAGUUGUUUGAUAAAUACUAUUUAACCUGUUCGAUGGUAAGAUAAUGUUGUAUUAGAUACAUAUAUUCACAUGAUAUAUUCGACCAUCAAAUGAUGAUUAUAAUAUAUACAUUAAGUAUUGUAAGCCAAUCCUAUAAGUUUAAUCUACAUACCAUCCAUGAAAUAGUUCAAGAAAUUUCAUUUUCAUACGUUUAUGAAUCCAUACUAUAUAUGCUGAUAUGUAUAGUAACUACAAUAUAGAUUAGUUAACAUAAUUAACUUGUGAUGGUAGAAGAAAAAGUUGAGAUAAGAAUUUAGAGCAGAAAGAAGGACAAACAAUAUUUAAUUUAAAAUUAAGUCAAAGAUAAUCCUAUAAAUAAGGGAUAACAAUGGAUCACAAUUGAAUAAAAUAAAAAGAUAGUAAAAAUAAGUGAGUGAAUCUCGUAGAUGAGAAUUCGAUAUCACAUUAGGUUGUCCAUUGUGUGGUUUAACCGAACUCUCUCAUUCCUUUAGUGUAAAAUAUAUCGUUGUACUAAAAAAAAUCAACAAAGUAGACUAAACGCAAUAAUAACUUACAAAAUUGGACUUAUAUUACUCAUUAUUGUAUUACAAGAGGUGCAUAUAUAAAUAUUUUUUAUAGGUUGUGUAUUUAUAAAUACAAAAAUCUAAAACAAAUAGGAAAGUAAUCUUUUUUAUUUAAUUUAGGAAAGUAAUCUUAAAAAUAUAGGAAAACAAUCCUAAUCAUUAUCCUAUUACAAAACCCUAAUACAUAGAACCACAAUACUAACAUUUCUACUAAUUAAUAAAACCUUUUUUCUCAACCAAAAGAGGGUGAAAGUACAAAUUAGUCUUUUAUCGCACAAAAAAAAAAUGAUGGGCAAUAAUGUAAUUUCGUGGGUCCAAAUUUUACUUUUUUUUAUUGAAGUCUCACCUAAUAUGAUGUUAACAUACCUCAAAUAUUAAAAAAUAAAUAAAUAAAAAACCAAAAACAAAAACCUCUCACUCCCCCACGUUCUAUCUCUCUCUCCCUCUCUCCUUCUCAUUUUCUAAAAAAAUAUGUUCAUACGCACAAAGUGUGUAGGCAAAUGCUGGUAAUAAUAAACCAAAUCACUAACUAAUCCAACAGUUACAUCUUGUUUUCAAGAAUGCAUACAAUUUUCUUGAAAUCUUCUUAAUUUGCUUUAUACCAUUUUUAAACAAAGAUCUAAUUUUUAAAUAAAGAUCUAACGGUACUAGGUAAACAAAGAUCUAAUCUUUAGAGUACUCCAACUAACGGUAAUUUUUUGGAGUGCUACCAUACCCGCUCCAUUGUUCUAUUUCUUCACUCACAUUAUAAUUCCACACAUCACAUAAAAAGUUAAAAAAAUUAAAAUGUUAUUUCCCUACCCACUAUUAUUUCUAAAACAACCUCUAAUUAACAAUUGGCGUAAAUGUGUAUGACUGCAUUAUACAGAGCCACCAACAGCGGGUGCGACUUCAUCUACAAUCGCUCUUCAUUGUACCAGUGAAUCCACCUUCACAAAUUCAAGCCCCCUUUUUGGCACAAGCUGAUAAUGGCGCCAUUAGCGCCACCUUAUCCAAUUCCACACCAGGCCUCCUCAUCUAACCAAACAAAGACAAAGCUUGCUUAUACCUCCCAUUCUGAGCACACCCCACAAUCAUGGUGGUCCACGAAACAACAUUCCACUUCGUUAUCUCGUUAAAAAUCCUCUGCGCCCCAUCAACAUCCUGACACCAUACAUAGCCCGCAAGCAGCGAAUUCCAACUUGCAAUACUCCUCUCACGCAUACCAUCAAACACCAGGCAUGCAUACUGGACGCCACCCCAAACCCACUUACCAGAACCCUCUUGUGCACCUGUUCCCCUUCUAUCACCAACCCUGACCUCGCACAAGCACUAAGAACAUACGAAUAGGAAAACCCAUCAGCCUCUGCCUCCAAACGCACCAACCGUUUAUACAAUUCAACUGACUUGCACGGAGUUUCGCUCCAAGCGUGGCCUCUGAUCAUCUGGCUCCACACAGUAGUAACUGUGUUGUCAACAUUUUUGAAAAUUUUUAGGGCGUGAUCGAGACAAUCAAACAACUUAGAACGUUAAAAUUCGAACAAGAAGGUAGCUUUUUAUGUGAGUCCAUGAAUUAUUAUUUUGGGUGUGAAUUUGGAGUGUACUUGCAGAUCAAUGGAAGCAAGUAAUUUUUUUUAUUUUGGUCCUUAUAUGUUAUUUUACAAAAGACUAAAAUUGACAUUAAAAAAUUAGUAAAAUGGCGGAUGAGAAGAUAAGACUGUAGAGUAGGGCUGGGUUCGGUUCUUUUCGGUUCGGUUUUUUGCCAAAACCGAAACCAAACCGAAAUUUCGGUUCGGUUCGGUCCAAUUUUUUUUCGGUUUUUUUCGGUUCGGUUUUUUUUUCGGUUCGGUUUUUUCGGUUCGGUUUCGGUUUUUUUUCGGUUUUUUUUUUUCUCAGUAAAAUAGAUCUAAAACGAGGCAAUACUGCAUCACCGAAUACUACAAUUUAUACAUUUUGAAAUCACACCACCUGUCAACCACCCACAGAAAAGGAUCCUAUGUUUUUACUUGAUUAACCAUCAUAGGCAGCAAAUUCAUUGUAUAUGAUGAUGGAAAAGAAACAAAAACCCAUAAACAUCACUCCUUUUCUUGUUCUUUUGCUUUUCUGAGCCAAGAGAUAAACAUGAGAUAUUGAAACAUCAAUACUCAAACCAGAACCUUCAAACAUGAGAUAUUGAAACAUCAGGAAACUCGUCUUUUAGAAGAGAAAGAAAAAUAGGCAGCAGCUGCUCUAUAGUUGCAUCCUGCAGUGAGAGGGAGAAAAAUUAGCUUCGAAGUAAGAAUUUGAAUUAAAUAACAGCCCCAAAAUUUUCUUGCCUUUCCUAAAACUUGUGCCAUUCCCAUUAUUACUGAAGCCAAUGCAGAACGAACGUGCUGGGAAGAAUCUGUCGACAAUUCCUAUGGCAGGCAAACAUAGUAAGUAAAAGCAUAACAGUAUUUAGAACUGCCUAAAAACUACAACAAACUUCUUAGGGAAAGUAUAACCAUAGGUUAAGUGAGAUGUGCAACCUUUACGAAAGGAAGGAUCUGCUGAAUGGCAAGUUCUGGAUUCACAAUUCGGCAAAACUUAGUUACUUUUCCUGCAGCAUGCUACUAAACAGGUCUACCUUCCUCGAGAAUCCAGAACAAAAUUGAAUACCACAUAGUCCAACCACCAGAUAUAAGUAUGUACUUUAUAAAAAAUCUCAUGUUUAACCACCAGUUCGACACACACAGAAAAAAAAAUAUGUAAACAUACAGAAAGAAAAACUUGUGAGGAGUCAAUACCUGGAGGACUUUGGGGCCGAGGAGGUGAGAGAACUUUCGGAGGGUAUGCGGGUCGGGCAAGGACCUGGAGGAGAUGGAUUUGAGGUCCAUGUCGGUGAGCUCCAACUCCACCGAAUCCACCACAGUACGCGUGUCAUCGGACAAGGCGGAGUGGAUCAGGAUCAUCGCCUUCACUUGCAGCGUCGGAAGCAGCGCCGGAACUCCCCCCAUCCAUUUUUCAGCGCCUGUUUGCCGCGGCGUUUGAUUUUUGGGGAGCGAGAGACUGAGGAAGCGCAGCGAAUGAGAGAAAGAGAGGAGAGAUUUGAGAAUGAAAAGAAAAUGAAUGACGGCUAGGGUUUGUGAACUUUAUAAAUUUUAUAAAACAUUAAGAUUAGAAUACCUAUAAAUAUUAUACUGGUACAAUUAUAGCAAUACAAAGCCUACAGUCAAGUUGGUUUGAAGGAAGCUAUCCCCACCUGGGCGGAAGGGGUUCGAAUCUCCUCUCCAGCAUGUUUUGAGUAUUUAUAUUUAUUUUCAUAUUUCGGUUCGGUUCGGUCCGGUCCGGUUUUCAUACCUCAAAAACCGAAACCGAACCAACUAAAUUCGGUUCGGUUCGGUUCAACAGAUUUGGUUCGGUUUUUUUCGGUUCGGUUUUUUUCGGUCUCGGUUCGGUUCGGUUGUCGGUUUUUUUCGGUUUUCGGUUUUUCCAACCCACCCCUACUGUAGAGUAGAUUUAUUAGCACUCAUUUUUUUAUAAAGUCGCAUUCUAGGAAAGUAGGAAUGGAACUUUCAUUCCUAUUGUAUAUACAAAGUAUGCAUUCUUUUAACAAAUCAUCAACUUGAAUCCAAUUAGUUAAAAGAAUUGGAUUCAAGUUGAAAUAUCAUCAUGUGUCCAUGCAAAUGCUCCCUUGCAACUGACCAAGGUGAUAUUUCAAGCAUCCGAGAAUGUUAGAUUAUUUAAUAUCCAAAGUAUGGGUUAUAGGUAUGGGUAGAAUAUCUAAUAUCCAAAGUAUGGGUUAUAGGUAUGGGUUAAUGUGUAAAGUAUGGGUGUUAGAAUAUUAAUGUGUAAAGUAUGGGUGUUAGAAUAUUAGUGUGUGAAGCAUGGUGUGUGAUGUUCAUCGGGUGACUCACUACAUCCUUCUCCACUUGUAUAAGUUCUCUUUCUUGUAACCUUACAGAUUUCAAUACAAACAAUUCUUUCAAAACUAUCACAUGGUAUCAGAGCAGGCUUCCUAAAGAACCUGUUCUCUGAAAUCUUUUGAAAUGGAAGAAGAAAAUAUACUUGCUGCUUCAUCCGAGAACAUCCUUGGUUCUUCAUCAGUUUCUUCAAGUGAAGCUGAUGGAAAUCCCAAUCAACGUCUUUGUUCCAUACUCCUAACUGAGUUUAAUUAUCUUCCUUGGUCAAGAGCUAUUACUUUAGCUCUUGGAGGAAGAUCUAAGCUUGGUUUCAUCAAUGGAACUAUCGUACCUCCCGAGGUUGGUGAUUCUAAGUAUGAAGAAUGGUUCUGCAAGGAUCAGCUCGUCAUGUCCUGGUUGCUCAACUCAAUGGGCUCAAAGGUAUCAGAAAUUUUCAGCUUUUCAGAAUCAGCUUUUGAUCUGUGGAAGGCUGUCAAGGAGAUGUAUGGAAAUCAAAAUAAUGCAGCCAGGAUAUUUGAGCUGCAGAAGAGUCUUUCUGUUCUGAAUCAAGAUGGAAAGACUUUUAUCGAGCACUUGGGAAGACUGAAGUCUAUGUGGAAUGAGCUGAAUCUCUAUCGACCUCACACUACAGACCCAGCAAUCCUUCUUAAGCAGGCUGAAGAAGACAAGGUCUUUCAACUUUUAUCCAGUCUUGACUCUACCUAUAAGGACCUGCGAAGCCACAUAUUGAUGAGUGUUGAACUACCAUCUCUCAAUACUGUGUGCACUAUCGUUCAACGAGAAGAAGCAAGAAGGAAAGUUAUGAGUACUAAGGUUGGUGAUCCUGAGUCUAGAGCUUUCGUUGCAAGUGACAGAAGGUUUGAAGGAAACAUUUUCAAAGGAAAGAAAGGAGAGAUGCAAUGCAGUCAUUGUGGACAGAAGAAUCAUCUCAGAGACACUUGUUGGGUGUUGUAUCCACACCUUAAGCCUAACUUUUCCAAACAAACCAAACCUGGUCGCAGUGCAAAUCAAGUCCCUCGCUUGCAGACUGCCUCAACUGUUGGGAACUUCACAUCUAAUCCCUCAGCUCUCUUGAGUGAGUUCUCUUCCUUCACUCAGAAGAAAGAUGAAAGCAAUCUUCAUAAAGGAAACAGUGAAGCUAGCACCACUGAAUUAUUUGAGCAGUUUGCAAAAUUUCUUCAGACAAAGGUGUCAUCUUCCGUUGAUAUGUCAGGUAUUCUAAACUCAUUUAGUGCUGCACUUGCUUCCAGAAAACUUGCAAAUGUUUGGAUAAUAGACUCUGGAGCGACUGAUCACAUUACAAAUAUAAAAAGAUAUAUGCAUGACUUUAAAGAGGCAGUUAUUCCGCAAUUUGUCUCUGUUGCUAAUGGAACUGGUGUAUCAGUUUUGGGUGAAGGGAAAGUCAAGUUAAUUGAUACUAAUGUUGAAUCAACUGCUCUAUAUGUGCCCUCCUUUCCAUUUCAGCUUCUGUCAGUAGGAAGGUUGACAAAUUCCUUAAACUGUGAUGUUAUAUUCUCGCCAUUCAAUGUGAUUUUCCAGGAUCGUAUCACGAAGAAGAAGAUUGGUGAAGGCAUGUAUAAAGAUGGCCUCUAUAUGCUUUCAUUGCAACCUGUUGAAGCUAGAGGUCUUCAAGUUGGUUUUUUGAAGAAUCAUCUAUUAUGGCAUAGACGAUUAGGGCAUCCCUCUAAUCUUGUGCAAUCACAUCUCUUCAAAACUUCAGAGAAUGUGAUGACUCAAGAUUGUGAAGUUUGCCAUUUUUCAAAACAGACGAGGUUGCCUUUUGAUGUCUCAUCAACCAAGUCAUGUAAACCUUUUGAGAUUGUGCACUCUGAUGUUUGGGGACCUGCACCCUUGGUUUCUUUUAAUGGUUUUAGAUACUUUGUCACCUUUGUGGAUGAUUUCUCAAGAUGUACCUGGUUGUAUUUGUUGAAAUCAAAAGAUGAAGUUAUUAAUGUGUUCCAAGAAUUUCACAGUCUUGUUACAAAUCAGUUCUCAACCCAACUUAAAGUCUUAAGGUCAGACAAUGGUACUGAGUAUAUGUCUAAUGCUUUUACUCAAUAUCUAACUUGUCAUGGAAUAAUUCAUCAAACGAGCUGUGUUGGUACUCCGCAACAAAACGGAGUAGCAGAAAGGAAGAACCGUGAUCUACUGGAGAAAACUCGAUCACUUAUGCUUCAAAUGAGUGUACCCAAGAAAUUCUGGUCUCAUGGGGUUCUUACUGCUGCAUAUGUAAUUAAUAGGCUUCCAAGCAAGGUUCUCAAAUUCAAGGCACCUCUUGAAACACUUAAUGGCAGGAAAAUUAACUUGUCUCACCUUCGAGUGUUUGGAUGUGUUUGCUUUGUUCAUAUUCAAACCUUGCAUCGAGAUAAAUUGGACCCUAGAGCUGUAAGGUGUUUGUUCUUAGGGUACUCAUCUGUUCAAAAGGGAUAUAAGUGCUAUGACCCAAAGCGCAGGAAACUUUUGGUGUCUAGAGAUGUGUGGUUUUUGACGAGAAAACUCCUUUUUUUGCUAGUACCAGGGGUGAAGAUCUUCUGGGGGAGGACUUUCUUGAUCAAAUCCUCACGCCAAUUAUGGAAAUCAAUGCACUGCCUCAUCAUUUUUCAGCUCCAGAUCAACCAAGCAACAAUGAAAUUUCGAUUGAUCCAGUUGAGUGUAAUUCAUCAUCUGACAUACUUGUUGAUAAUGAAUCAACUGAAGACACUGAACAAAAUCAAAUUUCGUCUGAGGAGAACCUUGCUAUUACUCCUGAAGUGAUCACUCCAAGGAGAAACCCUAGUAGAAAUCGGGGUAAGCCAACUUGGUUUAAAGAUUAUGUAAGUUAUGCCUCAAGACAUCCUAUAGAAAAAUAUUCUUGAAUACUCAAGAGUAUCUUCGUCUCAUGCUGCUUUCCUAAGCAAAAUUUCAGCCUCAUCUGAACCAAGCUCAUUCCAAGAAGCUAACUCUCAAUUGAUCUGGCAAACAGCUAUGGAUGAGGAGCUUAGAGCUCUAAAUGAAAACAAAACUUGGAGCAUCACCAAGCUACCUAAGGGGAUGAGAGCUGUGGGGUGUCGAUGGGUGUAUAAAACCAAAUUUAAGAGUGAUGGUUCAGUGGAGAGACACAAAGCUAGAUUGGUGGCUAGAGGUUUUACUCAAACUUAUGGCAUUGAUUACAAGGAAACCUUUGCUCCUGUGGCAAAGAUGAACUCGGUAAGAGUGCUUCUCUCGGUUGCUGUCAACCAUGAUUGGCCCCUAUUCCAAAUGGAUGUUAAGAAUGCCUUCCUGCAUGGAGAACUUAAAGAAGAUGUGUACAUGCAGUUGCCUCCGGGACAUCCACAAGAAGGAGAGGGCAUGGUUUGCAAGUUACACAAGGCCAUUUAUGGCCUCAAACAAUCUCCUCGAGCUUGGUAUGCCAAGUUAAGUUCUGUGUUAGAGAACAUUGGUUUUAAAAGGAGCAAUGCAGAUUCCUCACUAUUUGUGCGAGAUAGUUCAGCAGGUAAACUUGUCGUUCUCAUCUAUGUCGAUGAUCUCAUUGUGACUGGUGACAGUUUGACAGAAAUUCAGCGACUUAAGGGCUUUCUUCACAAAAAGUUUGCAAUUAAAGAUCUAGGAACUCUGAAGUAUUUUCUAGGCAUUGAAGUUGCUUCAUCUAGUAAAGGCUUGCUCUUGAACCAACGCAAGUACAUACUUGAUUUACUUCAAGAGUCCAAAAUGCUUGAGGCAAAACCAGUGGCAACCCCAAUAGCUUGCAAAGAGAAACUUGGAUUAGAUGGAGAUUUACUGAUAGACGUUGGUUUAUACCAGAGAUUGGUAGGGAAACUUAUUUACCUUACCAUUACUCGUCCUGAUAUCAUGCAUGCCGUGAGCCUAGUCAGUCAGUUCAUGCAUGCUCCUCGAUCAAUUCACUUACAAGCUGUUCGAAGGAUCUUGCGCUACUUGAAGGGCACUGUUGGAACUGGGAUUGUGAUGAGGAAGAUCGGAAAUGCUCACAUUGUUGGCUACACAGAUGCAGACUGGGGUGGCUCCAAAAUUGAUCGAAGAUCUACUACUGGAUAUUGUACAUUUGUUGGUGGAAAUCUGGUGACAUGGAAAAGCAAAAAACAAAGUGUGGUGGCUCGAUCAAGUGCAGAAGCUGAAUAUCGUGCCAUGGCAUCUACUACCUGUGAGUUAAUUUGGCUGCAAGGUUUGCUCAACGACUUAGGGUUCAAGAGAACACUGCCUAUGCCUCUUUUCUGUGAUAACCAAGCUGCUAUUUACAUUGCAUCUAAUCCUGUAUUUCAUGAAAGAACCAAACACAUUGAAAUGGACUGUCAUUUUGUUCGAGAAAAAACCCAAUCUGAUGUCAUUCAACCUGUUUUUUGUUCGGAGCACAGAUCAACUAGCAGACAUCUUCACCAAAGGAUUGUCUCGGGUUCAAUUCAACACUCUUUUGGUCCAACUUGGCUUGAUGAAUAUACUAGCCUUCGUUUGAGGGGGAGUGUUAGAUUAUUUAAUAUCCAAAGUAUGGGUUAUAGGUAUGGGUAGAAUAUCUAAUAUCCAAAGUAUGGGUUAUAGGUAUGGGUUAAUGUGUAAAGUAUGGGUGUUAGAAUAUUAAUGUGUAAAGUAUGGGUGUUAGAAUAUUAGUGUGUGAAGCAUGGUGUGUGAUGUUCAUCGGGUGACUCACUACAUCCUUCUCCACUUGUAUAAGUUCUCUUUCUUGUAACCUUACAGAUUUCAAUACAAACAAUUCUUUCAAAACUAUCACAGAGAAAAACUCCGUGUUGAUAUGUAUGAACAUGCAUCAUCUGUUUCUAGUGCAAAGCGGUCAGAAUUAAGCGCCCAUGCUAAAGUAGUGUUCUAUAUAAUGUAUUAAUUUUUUUUAUUAUCAUAUGGCCGAGGACACUUAUUAAGUUAAUUAAGCUCCUUUUAAGUUGUAAUUAUCGUUCAGCUUACAAUAUAAGUUUGAACCUUUUACGAUUUGAUUGUAAUAAAAUCACGUUUACGGAUGUUGUCCCUUAUGUUCAUUUGUUGGAAGGCAAGUCCUUUUGGGUUGGUAAAGGCCAUGCGGUCCUUCUGGCAUCAACUCCCUUCUCUCUCCAACCCUCACACGCUCACUGCUCACAACCCUUUGGGUAUUAACUACAUUGAGAAUAAUCAAAGGACGAUGAAUAAUUGAGAAAGAUGAAGAACUAGAGAGAAAUUUUAAAGAGAAAUGAGGCUUCUGUAUUUCUAAGAUCACCUCCAACUCUUGACUUAAAACCUAAAACGAACAAAUAAUAUGGGUCAAAAUCUUGUGAUUUUUCAUAUCGAAAAACUCUUACGACCCAGAUACAACUCGAAAAUGUAAUUAAAUUGACUCAUACUAGAUUGAAGCAAGUCAUGAAUCAUGAUUUGAUUUCAAGCCUACUAAAUAACUUAAAGAAAAAGAAACCAAAUAAAUAACUUAAAGGAAAAGAAACCAAAUAAAUAACUUAAAGAACAAGAAACCAGAUAAAUAAUCUAAAUUCACGAAUCAUUACUCAUAAUUUUAAUUGGGAUAAUUUGAUUGCGGUCCCUAAUCCUUAACAUUUUUUGAUUAAAACCUUAAUAGUAUUCAAAGUUUGAUCAAGGUCCCUUGACUUUGUACACCUCAUUAUAUUACUAUUAAUAUUUAUAUUCUUAUAGUUUUGACAUUAAUUGUUUGAUAUUUUAUGAGAUUUAUAAUCCUAUAAAUUUAAAAUCCCUCAUUAUAAUACUAUUAGAAACGGUUAUAAUAAAAAAAUUCAAACAUUUUAAUUGAAUAAAUGGAUAAAAACUAUGUAAAAAUAAGAAAUAAUAAAUGACAAAAGAAUGUAUCCAUAGUGUUAAAUAAAUUGGUACAUUUCACAUAUAACAAAGUGGUACAUUAAUAAAGAAGAAUGGGUACAUUAUAAAUAAAUUAGGGUACAAAUAAAAGAUUAAAAAUUAUGAGUACAAAUGAAUUUUUAAAAAUAUAGGUGCUAAAAGAAAUUAAUAAAUGGGUACAAAAUAAAACUAAAAAGAAAAUACUACAAAUUUAAAAAAAAAAUGUUGCAAAUUAAAAGUGGGGGUACAAACUAAAAGUAUAAAUAUAUGAUACAAAGUUUAGGCAUAAAACAUAAAUAUACCAUAUGUAAUUUUUCUAUCAUUGAUUAAAUAUACAAUGUCACGUGAUGGUAUACACAUGGGUACAAACACAAAUAAAACUUUAAAAAAUAUGGGCACAAAAAGAAACUAAUAUAUGGGUACAAAUUAAAAAUGAAAAGAAAAUUGGUACAAAUUAAAAAAUAUUUGCAAAUUAAAAAUUGGUACAAACUAAAAAUAAAAAUAUAUGAUAAAAAAUUUAGCCAUAAAUAUAAAUAUACUAAUUGUAACAUUUUUAACACUAAAGGAAUAUAUUUAAAAAUAAAAAUAUUUUAUUAUUCAAAUAAUUAAUGAUGUUAUUAAUACCCAAGGACCUUGAUCAAAAAUUGAAAAUGAACAGAAUUUUAAUCAAUGGGGUAACAAAAAGAAGGAUGUGAAUCUAAUUUUCCCUUACCUUAGGAGAUCCAAGUAAACAGGCUCUGUCCAACUUGCACAGUCAAGUCCAGGCUUCUUAAAAGCCGCCAAUAUAUCACAAGAAAAAAAUACAGUAAUAUUAACACAUAAAACACAAUUUAAUUAAGAAAAUUUAAUACAAUAGGAUAAAAUUACUGCAUUUUCUCACCUGCAUUGAAGGUUUGGCGGUUCCCCAGCCGGUAAGCAUCCAUAAGAACCCUGAAAGAAACAAAGAGAAAUCAUCAAGAAAAAGGUCUCCGAGAAAACCCAACUCGAAUUCGAACAAUGCAGCAAAAAAAAAGCUUCAAUAACCAAGAAAAUAAUAAAAAUACAACAAAGAAGCUGUGAAGUAAAAGAAAGCAAUUAAAUUGAAAUGCUUGGAGUAAGAAGGAGAAAGAAAUCGUCCCACCCGUCGACUUCGAGGAGAACAGCGAGUUCCUGAGACGGGUUCUGGUCUUGAGCGCCGGAUAGCCAGCUGAAAACGGCGAACCGGUCGAAGUGCAGGCAUUUUCCGGGAAAAGUUGAGUUUCUUGGGAAAGUGGACGAAAAUGAAGGGACCAAGUUGGGGUCGUUCUUGGGGAGGGCGAAGAAGCGGGCGGUGGGGUUGUUACUUGGCGGGAAAACGGCGGAAGAAAAGGGCUGAGCUCGGAGAACUGAGCACGAAGCGGCAUCCAUGGCAGUUUAGAAGAAGAAAGGUGCUUGCUUGAAAACGGUUUUUGUUUGAUUUACAGCUGACAGGGGAAGAAAAUACCGGCUUCUAUUGGAGAAGAAAUAGCGUUAUUGUGAAAUGACUCUUAUACCCCUUAUGGAUUUUCCGUCUCAUGUUUCCUGACGACCCGAAGUUCAACUCGAGAAAACCCCGAUAUAAUUUGGGGCUGAUUCGGCAGUCCAAUUUCGGAUAAAGCCCAUAAAGUUCAAGCUUGUUUUGGGCUUUUUGACCCAAAGUGUUAAUUAAUAAAUUAGCCCAUUAGGGAUUGUGACCAAUUGCGAUCAUGUUUUUAUUUUAUUUUAUUUUAUUUUAUUUUAUUUUAUUUUAUGAAACAUAGUAAAUUACAACUUGGAUUCACUUGGGAUUCCUAGUGAACUAAGUCAAAGAACACUUUCGAAGUCACUGCAUGACGAGGACUAGAAAACCAUACAAGGGUCAGUACAUGAGGAGGACUAGAAAACCAAAUACAAGGAUUUUGUAUUGUUUUUUUCAAUUUGUCAAGAGCGUCUGAAUUGCGCUCGUUGAAACGACUUUUUGAAUAAUUGAAAGUGUUUUUGUAAAUUGAUUUUGGCUGCCAAAAGCACUUCAAUUGUUUUUUGAGGAAGCACCAGAUAUGUGUUUCUUGCAGAAAACACUUCAAGUGUUUUUCUAUGAUCUACUUGGAUUUUUACUAAGAUUGGUUUCAGAUUUAUUUUAACUAAGAAACAUUUUCAAUCAUUUUAAAAACAUUUCUAAACGAGCCCUAGCUUCUCCUUACGUAUGUUGAAAAGGAAAGCUAUCCAAUUGUUGUAGCAAAGCUUAAUUGUUGUGGUCAUGUUGCUCUUGGUCAAUAUCAACAUAUUAAUAUGAAGUUAUGAACCGUUGACUCCAGCUCCCAGGUUUAUGCCUAGGUGAUGGUGACGCAAGCGAAAGGUCAUAGAUAAAAAUAAAAAAUAAAAAUAAGCCACAAAAUAGAAAAUAUGAAUGAUGAACAAUAGAUAGACGACUUUGCUAAUUUAGGUCAUAAAUUUGAUCAUGCAAAUAUUUGGUUAUAUAGUUUUUCUAGGAAAGUUAUACAUGGAGUUAUGGGUAUGUUUAAAUGUGCCUUUAAUAACUAAAAACACUUGCAGAUUACCAAAGACGAUUCUAACUAUACUAGAAGUAGAGUUAAAAAGCCAUUCGCAUUUUUAGUAAAAGUUUCAAUAUACUUCUACUAGAAGUACUUUUACUAAAAGUAUUUUUGAGCAUAAAUUGGUUUUGAAGAAACGUUUUAAAUUUUUGGUAAAAAUUUCAACGCACUUCUAAUUGGAAAGAUGGAUAAUCUUCAAUCUCGUCAUCUCACCCACUCAUUUUUAAUAUUUGAAGGAAAUUUUUUAUAAAAGCGUGAAAAGUCGCAUCGCGUGCCAUCAUCGAUCACUUGAGUCUGAAAAAAGAGAAAUUUUUUAGUGUACUCAGAAACACAGCCCGAAACACCAAGUGUCGUAAAAUAAUUGAUUGAAAGUUUUUUUUUCAAGUAUUGAACCAAUUAUUUUGUGACACUCGUGUUCUUAGUAUAUUGAAAGACCUUUGGAUUGAAAAAAAAAAAAUUUGCUCUGUUUUUAAUUUUAUAGAGGAUGAGAUUAACUAUAGUUUCGUAAGUUAGAGAUUAUAUUUAGUUCUUUAAUUAUAUACGGAAGCACUUUAGAAGCUUUGACUUUAACAAAUCAAUUAUAUACACAAAAAUAUGUGUUCGGAGUACUUAUACAUACACUAUGAACAUUAACAUCGAUCAUUGAUCAAGUUGAUUAACUAUUUUAUUAAUUUUUUUUUAAUUAUAUUCAUUGCAUGAGAAUUCUAGUAAGAUAUAUAUAUGUAUCUAUUAAAUUAGGGACAUGAGUUUGUAAAUAAGUUGUCACGAGUCAAUGGUCCAACAUCGCUUCAACUUAACCACUUGUUGGUGCUAGUCUAAUUAAAGUUAAGUUUUAUCUUAAAAAGUCUCGGUGUAAUUAUAAAUAUAACCAUAUUUUUGUUGAGAAUGAGUCUGACAUUGAUGGGAAAAUGGACCUUGCAUGGGCUUAUAAAUAUGUUAGGCUAAUUCUCAUAUUGCCAAUUGGUUUUAUGGUGGAACCUUAACUUCAUAGUAUCAGAGCUGGUUGUCCCACGUAUGAAUCCAAACGGCCGCACGCGCUCCACGUCAUCCCAUUGUGGUGUACACGUGUUAGACUUGAAAAUUCGCCACACAUGAGGAGGCAUGUUAAGAAUGAGUCCCACAUUAUUGAUGAGAGGAAAGACCAUGCAUGAGCUUAUAAGCAGGUUGGGCUACUCGCCAUCAAUGUAGAACUCAUUCUCAACAGUUUUAUUUGUUUGUUUGUCAAUUUUCCAAUUUGAAAAUUUUAACAUUUUGUUUUAAAGUAUAUAUGGAUAUAUUUUUUUUAUUAGACAAAAAAUAUCGUUAGUAAAUUAAAUUGUUAAGUUGUUAGAAGAGAAAAUGAUCGAACCCUCACUAAAAUUUACAAACAUGAUUAUUUUUCGCAAUAAAACCUCCUCAGUGUUAUCAUUCCGAGUGCAUUUAUUUUUCCUACAUGUUGACCAUUGUUGUCGAGCUUGAGCGCGAGCCCAGUCAAUCAAUCUUGGCAGCCUGCCUCGGGAGAAAUACCGGCAGCCAACUACAAGUGGCGUGAAAAUUCAAUGUCUGCAUGGAGGAAUUUUUUAUUGUGAUAGAAACACGAAUGGUACAUUAUGUGUUUUUAUAUAAGUGGUGGAAAAUUUUAUUUUUUAAGUUAUUAACUCUUUAACACAUAUAUCUCAUCAUUUAUAUAAGGAUACGUGGUGUACCAUCUUAUAUGACGAUUACAUUGAAAAAUAUCUCGUCUGCAUGUAUGAUUUUACAAGUAAUUAAGGGUGUUGAUUGAAAGUCAAUCUAAAAAGUUGACCUUUUGUAAAGAUACUAAUCAAGUGUUUCCAGAUCAAAGUUUUUAGGAAAAACUAAUGAAAAUGGCUUGAAAACUUUGAGUUUUAAUGAUAAGAACAAAAUAAAGGAUAAAGUGAAUAGUACCAGGAUUGACUUUUUAGUGUAAAAAUAUGAUUUUUCAUUAAAGUGAACAGUACCGUGAGGAUUUCGUUAAAGUUUCCAAGUUUUAUAUCGGUUACAUGUAUGAAUGAGAGACGGAGUAAAUAACUUUACAUGGAACCCAAUGAGAGCUCUAUUCCCUUUAGUUUCAUUCUUUGCACAAUUUAGACAUGAAUGCAACUCGACUGCAUGAGACAUUGAGACUUAAAGAUACUGGGAAGGGGUGUUGGAAAUGUGCCCUAAAGCCAAUCAUGUGAUGAUACUUUACGGACAUUUCACAUGUUAAACUAAUCUAGUUUAACAUAUAAAGGGCAUACAUUAUUGUUUGAGCCGUCUCAUAUAAAUGUUAUAUGCUUAAACGAUAAAGUCCAAGGAAUAUGUGAUUGGGAGAAUGUAAUCUAAUGAAGUUAGAUUCAUGAGACCAUUCUUUCGUAGACACAUCCUAAACGUUCCUGAUCAUAGGAUUGCCAAUUGGGCGUUGACAGUCCGUUAAGAUCAGUACGUACUAUGUCUUCUCUCAGGGAGAGUGAUUAGUCUCGAAUCAUUGGUGUGUGUGACAUCAAGACAAGUACGGUAGGUGCUCAAUAGAGAAUGAGUUCACUGAACGCGAUCAACGAAGAGUUCUCAUAUUCCAUGUCACAUGAGAACUCAUGGUUGGGAUAAUGCAAAGUAGUCCUUUGACCUGAGGCAUCAUAGUUGUCUUGUGGUUAAGACCUUGAUCUUUGAUUAUGUCAAAGUCACUCCAUCAGGAGGGUGUCCACGGCAUCGUUGGGGUCAAGUGACUUAGCUAUGGAGACAAGUGAAUGCGCAACAAGGGAUCUCUAACCUUCAAACCGUUUGAGGGAGAAUACUCUAUGAUAUGAUUUAAAUCUCUGAUCAGAGUAUGAAUGAGAUUAGGGAAUGCGUUCCGAAUCACAUUCAUGGUAAUCAUAUAAGCACAAGACACACACAUUGGAUAGUAGACAUGAGAAAAUAAACUAUCAAACCAAACAAUGUGGUCAAGAGUAUUAGAUUAGAGAAAGACCGUAUUGCAUUUGUAAUCUCGAACUGAAUAGGUUCUCUAACCUCUUCUGAUUAGCUUGGGUAACCAUGAUAUGCUGCUAGGUGUCACUCAUGGUUUGUGGAAGCCCUAAACGUGUAUAAUCACUAAAGGGAGAAUUGAAAAAUAGUUUCAAUUCACAAUCGAUGUAAAAUGGUUUUAAUCGCCCACUACCUCGCUAAAAGGAACCUAAUGGAUCGCACACCGUGAAAGGUGGAGAUUGGAGAUUAAACGGAAAUGAGUAAGAAUGAUUAAAUGGUUUAAUCAUUUAAUUAUGGCAAGGAUCAAUUAAUAUGUUAAUUAAAUCAAACGAAAAAGUUCGUUAAAGACUUCGGGAUAGUUUUGGACCUUAAGGCCCAAUGGGCUUCGAACGUCAAGCCCAUUAACUUAAGUUGUAUGACAAUUUAAUGAAUGAAGAUUCAUUAAAGCCCAAAAGCCCAAACAUCCCUAAAUGGCCAGCCAUGAUGAAAUGAAUUAGGGUUUUGGUUGUUUAGGUCACUUAAAGAAGUGACUAUAUAAAUGACUUUAUAACUAAAAUUCAUUAAGGAAAUAUUAAGGGUUUAUUUUGGGGGAAAAUUGGUGAGAAUUGUCUCUCUAUUUUCUCUCUAAAUAGGCCAACACCUUGGAGGGUACAUCUAGCAAUCCUACUACUCCAAGGUCACUCAUUUCUUCUACAAUCGAACCUUGGUGUCGAGAAUUAGAGGUUCUCAAUUUUGGGAACUUGGAGAACCUAUUCUUCCAUCCAAAUCCAUGGAUCUAAGAAGCAAGGAAUGAAGGCCCCUAUCUCUUUGGGUGAUUAGCCUUUGCUUAUGCAAAGAGGAAUCUACAAAGGUAUUAAUUUCAACUCACUUUGUUUUUGAGUUGAUUAUUGGUUCACCAAUCUACUAGGCUUUGAAUUUCAUGGGUAAAUGUUUUGUAUUUGAGUGCAUGUAAGCAUGAUUCCGCCUUUAAUUGUUAAUUGCAUGCUAUAUGAUGUUGCUCAAAUGAACAUGUUUUCACAAAAUAAUUCCUUCAAGUGGUAUCAGAGCCUAGGUCUAGUAGUUGGUGAAUCCUUUUGGGUUUUGUAGUUCAUAAGUUUGUGAUUUAAAAGUUGUAAUUGUUACAAGCUUUAUUCUUGCUUCUUUGAAAGUAAAUUUUGUUGGAAAAUUUGCUAUCUCAAAUGUUGUAGAUGUUGUUCAUAUAAGCAUGAAUAUUGGAGCUAAAAUUUGGUGCCAUGCUUUUGGGAAAAUUCGGCCAAAUCCAAAGGGUGAUUUUUUGGGUUCUUGUUUGACUUGUUAAAAGUGUUUUAAUGUGUUCUUUGGAACCCCUAAGUACCCUAGUUUGGUUAGAUGUUAUUUCCCUUAAGUAAGAAUGGUUUUGGAAUGUUUUUGGGUGAAAAAAGUUCAUGGAAAAAUUUGGGUUUUUCAUGGAUGUUCUUCAUUGUUCUUGAUGUUCUUGCCAAGAACAAAAAGGUUUGGUGUUUUGAUUCAAAGUUUUGAUUUAUUUCAUAAAGUAUAUGUGAUAUGUUUUUAAAUGUUUUAUCAUGUAUUUAAAGUAUUAGAUAUUUGUAUAAAUGAUGAUUGAAAUAAUUGUGAUUGAAUUAUUUCAAAACUUAUCUUACAUACACUUGCAUGUUUUUGACAAAACUCACUAAUCAACACACACACCAACCUUAUCCCUCCCCAAAACCAGCCACUCCCUCAAAGGGAGUACUUUUGGGGCUUUUAUGCAAUUACAUAAAGUUUUGAUACUUUUGUGUAUUUGCACUUUGGCCCAAAAGUUUACGUUUUUACGUUUAGGUCCAAAAACGCUAAAGGACAAAUUGUUUUUGUUCCUUUAAUGAAGUUUUUGCAUUAUUAAAAGUUUGGGUUCUAGUUGUAUUUACAUGAAGUUGUGACUUUUGUGUAUUAUACAAAGUGACCCCAAAAGUUUUUGUUAUUGCAAUAUGGCCCAAAAGUUGAGGUUAAUUGCAUGAUGGCCCAAAUAGGAUGAGAACAAAAUUGUUUUGUCUCUUUAAAUGAGAAUUGGAUUUUCAUUUUGUUUAGCUCCAUUUAAAUCAAUUUUAUGGAUAUAAAAACCAAAUGAAAAUGUUGCAUUCAUUUAAUUAGUUAAAGUGUUAAUUAAUUAAAGGGUGAUUAUGAACCUAAGCCUAAUAUAAUUGAGCUAUGUGAAAGGCGUUUCAAAUUUGUUUGAACCAUGGGAAUGUGUAGAUUAGAUUUUGGUUGUAAUUUGAUUUGAUCAAAUGUUGUAAAAGGGCUUAAGCUCUUCUUUACUUUAAAGUAAUUUGUUAUAUGCAAAUGUUGUAAUGAGCAUAAGCUCACCUUUACUUUGAAGUACUUCUUUCUUGCUUUAUUUGAUAUGCAUGAAAAUGAAGUAGUUGGGUCCAACGCCCAUAAGACAACACGCCUUAAUGUGAUUAAACGCGUAACUAAAAUCAAUCACCAUUCCUAGACCGAGAUUCAACACAAGGCUCGUGUUGAAUCUAAACAAAGGUUCAUAAUCAUCCUAAGGCCCUAAGGCAACUAUAUAGUCCAUCAAAUGAAUGCAAAGUUUAUGUUAGUAGUAUCAUAUACUCUUGCUUUAAAAAUCGUUUUAAAAGCAUAGUGGGAGUAUUAUGUACAACUAAAACAAUGAGAUGGACCAAUAGUUGUAAUAGGACCAAAAUUGUUUUAAUAGAGAUUAAAAUGUAUGUUUAUAUGUGAUGAGACCAAAAACCCUCAACCAAAUCAUUAUUAAGUUGAUAAGCGUGAGAGUGCUUUGAACACUUUUUCGUGGCCUUCCACCGUGGUAGGCUUCAAUCGUGUGUGACUCGUACAAUGUAUUCGUCCAGUUCUGGGGUUGCAAAGUAUGUGCUUACAUUCAGGAGAAGCCUAUACACAUAUGAUGAAGUGAAAGGUAGGCAACAAGUGUGGCCAAUAUGGAGUUCUUCUGAGGUCAUUCUUGAACCCCUACUUGAACUAGCAUGGUGGGAAUGACUUAACUAAGUGCAAUGGUGCCAAUAUGGAGUUCUUCUGAGGCAUCAUUCUCUAGAGGCCAAACGAGAUGGGUACUUGCAUUAGUUGCAAAUGAGUAAGCGUACUCUCUCAUUAUUAUUGUUGCUAGCCAAUAUGGAGUUCUUCUGAGGUGGGCUUGGUAAUAGUGAGCCUCCCAUAACCUACUAAGAGUUUCAUCUAAAACUCUCGAAUUCCAAUGAGGGAUAUGGAAUUUGCCAAAAAUAGUGGGUGAUGCUAUUUGAUUUAAAGACCCGAAUCAAAUGGCUUAAAAUCAAUCAAUUUAUAUUCGUUAUGUAUUUGAUUACCAAUAUAUUUGCAAACGCUAUCCAACACUUGACAAAUAAAAACCGAAUGUUUUAGUUUCCGUACUUAGGUACCACAAUCCCAAAGAAUGUCUUAAAAGGAUUGCAUAUGUAUCUAAGUAGUCUCAUCCUCACAAUCUUCCUAUUGAUAAUGUAUCAUUAGAAGAAUAUGUUAGAAAAGGUCUAUCAUAAAGAGGACAACACUUUUAAUGUCAUAAUUCUUCAAUUACAAAUUGUUGUAUGAAGAAAUAGGAGUUGCUUUGAACAACCCUUAGUCAAUGCAAACACUUAGUGCUUGUUUCUUUGUUACAUGAACAAGGAAAUUGAGAAGAAAGCACAAAGGCAUGGACACUUUAUGUGCCAUGAUUCUUCACUUACAAUUUGUUGUGUGAAGAAAUAAGAGUUGCCUUGUACAACUCUUUAAAGUUUGUAAUUAUGUUUAGAACAUAAUGGUUGGUUGACAAAAAUAGUCCAUCAACAUGGACUUAUGAUGAUUUUGAAUCAUUGAGUGUUGAAGUGAUAAACCACUUAACGAGACGGAAACUAGGCAAGGACUUCACCUUUGUUUCUCUAUCCUAAUCGUUCACUAAGUUUAUUGUAAACUAUGUAGUGAAAAAUAACCACAUGCUCUCCAAAAUGUUUGAUGUGUAUAACACAAUUGAAAAAGGUUUCAAGAGAGAUAGUGGGAGUUUAGGGACCAUGACUAAUGUAGUCAAAGGUGAAAGUCAAAUAAAGAAGAUAAAUAACUCCAAGGGAACAAACUUUCUUUAUGAAAGGAUGGACAUUGGAAGGGGUAUUUGCAAGAAAUGUCUUGCAAGUGUCAAGGACACACCUUUCGAAGGUGUUGUAAAUUGUUCUUGAAUAGUUCAAAACAGUUGGUUCUUCUACUUGAAUGCAUGAUUCCCUAUUAGUAACUAUGUUUUACAAUCGUUGUAAAAGUGUGGCUAAUAAGAAGUAGAAGAUUAAUGAGAGAAGAGAAAGUACUUCACAUUCGAAGCGUGAAUCAAAUGUAGAUCUCUGCGAAAGCAGAUGGUACUUACUUCCUCUUAUGAACUACCAAAGAAAUUGGAAAAACAUAGAUUGUCUUUAUAUUCCAAUUUUAAGGAACUAAAUUCCGUCACUAUGUGAAAUGGGAUAAAUGUUUUGUUUGACAAAACAAUGUUCUUUAUUAAUCAAUGAUUAGAUUAUGGUAAUCUAAUUAAUUAUCUCUAUAGUAGAGAUAAUAUGGUAGUGUUAACUGUUUAGAAAUAAUGAUGCUUAAAACCCAAAAGGUUGCAAGGAAGUGACUAAUCCCAACUAAGUUGUGAUUCCUCUAAAAACAUAAGUUAUGAGUUGGUGAAAGAUGGAUGCUUGGAUCGUUAGAUCCGGAUCCAAUACCUUCUUGUUAAAAUUGUAUAGAGGCGAAAUGUUCGAAUCUUUAUUCUUUUGGAAAGAAGAAAGAAUCACAAAGUUGUUGAGGUUAAUUCACUUAGAUGUUAGUGGCACAUGUCCACAAACAUAAUACUACUCAUGUUGGAUAACAUUCACCGAAGAUUACUCUCGGUUGGACUAUAGUUUAUUUUGAAUAAACACAAGUCCGAAUACUUUGCAAAUGUUUCAAAGAAUUCAAGUAAUGUAAGUUGAUGAGUAAGACGUCUAAAGUAUUUACCUCCUUAGAUUUGAUCCAAGGAAAGGUAACACUUUAGAUGAGUUUCCUUGAAAGAUAUCAAGGAAAAUAGCAUCAUAAGAUAAUGUAUUUCUCCAUUAGGAGAAGAACGAACUAGAAUAAGAUUUAGUUCGUUAGAUGUUAUCUAUUACCCAUAUAUAGGAUAUAUACUUCUAAAACAAUAUGAUUGUCAAUGAGAAGAUCUUCCAAUAUUUUCAUAACUCCAUAAGAUGUAGUUUGAAAAGAAAGACAAAUGUUAAGCAUGUUAAGAUUUGGGGUUGUGUGCUAAUAAGCAAUAUUUGUUUGAUAACAAUCUUGCAGGAUAUCCUUAAAUAACUUUUUGAUAUCGCUUCUAUAAACCAACUAACAAAUGUUGUUUUGUUGGGUAGUUCAUUGUAAUUCUACAAUGUGAUUUGCCUAAAAGCAAAUGAACGAGAGAUAGAACUCAAAGAAUGGGUUCUUUGAAAGACAAGAAAGUAAUCAACAAAUAUAACAACCUAGUUCCUAUACCUCAAGCUCCAAGGUAGUCGAUAAAGAUUUAUAAACCGUCUCAGUUGAAUGGUUUUGAACUUUAUGACUAUGUCAUAGAGUUGCACCUCUUAAUUCGAAAGAAAUAAGAAUGAAAAUCCUUAUGACUACAUUGAGUGCAUAUACGAUAUAUACUCAAGGAAAUGGUAAAGUACCAUUUGACUCGAAAUAAUGAAACCUUUAAAGCUAAUUGGUAGCUUAAGGUGACUACGAUCAAAUAGAAUGGUUGACUUUAAAGGAACCAUUUUUGAUGUAGUCUUAGUUUCAAUAAAUUCGAAGAUUGCUAGCUACAACUAAAUGGUGAUUCAAUGUUUGGACAUAAUAUGGGUUUCCGAAACCAUUAUUAAGAUAGUCUUGAUAAUAUAUGUCUAAAACUAUAAAUCACAAGACAUGUAAGUUGUAGAGACCCAUCCAUCAUGGAUCUUAGCAAGUUAGUGGGAGCUAUUUGCAUUUUAUGAGAAAAAGGAUCAAAUCGUUUGAUUUCUCAUAAAGAUGUAAAUGAAUCUUUUGUUUACUAGUUUUACAAAAGAUUAGUGGGAGUUAAUCAUGUUCGUAAAAAUUUAAAUAUAUAUGAUAUAUUAAUUUUGGAAAUGAAAAGAAUACUUCUUCGUUAAAGUUAUGACUUUAAUACAUUAUAUGAAGAUAGAAUGUAUAUGGGAGAUAUAGUCUAUAUACAUGGGAUGGAAAUCUAUAAUGAUAUAUUUCAUGAUAUAAUUGGAUUAUAUCAAUCCCUAAUAAUAGACAAUGGAUGCUAGGAAGUUUCUCAUAUGAUGAUAAACUUCAAUAAAAAGGACGAUUCUAGUGAGACUAGCAAGUUGCCCUUCUCAAAGGGAACGUGCCCCUUUGACUCCCAAAGAAAUAAUGCGUAAAUUGAAUCCUUUAUGCAUACGCAGAAAGGUGAUUUAUGUAUUUCAUAUUGUAUGAAAAACAUUGAUAUGAGUUGUACCUAGAACGGUACAAGAUGAUAUCAGUGCAAGCCCAGGAUCAGAACCAUGGCUGCUGUCAAGUGAGUCCUUAAGUAUUUAAGAAAUACUAAAGGAUAAAUUCCUCAAAGAUCGAGGAAGAAUCAAAGUAACGUAAUGGAAGCGUAAAUGUAUUAGAUUAUGAAUCUAAUCCAUCAUUGGAUGUUUCUUCAUUAUGAAUGAAGAGAUAAACAGAUAUCUCUUUAUUAUGACUAAAGAGAUAUUUGGAUGGAAACAUUAAAGUAAUGACUUUAGUGUGUUCCAUUAUGAAUGCAAGAUAUAUUGCCAUAUAGAAGUUUACAACAAUGUUGUUUGGAUGGGAAAGUUCAUUUAUGAACUCUCUCUAUUCGGUUCCAACCAGAAAGUGUAUGACACUAAUGGGGCGAUAGCUCAAGCCUGGGAAUCAAGGUCUCAUCAAGAUCCGAACACAAAUGAGAGACUAAACCACAUGAUUGAGAAUCAUGUAUAAUGGUGACGUCGUUAUUCUCAAGGUUGCUUCUGUGGAUAACACAUAUAGAUAUCCACUGCCUAGGCCUACUAUUCAGCCAUUUAUGAAAUGACUACAGAAGAGGUAUCAUCAAGAUGACCAAGCUGAUUGGCUCUAGUGCAAGUGGGAGAUUGUUGGAAAUGUGCCCUAAAGCCAAUCAUGUGAUGAUACUUUACGGACAUUUCACAUGUUAAACUAAUCUAGUUUAACAUAUAAAGGGCAUACAUUAUUGUUUGAGCCGUCUCAUAUAAAUGUUAUAUGCUUAAACGAUAAAGUCCAAGGAAUAUGUGAUUGGGAGAAUGUAAUCUAAUGAAGUUAGAUUCAUGAGACCAUUCUUUCGUAGACACAUCCUAAACGUUCCUGAUCAUAGGAUUGCCAAUUGGGCGUUGACAGUCCGUUAAGAUCAGUACGUACUAUGUCUUCUCUCAGGGAGAGUGAUUAGUCUCGAAUCAUUGGUGUGUGUGACAUCAAGACAAGUACGGUAGGUGCUCAAUAGAGAAUGAGUUCACUGAACGCGAUCAACGAAGAGUUCUCAUAUUCCAUGUCACAUGAGAACUCAUGGUUGGGAUAAUGCAAAGUAGUCCUUUGACCUGAGGCAUCAUAGUUGUCUUGUGGUUAAGACCUUGAUCUUUGAUUAUGUCAAAGUCACUCCAUCAGGAGGGUGUCCACGGCAUCGUUGGGGUCAAGUGACUUAGCUAUGGAGACAAGUGAAUGCGCAACAAGGGAUCUCUAACCUUCAAACCGUUUGAGGGAGAAUACUCUAUGAUAUGAUUUAAAUCUCUGAUCAGAGUAUGAAUGAGAUUAGGGAAUGCGUUCCGAAUCACAUUCAUGGUAAUCAUAUAAGCACAAGACACACAUUGGAUAGUAGACAUGAGAAAAUAAACUAUCAAACCAAACAAUGUGGUCAAGAGUAUUAGAUUAGAGAAAGACCGUAUUGCAUUUGUAAUCUCGAACUGAAUAGGUUCUCUAACCUCUUCUGAUUAGCUUGGGUAACCAUGAUAUGCUGCUAGGUGUCACUCAUGGUUUGUGGAAGCCCUAAACGUGUAUAAUCACUAAAGGGAGAAUUGAAAAUAGUUUCAAUUCACAAUCGAUGUAAAAUGGUUUUAAUCGCCCACUACCUCGCUAAAAGGAACCUAAUGGAUCGCACACCGUGAAAGGUGGAGAUUGGAGAUUAAACGGAAAUGAGUAAGAAUGAUUAAAUGGUUUAAUCAUUUAAUUAUGGCAAGGAUCAAUUAAUAUGUUAAUUAAUCAAACGAAAAAGUUCGUUAAAGACUUCGGGAUAGUUUUGGACCUUAAGGCCCAAUGGGCUUCGAACGUCAAGCCCAUUAACUUAAGUUGUAUGACAAUUUAAUGAAUGAAGAUUCAUUAAAGCCCAAAAGCCCAAACAUCCCUAAAUGGCCAGCCAUGAUGAAAUGAAUUAGGGUUUUGGUUGUUUAGGUCACUUAAAGAAGUGACUAUAUAAAUGACUUUAUAACUAAAAUUCAUUAAGGAAAUAUUAAGGGUUUAUUUUGGGGGAAAAUUGGUGAGAAUUGUCUCUCUAUUUUCUCUCUAAAUAGGCCAACACCUUGGAGGGUACAUCUAGCAAUCCUACUACUCCAAGGUCACUCAUUUCUUCUACAAUCGAACCUUGGUGUCGAGAAUUAGAGGUUCUCAAUUUUGGGAACUUGGAGAACCUAUUCUUCCAUCCAAAUCCAUGGAUCUAAGAAGCAAGGAAUGAAGGCCCCUAUCUCUUUGGGUGAUUAGCCUUUGCUUAUGCAAAGAGGAAUCUACAAAGGUAUUAAUUUCAACUCACUUUGUUUUUGAGUUGAUUAUUGGUUCACCAAUCUACUAGGCUUUGAAUUUCAUGGGUAAAUGUUUUGUAUUUGAGUGCAUGUAAGCAUGAUUCCGCCUUUAAUUGUUAAUUGCAUGCUAUAUGAUGUUGCUCAAAUGAACAUGUUUUCACAAAAUAAUUCCUUCAAGGGGAAUCAUAUUUCACGUACAAAUAUACAUAACAUUUACACUCGUUGUUUUUAUUCUUUUUUCUUUUUUAGAGUGGCAUAAUGACAUAAAUGCCAAUAAUAGUUCGAAAAAAAAAAACUGCAUAAGACUCUAAAAGUGAGAAAUGAAAAUGCCGACACCGAAGACGAUUUUUGCAUGAAUUAAUUUUAAAAGAGAAUUUAAAAGCUAAACAAUUCUAAUCGUUGAACCACAUUUUGAAAUAGUUUAAAUACACACAUAUCAAAUCAUUAACAUCAUGUAUUAACGUCUUUUGUCCUAUUUAUUAUCAUAUAGUUUUCCAAAUGCUGAGACAUUACUGCAUGAUAUGUAUAUAGCAUGCUGAAUAUUUGACAUAGUAACUGAAAACCAGUUUUACAUUCUCACUUGGGAAGAAAAAGUGAAAAGCACAGGUUUGAGGUUUACAUGGUUGCACCAAUUUGUUUGGCAUUCUGAGUGGGUUAUUUCGGCUACAUGCUUUCUUUCCUCUGAAUGAAAAAUAGAUUCGAGCUUAGGAAUUGUAAAUUUGGUCAAACUUGUUCCUCUAUGGGCCAUAUUCCAUUAUAAAUUUGGUCAAACUUCAACUACAUGCCUAUUUAUUAUCAUACAGUUUUGCUUGAUAUAUAGCAUGCUGAAUAUUUGACAAAGUAACCGAGAACCAGUUUUAUAUUCUCACUUGGGAAGAAAAAGUGAAAAACACAGGUUUGAGGUUGACAGAGUUGCACCAAUUUGUUUGGCAUUCUGAGUGGGUUAUUUCGGCUACAUGUUUCUUUCCUCUGAAUGAAAAUUAGAUUAGAGCUUAGGAAUUGUAAAUUUGGUCAAACUUGUUCCUCUAUGGGCCAUAUUCCAUUAAUUUAGCAAACAUUUUCAGAGCCAGUACGUCACAUAUUUUUUUUUUAUAAUUCUGUAGCUUGGUCAAACAUCUGACAAGAUGGAAAAAAAAAUUUCAUGUGUCAUAAAUACGAUUUGAUAGUCAUAAUACAAUUGGUUACAUUUUUUUCCAAUUUUUUAAUUAAUUGUGUUAUUACAUUUGAUGUAAUGUGUCUUAUUUCUGAUACUAAAAAAAUCUUUUCAUAACAUGAUCUCUCUCAACCCUUUGCCCUUUACCCAAAAGUGACAAUGUCAAUAAACUGUCCGUCAAUGCAAACGACUAUUGACCAAAUCACUCUUUUCACACUUAAAAGCUUUUCUUUAAAUCCUCAAAUACAUAAGAAAUUUUUAGUUGUGACGGAAACACGAAUGGUACAUCAAGUGUUUUUAUAUAAGUGAUGAAAAAUUUUAAUUUUUAAGUUAUUAACCUUUUAACACACAUAUCACACCAUUUAUAUAGAGAUACGUAAUAUACUAUCUCGUGUGACGAUCACAUUAAAAAAUCUCUCCAAAUACUCACUGAAAAUCUUUCCAUAACAUGAUCUCUCUCAACUCCCAAGCCUCUCAACCCUAUGCCCUCCACCCAAAAGUGACAAUGUCAAUAUAACUGUCAGUCAAUGCAAACGACUUUUGACCAAAUCACCCUUCUCACACUUAAAAGCUUUUCUUUAAAUCCUCAAAUAUAAAUGGAUCAUCAGAAAACCCCAAGAGAAAGAAGCUAAAGAGAAAAAUGGAGGAGGUCGAUCAGAAGAUGAUGAGUGCUAGUGAUUCAAAUAACAUGAUUUAUAAGGAUCAAGAUGCAAAUAUGCUUCCUGGGUAUCGCUUUCACCCUACUGAUGAAGAGCUAGUGAGGUUUUACCUUCGGAGGAAGGUGGAGAACAAACCUAUUCGUCUUGACCUAAUCAAGCAUGUUGAUAUUUACAAAUAUGACCCUUGGGAUCUUCCAAGUAAGCUCCUCCGAUCCAUCCCUUCAAUUUCUAACUACUACAUAUUGUUCCCGACGUAUAUGCAUGCUCAUGAUUUUAUGUAGAUACACUUGUGAGUAAAGCAUGGAUAGAAUUGAUCGGUCCAUACGUGUAGUGAAAUUGAAUAUUAUUUUUUGUGUUUACUCAAGUUUUUUUCUCCAUUUGUUGAAAUGCAGAAGCGAGUGGGGACAAGGAGUGGUACUUCUUUUGCAGAAGGGGAAGGAAAUACAGAAAUAGCAUAAGACCUAAUAGGGUUACAAAAUCUGGGUUUUGGAAAGCUACUGGCAUUGACAAGCCUGUAUAUUCGGUUGGAGACUUUCACAAUUGCAUUGGCUUGAAGAAAUCCUUAGUCUACUACAGAGGAAGUGCCGGAAAAGGUACCAAAACUGAUUGGAUGAUGCACGAGUUUCGUCUUCCAGCUAGUUCAAACACUGAUACUUCUAUCAAGAACAGUACUCAAGAAGCUGUAAGAUUAAUUCAUCUUAAAUAACGAGUUGCAGUACUAUUAAUUAAAUUCUCUUAGUUGUACGUUUGUUACUCAAUAUUCGACAUAUUACGUACUCCACUAACUCUGAAUUUGGAUCGCACAUUGAACGACAUAAUUAAUAGUCUAGAUGGUUUAACAAUAUAACAUGUUAGAUUAUCUAGUUGAGAAAAUACUACGAUCAAUAUAUAUAAAUAUAUAUUGAAAAAGUGUGAGCCCGUUGAUUAAUUCUUUCAUAUGACUGCAGGAAGUUUGGACACUUUGCCGGAUUUUGAAGCGAGAUCAUACUUCGUGUGGAAAGUAUACAUCAAAUUGGCGUAUGACAACCUUGAAUCCCAAGCAAAGUGUGGCUGGCUCAAGUUCUAAAACAUGCAGUUCUGAGUCAGAUGCAACUUUUGGUGCUUUGGCUGCUAACGAUCAAUCUGAGAGGAGUCCUCUUUUCAAUAAUGUUCAUACGUAUGAAGGGAACCAAUUCUCCCUAGGCCGGCUGAGCUUAAAUGACGACGUAAACAAUCCAAACUCGUGCAUAAGCUUUCCGAAUACUCCAAAUGAAGAGAUGUUAACAUCGAAUGGAAACUGGGAUGAGCUCAGACCAAUGGUUGACUGUGUUCUUAAUCCGUCACUGCUAUACAGUUAUAUGUAGCUAGCGGAAAUUAAGUUCUCUAACCUUUGUCAUAGUUAGGGGGAUUACACACCCACAUAGCAUGCGGGACUCUUUUUUACCCUUGGAUGUUGAUGAUCUACAUGAAUAACAUAUUAUGAACGGUACUAUCCACACGUUCAUUUUUACAUUUUACACAUUUCUGUUAAUUUAUGUCAUUUUUACCCUCUUUAAUUCACUCAAUUCAACGAUCGAAAAUUGAGAGAGGUGUGUAUAGUUAAAAGAGAUGUGUGGAUAGCAUCAUCCUAUAUUAGUACAAUUCCUUUCUUUUACGUUUAUAUCAUUUAAUUUUUAAAAACAAGUUGUAGUAGGGCAAAAUAAGCCACCCUAACCUCCUAUUCUUGAAGAGAUGAAAACUCACAGGCACAAAUAAUUAUUAAAAGGUUUUUAUCAUAAAUGGUCAUUGAAAUUGAAAAUCAAUCAAUGUAGUCCUUGAAAAUAGGUGUCUCAAAUCAAUGUGGUCCUUCCAUCACAAUUCUGUUAAAAAUUCCGUUGAGUACUAAUGUGGCACAUAAAUAGUCUCAUAAGUCAUUUUUUCUCACAAAUAGUCCUUAAAAUUGAUUUGUGACAUCAAAAUGGUCCCUGAAAUUGCCUCGCGCCAUCAAAAUGGUCACUGAAAUUGAAAAUUGAUAAAUGUAGUCACACAAGUAAGUGUCCCAAAUCAAUAUAGUCAUUCCGUCACAAUUCUGUAAAAAAUUCUAGUAUAUGCUAAUGUGAUACAUAAAUGGAUCACAAAGUCUAAUUAAAUUUAAAAAAUUACAAAUAGGUUUAGGGACCAUCUUGAAAAUGUAGGUCAAUCUCAGGAACCAUCUUGAUGGUGUAAGUCAAUUUCAGGGACCAUUUGUGAUAAAAACCCGUAAAUCUUGUAGGCCCAUUUAUGUGCCACAUCAACACUUAAUAGAAUUUUUAACAGAAUUAUAACGGAAACACUACAUUGAUUUGCAACACCUAUUUUUAGGGACUACAUUGAUUGAUUUUCAAUUUUAAGAAUCAUCUUAAUGGUAAGCGUCAAUUUCAUGGACCAUUUGUGAUAAAAAUCCUAGUUAAAAUGUUGAAGUCAAUGUUUCUGUGUAUUUUUGGCUUUUGUAAUGAUUUGGGAUGUAGGGGGAGCAGCAAUUCUAGAAUGGGAUAACUCACCAUCUAUUAUUUGACGAAUUGUUUGGAUUUGUAGCAUAACUCGAUCACUAUCUUCAAUUAGUUUGACUAACUUCGUUCUAGCCAGAUGAAAUGUCAAUCUGUAGUGGCCAAAAGCAACAUAGGCUAUUGCAUUUAUUCAUCAAUAGCUGCUAAAUCGUGACAUAUUUACUUUGAUAUAUUUCAUUAAAAAUGGUAUUUGGAAAUUAAAAAGUGAAAGGAAGAGACAUCACACACAAUUGAAAAUGUGUUGUAACAUAGUGUUAUUAAUCACGUGUUAUAACCGUCACUAUCAUGUAAUAUUAUUAUUAUGCUCAUCUUAUGUCCGUAAAACAUUAAUUAUUUUAUAACACGUAGAUUAGUAACACAAGUGAUGAUCACAGUCAAAAGUUUCUUAAUAUUAGUGGACAACAAAGUUGAAUUUAUAGACUCGGGCUAUAAUAUUAUAAAAAUAAACACGUGUUAUGUGAAUGAAUUGGCAACAUAAUGCAAUGGUAGAGGUCACAAAGAAAAAUUUAUGACUAAUAAGCACAUGAAAGCUAGAAGCUGGCAUAUGAAUGAAACCCAAAAGGCCUUAUAGAUAUGUAAUUGAACUUCUAGAAUGAUUAGAGUACAAACUCUCACCAUUGUGAGUAAGGUCAUAUAUAUUUAAUAUAUAUUUAAAGUUUGAAUCAAUUUAUAUAAAAUAAUAAUAAAAAAAUAAAAUUGAGUAGCGCUAUAUGUCAUAUUCUUACUCACCACGUUUUCUCACCAUGCUUUCAAGACCAAUUUGUAUGCAUUAAACUUUUGUGAGAGAUGUGGUCAGUAAACAUGAUACAAUUUAUAAGGCUUCUUUUGUUACAGUUGCUUGACGACUUCCUUCAUCAAAUCAGGGUUGGCAUGUUGGAAAUCGAACAGCUCCUCGAGUGAAAUGAACCCAUCGCGAUCCUUGUCGAUCUCCUCCAUUCUCUGACGGACUUCUUCCGGCGAAGAAGAGCCAAGUGCUUUGAGUGCAUCAGCGAGCUCAGUCAAUGAAAUCUUGCCAUCGCCAUUGUAAUCAAAUCGCUUAAACACACGCUCACAUCCAGCCUUGGCAUGAUCAUCAGCCAUUGUGUUUGUAUUGUGAUUGCAGUAUUCAAGUUUCCUUCUUUUAAGUUUUGGUUUUUUUAUGGAAUUUGACACGAAACCAAGUAGUUGACAAGUUUAUGUGAUCGAUCUGGGUUGUUCUUGGACCUGGUAUUAAUGCUCAGGAAGCGGAUCAUCACCUAGAAACGAGGAAGAAACCUUCUUGAUUUAGACAUAAGUUAACCGUAAAUAUAGACAAAUAAUUAUUACUAGGGCCUUGACAAAUUUCAAGUUACUUAGUACGUACCACGUAGUAACCAUAUCAAAUAACCUAAAAAAUUAAUCAAUUACCAGUUUUUUAUUUUUUAAAAAUAGGACCAGUUGGUGACUUCGAUACGACAGUCCACCCUUAUGGAGACAAAAAGACUCACAUGAGCAUUCCACCCUCACCAUAGGCACAAUAGUGUGAUUCAUCAACUCCAGAAAUCGAACUCAAAACGUACCGUGUUGAAUACGGGUCUGGAAUUAGUCUCAACCACAGGGUCACCCCUUGGUGGUUAAUCAAUUACUAGUUAGCUAGUGCUUACGUGGGAGGAAAGAAAACUUAAAAAUUAGUAUAUUAGUGCUUAAUUAUGCUUUGAGUCUCCACCAGCCAUAGUCCAAAAGGCUCCAUUUAUCACGAAAAUGCCAUAACAUUGUCUCUAAUUAACAACCGGAUUAUACUUAGUAAAACUUGGUCAGCAUGCCAAAGGGAUACCAGGAGUUAAAACAUUCAAAAUAUUAAAAAAUUCGUCUUCUUAUAAAUAUGUUUCCAAUUGAUAUGCUAAAAAGUCCAGAAACCAACUAUUUGACAUCCUUUAUGAUAGGUUUAAGAUGCCAAGGGGCAUCCAAACAUCAUUCUCUGCCUGGCUAAUUUCACGACGGACGCAUUAGCUCAUAUGGGCUUCACAGUUGCCAACCCUUAUUUUUGGGAUUAUUGUCUUUCGAUUUCGGCUAUGAUGGCCUUUAAUUUUAAUUGUAUGAGAAACGGUUGUACUAGAGGGUUUAAACUUUAAUAAAUUUUGUCUUCAUAAAAGAAAUUGGGUAAAGUACAAAAAACUACCUCAACUAUUAGUCUCAUGACACUUUCAUACCUCAUCUUUUUAAAAUGACAAUGUCAUACCUCAUCUUACGAAUUUGUGUCAAUGUCAUACAUCCGUCAGUUUUUCUGUUAGUUUCUCUGUUAAGUGUUGACGUGGCCUAGCUUAAAUAGUGAUGUGGCUUAAAUAAAUUAAUAAAAUAUUAAAAACUAAAAAAUUAAAAUCAUUUAAUAUUUUUUUACAUGGGGACCCAUCCCCUUUCCCCCUCCCAUCUUCCCCAAAUCCGAUCCACCCCCUUUCUCCCUUCUCUCAUCUGCAACCCCACCCACAUUUCUCUCAUCUGCAACUCUCACUCACCCUCCCUUCUCUCAUCUUCAUUGUCGACUCCAUCCACCAACGACCAUCACCUUCUUCCUCAUUCUAACUGACGACAUCGAAGUCGCCGAUCUCCAGCACACCAACCUCGCCCCUCUUCGGUUACCCACUUCUUCCAUUGAUCUCCUCCCUUUCCUUACCAAACUACCCAUAUGGGUUCGAAUACUUCUGUGAAUCCUUGACAGCCUUGUUGCCCCACGAUUACCAAGUAAUCGACUUCGUCGUUGGGUUUGCAGAAGUUGAGGACCGCCUCUGCCACCUCCCUUUGCUCCCGCAGCCCAGCACCAUCUUCAAGCCCAGCAAAACGCAGCAGCAAUCCCACACCCACCACCAUUGCCGAGUCUUUUAGGAAUACAAAUUGGGUUUUUUUUUCUGGGAAAAAUUGAAUGGUUUUGCUUUGUUUGGUUGCUCGGAAAAUGUGGGAGAAAGGAAAUGAAAUUGGUGGGUGCUUUGUUUUUUAUGCAUGCUUGUAGGUUAGAAAUAGAUAGAGCGGCGGAGGAAGAGAAGAUAGGCACCUGGUGGGAAUGGGAGUGGUUGGUUUGGGGUGGGAUAUGGGUUUGGGUUAGGGGAAGACGACAACCUUGUCGGCCCCGACCUUGACAGCUUUCCCUCUCUCCCUUUCUCCUUGACAGCUUCGGAGACGGCAACGACGGCGGAUCGGCAGUGGGCAAUGGAGUGGGAAAAAGAAGUGGGUCGGAGCUUGCAGGUAGAUCCGAGAAAGGAGGGCGGAUGAAAAAAUCCAGGUGGGUUUGGGGGGUUCUAGGCACGGCGAGAGAGAGAAGUGGGGAGGAAAUAGACUAUGGUGGAGAGGAGAAGGAGAUGCGAGAGAGAGAGAUGGGAGAAAGAAGGUGGUGGAGGAAGGUUGGGGGGGACGAGUGGGAAGGGGAAGGGGGAGUCGAGUGGGAAAGGGUUUUGGGGAUGCAGAGAAGAGAGAUAGGCGAGAUAGAGGGAGGAGAGAGAGAGAGAGAGAGGAGAGAGAGAGAGAUUUAAUAUAAUUUUUUUAAUUUUUUAAAAUUUUAAUUAUUAAAAAAAAUAUUUAAUUAUAUUUUAAUCCAGUUGGAUUAGUGAGUGGCCCGUAUCUAGCCACGUCAGCACUUUACAAAAAAAACUAACAGAAAAACUGACGGAGGUAUGACAUUGGCACAAAUUUGUAAGAUGAGGUAUGACAUUGUCAUUUUAAAAAGAUGAGGUAUGAAAGUGUCGUGAGACCAAUAGUUGAGAUAGUUUUUUGUACUUUACCCAAAGAAAUUCCAUAAAUGGACAGGGACCCUGAUCAACUUAUAUAUGGGACCAUAUAAGAAUUAUGAAUACGAGCUCGUUUGGAUUUUUUUUUCAAAAUAACUGAAAGUAUUUUUAGUGAAAAUAUCUUUGAGUAAAUUGUAGCAAUGGUCCCUGAACUUUAAUCAAAUUGGAGCAAUGUUCCCUCAACUAAAAAUCCAUUACCAUUGGUCCCUCAACUUAUCAAAAUGUGUAGCUAUAGUCCUUUUCAUCAAUUUCUUCAAAAUUUUGUCAAAAAAUGUUAUGCUGCACGUUUUGAUGAGUUGAAGGACUAAUGGUAAUGGAUUUUUAGUUGAAGGACCAUUGCUCCAAUUGAGUUAAAGUUAAAUGACCAUUGCUACAAUUUACUCAAUAUCUUUGGAACCAAUUCUUAAUAAAAAUACAAAUAAAUCAUGAAAAGACAAUUAAAGUGCUUCUUGAGAAAAGCACAAGUUAUAUGCUUCUUGCAGAAAACACUUCAAGUGAUUUUGGAACCCAAAAACAUCUUUUCUAAAACCGAUUUCAGUUAUUUUAAAAAUACUUUCAAAUAAACACUACAGAUAUUAAGAAAUAAGCAGUAUUGAUCAAAUUCUAUUUGGUCUCCGAAACUAGUGUUGAUCCCCAAUUUACGUAAUAAUCAAAGUGCAUGUCCAUGAUGCCUCAAGUUUGAGAAAGCCUAGAGUCACUACGAAGACGCGAAGAAGUACCUCGAGCAUCUAGUAUGUUUCUUUCUUCUUCUUCUGGUGCCAGUCGACUGACAAACAGAAGCGGAGGCAACAUACGAUUCCGGAACCCUAAAAGCGGAUUUUCCCAACGUAAAUUGUUCCGCAACUGGAUCGUUAAUUACGGGUGUUCAUCUUUGGCGUGGUGAAUGGCCAAACAUUUAUGCAAUCAAAGUAGCAUGUGUUAAUUUACAUAAAACAUGUAUGAUAACAAAACUGUAAUCACCCAGCUCCCAUCAAAGCAAAACUGGGGCUAGCCUAACAAAACUAAAACUAAUUUCAACCUAUAACGAAUGAAAGCUGCAACUCGAUCAUCGUCUAACACAUGGUACACACCAACCUGAAAUCUUAAUCGAGUCUUUCAAACUUGAAUUUGCCUUCGUCCGAGGUGGCCAUGUGCUUCCUCUUCCUGGAAACACCAUUUUGCUCAUCUGCAAACUGAGCAGCUGUUCGCGCUCGUAGUUCUUCCUUCGCUCUCUCUAGAACCUGGAGUUCAUAGCAAGCAGUCAUUUAUAGGCUGAUUUCUACUUUACAAAAGAGAACUCACAUGUCUAAAUAAGUUUCAAUGCCUUACCAGAUGCCGACCGUAAAAUGGGUGCUCAAAAGCGCUUCAAGGGCAUUUUCGGCCUCUUGCUUUGUGAUGAACCCCACAAAUGCAAAUCCUCUAUGCUGUCCAAAUUUCAUUGGCAACCAUAAACUUUUAAUCUGCCAUAUAAGGAGAAAUUAAAGUCAAUUACAGAAUAACAAUACAUGGGUGUACUAAGUCAGGUUGUCUAUCAUCCUAUGAACACCAUAUUGCCAUAGGGGCCGUAGGGGGCAAGGACAUGCUUGCUGCGUCCACGGUGAUGGCUAAAACAUCGCCUUAGGGUUCACGGGAUAACAUAUCUGUUCUCUAAAAUUUAUUGUUUAUGAAUUAUAGUAGAAUCAAACAAGGUGUGAAAUGUACAAAAUCUGCACAAAAAUAUUAGAGGAUCCGGAAUCUAGUACCUCAUCGAAGGUCAGUAGUUUACCUGGCCAAAUGGACUAAAUAGUUGUCUCAGUUCUUUCUCUGUGGCCUCAAAAGCUACAUUUUUCACAAGUAGUUUUGUAGAACUUUUAUCCUAGUCAACUUUCUUUGGCACUUCAUCCUUCUUGGCAUGACAAAGUUGCAAAAUAAGAGCGUGCACGUCCAAAAUAGUUCCCUCGAAAAUGGUAAAAUAUUAGUUGCAAUGAACUUCACAAUUGCAUACUGAAUGCAAAUAAUUUUGACCAGAUUCUGGCUUCACCUGUAAAUCCCGGCAAACAUUUUAGCUGUCUCCACAGAAUCAAACUCCAGAAAACCAAAACCCAUUGAAAUGCUCUUCCCGUUCUUCAAGUGUUUCUUUACCUGCACAUACAGGAAGAUGAUAUGGAUGAGAAAUACAGCAAGCAAAUAAAAGUACGGCUUCUAGGCAGCUGAUUAUUACCUUGACACUUAAUAAUUUUCCCUCCUUCACUUUUUCACUAAAAUGCUUUUUCAAACUCUUGUCUGAUGUCUUAAAGCUCAGGUUCUUGACAUAUAGAGAUUGUGAUGGGAGAAUGUUACACAACAAAGACAGAAAUUAUUAUAUUGGCAAGACAAAAGGGUAAGUGAGGAGUCAAAUUUGUAGACAAGAAACGGCAGCAUAAAUGUAAAGCUAUCUAAAGGAAACCUUCAAAGGUUACCAGCUUUAACUUAUAACAGAAUAAUCAACUAAGUUUCGUCAAAAUUGAACUGGAAAUGACAGUUAAACGCAAGAUAAAUUGCAGAAUUUCUCAUCACCAAACUAGAGUUUUGUCUUGUAACAGUUACAUGAACAAUGCUUUGCAUGGGUUCUGUUAGAUAAUGAAACUGAAUAAUUAAAUAAAAAAGAGUUACCUAUUGCAAAAGUAGUUGCCCAACCAGAUCAAUUGAACAAAUAACAAGGUAACACAAACCAUAUAUACACAAUACACAAUACAUGUAUAUAAACGCUCAAGGGAUGGUUACACCAGCCAUUAACUAAGGCAGCAUUAUAAACUAGCAUCGAUUAACACUUAAAAGGAUUUAGUGUCUCCAUAAUCAAGUAUGGUCAGUUGGAUCCCAGCUAAAAGUGGUAUUCUCCUUGCAAUACUAAUUGUCCUAAUCGUGUCUAAACAUCAAAAAGUUGUGUGCAAAGGAUUGUGAGUAUACUUUCUUGAACUGCAUUUAGGAAGUAAAGAUGUGGGCACACCAAGUUUGUUUGUCAUAUGAAUAGUUGUGUAGACAAAUGAGGAAGAAAAAAAUAAAACUAAUGGAAAAAAGAAAAGCAUGCAAACACCAACCUCAACUCUAUCCGGAUCCGCAUCCACAUCAGCGAUUCCUCCCACAUACUGCUCUAACAUAACCCUUUUGACAUCAUGCUCACCAACAACAGCAUUGUUCUUUUCAAUGCUCUCAGUUGUUGAACUUGGACUAAGAACAUUACCAGGAGCCCAUUCCAAAUAUAAAGGACCAUCCCUGUAUCAUUGAUUCAUUGUACAUGGGGAAAAGAAUAUUUAUUCUCUGACAUAACUGAGUAACAAAAAGAUUUUUAUUGCAACUAAUAAUAUGCCUCAACAGAUAUCCUACAGGAAAAACCCAUAUACUUAUGCAUAAAGAUACCAAGUCGAAUCAAGGGUACUUUUCAAUUGACAUGAGGUAUAGUUCUGGGCCUACAUUUGUUGAGAAUUCAUUCUGUCACUGAGCCAACGGAAAAGAGACCAGAAGCAAAAAUAAGUAAGCCAUUGAAGUGAAUAGGUAUCUACUUUACACUCUUUUAUACUAUGUAUCUUGUAUUUGACCCCAAGGAAGCAAAUAAAAACCAGCUCGUUUCUAAACUAGGAGAAUAUAAGUAGCCCCCACCCCCACACAGAGAAUACAAACAUGAAAGCUGGAACCUACAUACAAGAUUUUUCAACACUUGUAGCGCUUGUACCUUUAAAAGCUGCUCGAGCGUCAGCAGGUUCAAGAAAAACAACCUGAAGAAUGAUAAUUCAAGAAAAUAAUUAGUAGAGAAUCACUCUUUAACAACACAGCAUCAUAGUAGACUAAUAUAGUAAUCUAGAAGUUUCUUCCUCCCUGUAGUAUCAAAAGAUUGGGAGAAUAAAAGUACAUAAUGAGGCAUGAUUAACCAAGUGUCAAAGAGGAUUUGAAAAACUCAACUAAUUAAAAAACCAAAAGCAAAGUGUCCAAUUUCAUAAAACAUUACAAAACUACUCUUUUCUACUCAUCAAAAAAUCUUAAUGACUCAGAGAACUGUGUCACUUCCACCCUUUCAUUGCCUUAGUCUGAAUGAUCAUGGUCAAACUUUGUUCCAGCUACGGUAAACUACCAGAUACUAUCAGACUACAAGUCAAAAACUCCACUCUCCAAAUCAGUGAACAACUUCAUACCGACUGAUCUACUGUAGGGUCACUUAAAAAUUGAUAUACCUAUCAAAAACAUUUUUUUUUUUUUUUUUGGUAUCUCCCUCAUCCCUCUUUUCUUAAAUAAAACUCACCAUAUUAGAAAACAUAAAAAAGGUUCAAUACCUUGAUUAGAAUGCCAAUUUUAUAUCAGGAGGUAGGGCAAGAAAUGAACAAACCGUUGACAAAACAAUCGAUGAAAUUAUGAUUGGCAAGGUCAAGUGUUCAUCAUCACAAUGAUGUCUGAACUGAAAUGUGAAAGGUAGAAAGUCUAACUGCCUUUUAAUUAGCAGUCAGAAACAUGAUUUCCAGAAUAUAUUUUACUAGAAACUAAAUACAAGAUGAAAACACUGUAAACAUGUUUUUAACAUCAACCUAGCAAAUGCACAUCUGCUGUAAACUAAAUAAAAAUAAGAAAAAGUCUUUGAUAGAAGAACACAAGAAUACAUACCAAGGCCAAUGUCUUCAUCGGCGGGAGAACAACUUUUUCCAAAUUCCCAAAUUUCCCAAACAUCUUUGCCAGUUCACCAUCAGUAGAACCGUAUGGCAAGUUCUUCACCAGUAUAACAUGGUUGCUUCUUUUAACACCAUCAGUUUUCCCAGCAGCAAAAUUCUCUAAGGAUUCUACAUUUAUACCAGCAUUUGUAAGAGACUUUUUGGUCUCUGCAAUCACUUGAGUUUCUCCCAAAGCAAUCCGUACAGCGAGAUCAUCAGCUUCUCGGUCAAGCAAAUCACCUUUGCUCACACCAUACUUCCGAGCUAUGUUCUCAAUGACCUAUUUAAUAUGAUGUAAAAAUUAGAAAUGAAGCAUCAUCAAACAAAAAUUAGAAAGUAACUCAAUAAAGCAUGGCAGUAAAAGUUGAUGCUAUUCCUACCAGUGUCAAAACAAGACAAAAACAAACAAUCAAGGUUUUACAUGUGCUAGAGAAAAGUUUUAAAAAUGAUGAGAAGUAUGGAGGGUGGUUGAACAAUGUCAAAACCAAAACAUGUUCAUAUACCAUCUCUUUCUGGAAAAUGUGUGCAUAUUACUAUAGUGUCAGUUUGAAACUGUGUUUACCAUACCGUAUCAGGGUGCACAAACAAACUGUUCCAUGCCCUUGUAUCGCCACUAGCUUCAGAUGCUUUCCUCUUAUCCUCCCUUUGUUUCUUGAGAGGUUUUGAAGCUUGGCUUGCUGAAUCAUCAGCCCUAUAGGGUAAGCAAUGCCAAAUUCAACCGCAGAGACAAAACCCAAUAAAAGAGUAGUCACAAUAAAAUUCCCUAAAGUGACGUUGAGAUAACCGGGCAAUUUAGGAUAACUACUUAUCCUAGCUUCUCAGUUGGAUUCUUUUGUUUUGCUGGCAUGACAUGCAACAAUCUUCCUUGGAACCAUCUAAUGCUUCUAAUGCCCUUCACCAAAAGAGAGGAAAGACAAAUCAACAAUGUUUUUUUUAUUAAGAAAACAUACGUGAAUUAGCAAAACAGAACGUCAUGCCCUCGCUCAAACACCAUAACCAAUGUAAGAGACUUGAAUGUAAAAAAAUUAACCUAGAUAAACCGGCAAUUGAAACAGUUUUUAAGCAAAAUUCUACUUCUUUUGAAUUUCUUAGGGCUCAAAACUUGGAAAAAGUUGGGCCUUGGCUAUAUCAAGGCAUGGUAGGAAACUUGAAGAAGUGCAAGUUUUACAGUUUUACAUAGCAUGAUACUUGUCAUGGAUGAAAUCAUUAAGUUAUUGCACCAUGUGAGCUUUGGAGCAAAAAAAGAGUACCUUUCUGCACAUUAGGAAGCUUGUAAAGAACAUAAGCGAACCCCUUCGACCGAUUGGUCUCUUUAUCAAUAACAAGAUGGACCUGUGCAUCUCCAAAUUUGCUAAAAGCCUCUUCCAGCUCCUCCUCAGUUGCUGUAAAUGGAAGAUUACGAACAAAAAGACGACCACUCUCAAACGCUUCUUCAUUCUCAUCUUUCGAAGUGGAUGACGGAUUGCACUCGUCAAUUACUUGGCCAUUAGCAUCCUCAGAAUGCCCCUUCUCUCCAUCCUCUUCUUCAUGAACUUUAAUUUGCUCCUUUUCAUUGACUUUUCAAAACUCUUUCUCCUCCUCCUCCUCCUCAUUAUCAUCUUCUUCACUGCUUUCGGAAUCCGACCAUUCAGUCUUCACUCUGCUCUUGAGUAAUCCAUAUCCGAAACAACAUCGUCCUUUGCUACAUUGCGUUUAUCAUUCUUCUUAGCACCUUUCUCUUCUUCCUCCAUAUCCACCAGAACUGAUUUCUGCUCACUUUCCUUCUUGGUUUUUCCAAUUUUCUCAGCUCCUGAUUUCUCCUCACUUUCCUUUUUGUUUUUCCCAAUUUUCUCAGCCACGGGAGCCACCACCGCGCUGUUCGCCCACAAUUUCGACUUUGCCCUCGGCUGCAUCACCUCCAAAAACUCGUGAAGCUUAACAUCACCACUCUCAUCUUCCACCUCAAGACUCCCGCCCCCGCCCCCGCGCUCCUCCUUCUUCCUCUUCUCCUCGCCUCCACCCCCUUCCCCCUCCUUCUUCUUCGAAUGCCGGCUCCACGGCCGGGGAAUCUCCGGAUCCCCAACCUUCCUCGCAAUCUCACAGCUAAUCCUACACUUAUCUAAAAACGACCUGUCGUAGUAGUAUUUCGUGGCCUCCUGAGCUUCCCUCUCCGUCCGGAACCCGAUGAACGCGAACUGCCGGCUCUUCCCCUCCCUCCUUCGUCCGCAUCAGCUUCGCGUCCGUAAUCUCUCCUUUCGCGGAGAAAAACUCCCGGAGUCGGUCCUCCUUCACAUGCUUGGGCAAAUUCUUGACGCAAAUCCUCGACCUGAAAAUUGAACAACCUUGCGGUGCGUUAGAAACCGCCGAAGUGAAAUUUUCCCGGGAACCAAACAGAAAAUAAACUGGAGCUCACAUUUUCAAUACGAAGUUUGAAUUAUAGAGCUAACAAUGAGAUUCUUGAGUCGUAUUUUUGGAAGGAAUUCUGGAAAUCGAGUGUGUUGAGAGAGCAGGGUUUUUGGUCGAAAAUUAGUUUUUAUUGUUGUAUUGCAAAAGCAACGUAAAUAAAACAUUUUCUUUUCUUUUACAUGGGCUUUCGGUAUUGGGUUUUAUACAAAACUAUAUUGACGUCAUUUUCCGAACCUCCCUGUAGCUAGUAGGGCUGGGUAUAAAAAUCGUUGAACCAAAAGAAACCAAACCAAAUGGUGUCUAAAAUAAAAAUGAGUAUGGUUUUCUUCCCUCGUAUUUAUAUCUUGUUCUCUCUUCUCUUUCCACACAUUAUUUUUUGUUUUACUGUCUCUAUAAAAAAAAUUAAUAUAAAAUGUUGACUUGACUAAACCGUAACUGCUCAAGUAUGAGAAGAAAGAGAUUAGGAGGGAAGAUAAUCGUCCUCCAAAUAAAGGGCAGUGUUGUCUACAACCUUAUUUUUAUUUGAGAAAACACAAAUAUACUUAAGGGGUAUGAAUGAGAGGUUAAUGUGGUGUAAGCUUAAUCUUUGGGGUUAAAUUUGUCCGGUAAAAAUUCAUGAAUGAGGAUCCUCUUUGGAUUCUCUUUGUGAGGAUCCCGAUAAUCCUUCAAUUAUAUCCAUUCAUCGUACAUUGUGCGGUUAAUUUUCAUCAAAUACUAUAUAUAUUUAAUUUUAAAUAAAAAUAUUUACAAUUAUUUUUGAACUCACGAUAUAUGAUAAACGAAUGUGAUUGAAAGAUCUCCGGAAUCCUCAUAAAGAGGAUCCGAAGAGGAUCCGAUCCUCAUUCAAAAUUCAUGAUGACUUCAACGAAACAGAGUUUUAUGAAACUAACUGAAACCUCAAGGAUGUCAGUGUUAUUUCUAAAACCUUCGGGGGGUUUUCCGUAAAUUGCACUGAAGAAAAAAGGGUUCAGAAAACUCCCACCGUGUGUGCCAACUCCCCAAACGUCUGCUCUGCGGAGGCUCGGCAGUGCCGGUAAAUAAAAUCAGUUCGUGUUGACGAUGGAAGGGAUAUUAGGGCAGAACAGGGUUGACGAUGUGAGCUGGCUCUGCUCGCUCUCUGAGUCCGAACUUGUAAGUAUUAUUUACAUACUUAAUUUCUCGAUUUAUUAUUUUUUUGGUAAAUUAAAGUUAUGAAUUCGUUUGUUAAUUUUCAUUGUUCAUAUCAAAUUGUACAUAGAAAAGUAGACAAGUUGACGUUAAAGAUUAGAGCUUUAUGGUUAAUGGGGUCGAAAAAUUGGAAUUAAACACACAAUUUUAUGGCAGGACAUGUUGAUUAGCAUAAAAAGGAUUGUUCUUCAUCGUGCAAGGAUGAUUGGGUGCGAUGAACUUGCUCAAAAGUUUGAUCUCAAGGUGCUUCGAGCUCUUGGUAUGUCCGAUAGGCGGUAGCUUUAUCUGUUUCGAUGUUUUUUGUUUUGCUUGGUUGUCGAAUUUCGAAUUGAGCUCUUGAUUCGAGCAAUAAAGAAAGUAAAAUACCUCAUUGAUUGCAUUGUGCAUAAAGUUCGAAACUUUGUGUUCCAACUUUUGAUUGCGUGUUAAGGGUUUGGUAUAUGAGUGAUACGGUUAAAAAUUGUGAUUAGCAUCUGCAUCAGAAGCCGAAGCUUAUGAUGAGCGUUCUUAUAUGAUCCUUGGAUGGAUGGAUUGAGGCUGGGUUAUGUUUUCAACAAUGAAAGCCAAAAGUUGAUGCUUUAACUGACAAUUCUGUUUACUUAUGAGGGGAUUUGUGGUAUUGACAAUAAGGGUAUCGGAUUGAGGGGUAGAACUUUUGCUCGUCUUUUCUGCAGUAGUUGUCACUUAAAUUAUAGCUCACUGGUUUAUUAUGGAUUUCCAAUUUCAAUAGUGAGAAAUGUGUUUUCUGUUAAUUGGUGACAUUCUUUGCUGGAAACUAUGUGUGGCUUGUUACUGCGUUCCUGAGAAUAAUGUGAGAGGCAAAAUAAGCUAUUUAUACUUGUUUCUCAACUUCGUAAUUAAAGUAAACCCUGGUGGUUUCUCCUCAGGUUUUUCACUUGGAAAAGAUCUGUAGAUUAUAUAUUGUAAUUGCCUUGCACGGAGGCUGGACUCAAGAAAAGACACAGUAAACAAGUAUGUUGGCCUCAGCUUAAGAAAGAAGAAAAGGGCUACUUGUGCCUUUUCUUUUAACAACCAAGUGAAGAUCAAAUGAAAUCCAAGCUCAAAUCUGCGGCUUUUUUCAUAUCAAUAAACAAGUGCACAAUAAGGGGCUUGACUUUCAUACAGUUCAGAAUAUACUUGAGAAUAAUUUUCUAGGGCUGUCAAUUAGGCUUGACUUUCAUACAGUUUCAUGUAGUUGUGGCUGCUAGCUUUAUUUUCUUGGACUUGUGCUUUGGAUGUGCAACUCGGAUUUGCCUUUCCUUCUUUUCGAAUAAUCCUCCUUAUGAUCUUUUUCUGUUUUUGAAAUACUGAAAUUAGCAGAAGGAAAGAGCAAAUUCUUGCUUUAUUUGGUGUGGCUUUGCUUGUUUUGUUUGGGAAGGUUUGGUUGCAUACCUCCAUUACAUAUCACAUUCGGGAUAGUGUUUGGUUUGCAUGGGUGUUUCUGGUUUGGGAUUUGAUCAGGCCUCAUUAUCCUGAAACCAAUAUCCCUCCUACAUGUUUUGGAUGCCUUUUAAUGUUACCUCUUGGUAAAGAUCAAGCUUCAAGCUACUAGAUAACUAGUAAUAGAACUUUUUGUAUUUGAGUUUUUAUAUUUAGAAGCGCACAAUUUUGUGACUGUAUUCAUUUCAUCACUGAGGAUUUGUGCAGCAUUUGUUCUGAUGGAAUGCGUCAAAGAUAAGGUAAAGGACUUGGCACCGCCAGAAUCUGCUGCAUUUAUGGGAAGUUGCAAUCUAUUAAAACAUAACCUUGGUGAUAUUAUGAGUCUUGAAGAGAUAAUGGCCUGUAUUGGUAUUGAUUCGAGAAAGGGUCCAAUAAAAAGGUUAGUUCAGACAACAAGGGUCAAUAUUGCUUCUUUUUUGGUAACAAUAUGAUGUUUGUGAGUUGUAAUAUGUGUAUGUGUGUGUAUAUGCAAAUGACUAAAAGCAUAUGUAAACGUACAUGGACAUGUUUAUGUGGGUGAGAAUGGCUGAUCGCUUUUUUUUCUUAGACUUUUUAUUCACUUGUGGUUCUGUUUUUUUUUCAUGCCUUUGGUAUUAUUGUAUGUCUAGUAAUGCAGACAACAAUAUGCCGCAGGAAACACUAUUGAGUCUUGGUUCUGUGCUGGUAGUAUUUAUAUGCUGUUGAUACUGAUUUAUACUUACUUUCUCAAGUUUGUGGAACCACGGGAAUUCUCAUAAAGUUUAUCAUAUGAAAUUUUUUUGAGGGUCGAUUUUUACCAAGUUUCAGAAUGCAUGUGGUGGCUCCAACGUUUAAUACUCUUUUCAAACUGAAUUGAUAUUGUUUUUUAGCUGGCAAUGAGUGGUGAAACAGGACGCCAAAUUUCCCCCCAUGGAUAACCUUGGUGUUUCAUAAUUUCCUUUUGAUGUCCCCUCUCUCCCAAACCCCAUCAUCCUUUAAAUACUAAUCCUUACCGGAUUCAGCAUAAGCAUGAGCAUGAUGUUGGUUUUUUUUUUUACCGGAAGUUUUUUACCUGCCAAAAAGAUUUGCAAUGGUUUUGAAAGGUCAAUCAUGUAUUGUACAUAUGCAUCAGGUGUUAAUUUUAUGCUUUUAGCUCCCUACCACUAGUUGAUUAACUUCAGUUACAUUUUUCUCUGUACCAGAAGACCGCACAAAGAAACUACACGAAAUCAAAAGAAACAGAAAACUGAAGCCAGUAAAUUAUGAGAUCAGGAAUCGCAGAGGCAGAGAAGAAUAGUCACGUGUUUAUAACACGAGUGAGUUUCCAGUGCCCCACUUUCGGAAACAGGUUCUAAAUGUGUAGUUGGACUCGAACAGAUCAUACAGGAGCGGAAUUCAUCUCUUUUUGUUCUAUUUUAUAUGUGUAUGAAGGCCAAGGUCUAAAUUACUUGAAAUUUUGUACUGAUCUUACAUAAUUUUGGAAAUAUCAAAGCAAGGCUUCUUAUAACUUUAGUCCUGUUGCACUUGCCAUUUAAUUUUUUCAAGAAUAGUUAUUAUUUAUUGAACUCGAGAUAAAUUCUAAUGUUUUAUUAAGUCUCUUAAUGCGAUCCUAUACUCUUAUCCCUCCCCUUUUUAGGUAUGUCUGGUGUGUCUGCGUGCGUGUGUUGGAGAGGCUUUUUGUGCUGCAAGCGCGCGUAUGGACCAAUGAACUGAAACCCCAUGAGGGAACUCAUGGUUUGUCUCUACCAUCGAUAAUGGAAGUUGAGGGAGAGAUUCCCCCUUGUAACUGUUGUAAUGUCCCUCUAUUUCUAUCUCUAUCUCUAUCUCUCUCAUCACGUCAUCAAUCUGAAUCAGUAAAGGGGUCAUUGGCUCUUAUCCCUCCUUUUAUGUAUGGUGGGUGGGGGUGUGUGUGUGUGUGAGAGAGAGAGAGAGAGAGAGAGAGAGGGAGGGAGGGCAUGUUAGUCCAUUCCAGUUAACCUUUUCUGCAUGGCUUGAUGACUUUAAACCCCAUGAUGGAGCUUGGCUCAUUGGUAACCCUAGGGGGACAAAAGAAGGGAGGUGAUGUUGAAGGCAAUAACUUAAUAAAUCAAACAGCAUUUUGAAUUUGUGUUAAGUCAUUUCUCCACUCUAUCUUGUUAUGCUGGUGUGACGAGAGCAUGAUUUUUUGUUGGCCAUGCUUUGCUUUCUUUGUUUGUUUGUUCUAGGCACCGCAUGGCAAGAAAGGGUCUUUGGGCCCCCCAUGUAGCCAAAUUUUAUUUCCAAUCUUUUCUCAAAAUCCCGUUUGCCUCCCCAUUCAAGUUCUAAGCAUGCAUCAAACAGACAAUGUAAUUAAACAACAUUAUGUAGGUGAAUGUUUUCGUCUCUUCAUUCAAGUUUGAAUCUCCGCACAUGUAGUUUGAACAAGAUUAGCGGAUUUAUCUCUUAGUAUAUAUUUGCCAUCUUCAUUUAUUCAUAUUUAAACCUCCGCACCUGUAGUAUGACCAAAAUUAGCGAAGUUAUCUCUUAGUAUAUUAUUCCCAAAACAUUUUCUAAUUAAAUAUGCGUAUAUACUUUGCUUCAAAUACUGGAUCAUCAUCCAUGGAGAGCCUUAAUUGUGGAAUUUCUUUUUGGAAGCAGAAUAGCUAGGUCCACUGAGCAAACGGAAAUUUCUCCAAAAGUCAAACUCAUCAUGCCAUGACCAAGAUAUCUCCCAUGCUUGGUUUUCUAACCUCCAAUGUAAGAGCAUAAUAUUAAAGUUGUAGUUCAUAAAGUAUGAUUAAGACCAAAUUAAUGAUUAAAGAUAUUCAUACUUGUCCCCCUCACGACCCAAAUUAUUUAUUUUUCUCUUUCAAAUGCUCUAGCCACGUAUCGGCUUAUUGCAUCCACUUGCACGUGCACCGUACAAUCCUUUGAAUCUAUACACUUAUACGGGAGCGCUUAACCGCUAACGUUUUUCAAUGUUUAAGAUAUUUACUAAGUGACCAUGCUAAUAGAAGAAAAUUAGUAUAAAACUGUCAUAUCAUGUCAUCAAAUUAACCUAGUUAUCAAACUGCCCCAUAAUAAUUAUAUAUAAUGCUGAUAUAGUCAAAUGGGAAAGUUUCUCUUUGCCAAGGAGAAGAUACGGAUUUGAUUCCCGCUAAUCCGCUCAGGAUAAUGGAUACGUAUGUUAAAUUUUGUUUUUUAUUUGAUAGAUGAAGCAUUAAGGGUUAUGCAACUGCUAACAUAGGUCUGCUUCUGGCCUAGAUCAACUUAAGUUAAAUGGAGUUUCUAUCACCCUACUUGAAUUAAAAAUAAAACUUCACACACCUUAAAGUUCAUAAGAGAGGGACUAAAAAGACAAUUCAAUUAUCAGAAAAAAGAAUUUCCAAAAAGUCGGUUAACAGACGACAUUCAGAUCAAGAUCUUAUUUCCCUUUCAUCUUAAACCUUGGGUAUCGAAUCUCAUUUGCUCCUGUAGCUUUUGUCUAUCAAUGUCAGUGUCAGCCCAUUAGAGUGCUUUCGCCAUUGGUGUUCUUUCCAAUCUCUACACAUUUCACCAUUCCACCGAAAAAUUCCUUUUGCCCCUACUGAACUCUAGCUUGGUAGUUUCCACCGUUUGUCCAGAGUUGAGCCUCAAAUUAGACGGCGAACUUAAAAAGCCACCUACAUAAGCUUUACACCUAAUCAUUCCUGAUAACGCUUGCAUCUUCUGUAUUACCACCGGUGCUGGCUCAGAGUUAGCCGAUACUUAUUCCCCAUAUAUCGUCAUUGCUUAUUUUCCUAGAAAAGAAGUUCACGACCCGUAGGCCUUCUACCUCCACGCUUUGUUAUGCUUUAACCCAUUGUGGAAAAUUCCCCACUGCUGCCCCUCAUAGGAGUCUAGGCAGCGUCUCAGUCCCAGCCACAAAUAGGCCAACCUUGAAAAUGGAUUGUGGGAGAAAAUUUCUGCCUUAGAUUGAAUCGAAAACUUACACAAAUAAAGAAAAGAGACAAACAGAGUUAUACUAACACCAGUUUGGUGUUAGCCAAAGAGCAUUUGAUGCCUUAGUCAAAAAGACUAUAAGAAGUAAUAAGAGUAUGGUGAGAGUUCUAGAUUAUAGAAAUAAAGUGGUUGACCUUGACUAUUUAUAGAGGACUGAGGAGUUAGUCCUAGCAUCCAGGUUCGUUGAUCUUGUUAGCAGAGUGUUACCUAAUCAGGCUAAUCUCCACAUUGGUCAAGGCAUAUUUCUUUGAGAUUCCUGGAAUAUGCAUCGAAAAGUCUUGUUCUGCUAAGAGACUGAUAACUAUUAAGGGUACAAAUGUAAUACAGUUAGUAAUAUAGUUAGGUAGUUAGUAUUUGGUUAAAGUAGUUAGGAUUUCUUUAUAAAUAGUAUGUGUAACCUUCAUUUCAGUAAGUCAGUACAAAACCUAUUUCUCUCUAAACUCUUUCUCUAAAAAAUCUUUAGAGAAAGAGUUUAGAGAGAAAUAGGUUUUGUACUGACUUACUGAAAUGAAGGUUACACAUACUAUUUAUAAAGAAAUCCUAACUACUUUAACUAAAUACUAACUACCUAACUAUAUUACUAACUGUAUUACAUUUGUACCCUUAAUAAUAACUAAACCAAUUACAUAUUAGAAUAAUCUGCUUAGGUCGCAUGACGAUCGACUUGGACUAUUGAUGAGGAAUUGGGCCCAUGGGCAUGUUGAUUGUGGGCCUUCGUAGAGAAUAGGGUCCAUUAGCCUGUUAGACUUCGACUAAUGAUUUGUGUAUAUCGUCAAGGACAAAAUAAUCAUAUUCAAUAGUAAUUUAUACACAUGAUGUGUUUCCAGUAAUCGAGAUAUUUUAUAUUUCUACACGGACCAUAAUAAUUUGGUGUUACAUGGAGGAGAAUGUUUGUCAAGGAGAUGUUUAAAGGAACAAAAGCACUUGUCAACAAGAAACAUGUAUGAGAAUCUUAUCGCAUCUUAAUCCUAAAGAUUGUUUGUAUAUAUAUUGGUGUCGGUUCGAUUAAAUUAACAAAUGGUCCCCCAGCUAAUCACUUGUUAUUAGUGGAUAAUGGGCAUUAUUAGACGCAAAAGAUUUGCUUAAGCAUCAAGGCACUCGCUCUCGAUGAUGUUUACAUCUUCCAAUUAAAAAUAUUCCCACCAUGUGAUCACUAAACAUGGGAUGUCUGAACUAAAGAAGUUAGCUAUGAGAGGGUUUCCAGCUUUUGUUUUUCGUUUUUUUACAAUUAUUAUAUAAAUUCAAAACGACUUUGGAUGAAUGGCUAGGAUGAAGUUCUUUCAAUGUCAAUGUCAUAAUUUCCAAAGAAAAGAAAUAUAAUUAUACUUAAAGAAAUAUUUGAUGAAAGGGUCAGUGUCAUUGCAGCAAUCCUUGAUUUUGUUCAUGCAUGUCAGCUCCAGGCAGGAUCUUGCAUUUCCAAUCAAGAGAAAAUCUUGGUGACAUUACUUCACUAUAAUUUACUUUUAAUUAACUGUUAAAUACUCUAAAGCUAAAAAAAAUGCAAUUAUAUCACAUCACUAUUAUACCAUUACCGUAUAUACGAUUCUAUAGGUUAUGAAAAGAUUUAGUUAAGAAUAUAUAGGACUAGUUAAUUGCACCGCUUAAUUUACAAUUAACUUUAUAGUUAAAAUGAUUUUAAAAUUGGCACAACUCCUUAUUUUAGUCCCUGAGAUUAGCUAAAAUUUUCUCAAUGCUCAAUAUACACAAUAACUUUUGUUUAAAGAAACUUGGAUGAUGUUACAUCAACUAUACGUUGUCUCAUGCAUGUUAGAAUUUCUAGGGUUUGGAUACCGUUAUAUAUACACACAUAGAUAUGUUAGAAGGUCAAACACUAAUUUGUGCAUGAACCAGUUACCCAAUAGCUAGCCAUGAGAAAUAGACUUUUGAGUUUUGAAUUCUUAGACAUUAGAUGAAGACAAAUUAACUAUUUACACAUUUGUAAGACAAAAAAAACACAUGUGCUAUGCUUAUGUUCCCUCUACAUUGGAUUUGUAUUGGGACUUUAGGGUUGAAAUUAAGCAUGAAGCCAACAUAGUGGAAGGUGUUUUGGGGAUAGAAAGUUGAUAAUUUGUACCAAGUUUGGGACCCUUGUGCUUUGAAAAUACAUCCUUUAUUACUUGGGUAUCUAAAUUUGAAACUCUUGUUUCUAAUUCCCUCCUUUUCUCUACCAACCCAAAGGGCCGGCUUCCCUUUUCCUUUCAAUUAAGGACCUCGAAUGUGCAUGAAUGGUGCUCAAAUGAAAUAUGGAGGUUGACCACAGUGGCUGUCACUCCAUCACUGUAGAUCAUCUUGAUAUAUUUUCAUCAUCUUGACCAACACCACCUAAUUGUGUUGUCCUAAAGGGCUGGUUGGUUAUUAAGUCUCCACGAGCCAAAUGAUUAAUUAACCGAACUCACCUGCCAUUGGAAUUUUUUUCGGUUCUCAUGGCCAUAUUCAGAUCAGAUGCUUAAUACUUUUUAUGUAUGUAGUAUGUAUAUAUACCUUACAUAAUACGUUAUAUACUUAUAUAUGGACUCCCCUACUAGUAAGGGUCUCCCGCUGGACUGUAACAAAACUAGUGGUUAUCACCCAUAUAUACCCAUAUAUUGAUCAGCGAUCACAAUUAUGUAUGGGUAAUUUAUGGUCAGUAAGUUUUUGUUAAAGUGUGUAUAUUCAUAGACUUGGGGAUUUUGAUAUUCAUAUAAAAAAAUUCGUGCGUUUUUUAUGAAUUUGGAGUGCUAAUAACAACUUUUUAUACCUACGUACUACCUUGUGUAUAAAAUAUCAAGUAAUCAUAUCUUGCAAAGUAGUGUAAUAAACUGUUACAUAUUGACCAAAAAUGCAAAAGAAGCUCUUACAUACACACACUUCAUUGGAAGGGAAACUUAAUUUAUGACUAGGAGCAUACAUGGCUAAAGAAGGGUAGUUAAUUAAUUCAUCUUAAUUUUAUUAACCUUUUCAUUUGAUUCGAAGUCAAAAGGUAAAUAGGGUUAAUUCGUUAUCUGUUGAAAAACCAGUCAGUUCAAGACUUUUCUUUUGGCCAUCCCUAAUUAUGGAGUAGAGCGUAGAGACGAGGACCAUACUUAUCAUCACUUGGAUUUUCAAAGUCUAUAUGCGCCGAAAAAUUUAGAAACAAAAGAAAGUAUAUAUGCGCAAGGAAAAAAAAAGGUUAAUUAGUCCUUAAGAAGCAAUUCAAAACCAAUUUAUUACAACUAGGCGAUUAUUUUUUAUAGAUAAUGAUUUGCGUUGGUCAAGUAUGCUAUCAUUUAUUCAACAAUUAAUAAGUAGUGGAUUGUCUUGGUGGUUAAAGUCUUCUCUUUCAACCUAUUGUAUUAUGUGUUCAAAUAUCUCUCUUUAGUAAAUUAAUGUAGAAUAUUACUGGUAAAAUUAUCAAAUAAUUAUUUACUCGAUUUAGAAUAGUGUAGCUCUUGCCACAAAUUUCAACGACCACUUGACCUAGUUUUCUUUAACCUUUACCAGUACAUUAGGGUAGUGGAGCUCUAAUCAGUGUUGAAACAUAAUCAUGGACCAACUGCCAGUAGACCCCUAACCCUAAGUUGACCGAGAAACAAUUAUUAAAGCCAUAAACUCUAAGAUCCUGCCAUUGAGCACCUCAUUAUGAGCAGGGAUUUUUCAAUGUGAUUGGAGUAGAGUAGGAUUCUUUGGGGUAAUGCUAGGGAGGUUAAAAUUUUAAAUUACAUAAUGUAUCAUCAAUAAGAAAUAAACGCAUUAAUCAACGCCUAAGUAAUAAUUCAAUCAUUAACAACCAAAUCAUUUGGUUUGCAAAUUUAGUUUAAAAAUUUGGUCUCCCUAACACUAUCCUGAUUCUCUGCCUUUUAAAUUUCCUCCCCUCCACUCUUCUUUUUUCACUUUCAUUUGUCUUUCUUUCUCUACAAAGAAGUCAACAUCACACGUUGAUGUGACUUAAUCGUGAUCCUUCAAAUAAAAAAUGAUUGAAGGGGUGAGGAAUUUGGAGGAAAAAGAGUCUUAAUCUGAUAAGAACACAUGGCAGUAUGUCACGUGUCAUUAUACAAUUGGAAGAAUAUUUGAAAAAGAAAAUUUUCCUCCAAUUGUAAAAUAACGUGGCUUAGCGUCCGUGUUUUGAUAACAGUGAAAAAUCUCUCCAUUAUGAGUUAGCUUCUGGGACCAUACAAUUUGCAUCCUCCAUCCAAUUCUUUGCAAUUUUCUGAGUAUAUAAAAUAAUCCCUUUUGCAUUUGUUGGUGGAAUUGAUUUCGGUGUACCUAAAAGUAAAAUUAUUCCUAAACAAUUAGAGCAUGUUAACUUGGUAUGGGAAUGAGAAGUAAUAAUUAGCUAUCUUAAUUUUUUUUUUAAUUAUGUCGUAUCCAAAAUCAAUGGCAUCCUUCUUUUUUUUUUUUAGGAUUAAUAUGUGAUUUUAUUUAUUUAUUUAUUUAUAAGUGAUGUAUAAUUAAAUACUUUUAUAAUUACAACCAUAGCAAGUGGUCCAGUGGUAAAAGCGCAGACUGCGGCUCUCCAAUAAACAAAAAAAAUGUGGGAGGUCUCAGAUUCAAUGCUCUGUGCUGGUGAGUCUACGUGAAUGUAGCCACGGGCAGGGUGAAAUUUCUCAUAGCCUCUAUGGACCCAAAACGGAUGGAUAACCGUAGGUUGCCACUAAUUGUUCUCCUUUUUUUAAAUUAACUUGACAAAAAAAAAAAAAAAAAACCUCUUAGAACUAUAAGCUUCGUGUGUGAUUUUUAAGGCUUUGCAAUAUGCCACUUUUUUUUCCUGUCCUUUUAAUCUAGGAAAUGGCUUGAGCUCAAAAUUUACAUUAGUUUUCGGUUUUCAUUUUGUGUCUGAGAAAUAUAAAGAAAGUAUGUGUGAGAAAGGAGGGAUGAGGAAUGGUGAGGUAAAAUAAGGAAGACGGCAAAAAGCAAAAUGAUUGCAACUGAACAACUUCAAAUAAUAUUUAGUUUUUAAUUUUUUUUUUGCUUUUAUUUUGUGUUUCUCUCCUGCAUCUCUCCCAACAUCCUUCAUUUCUUUUCUUUUUCUCCUUAGUUUACCAUUUUUUUUUUCAAUUUUCUCUUCUGCACAUUCGACAUUCCUAACUUUCUAUUUUCUUGAUUUGUUAAACAAACUCCAAUUGUGGGCUAAAAGCCAAAUUACCCCCCAAAAUUUCCCCCCAAACCCAAUCCAACCCAAGGGGAAAAUUUGGGCUAAAUGCUAAAUGCUAAACCAAGGCCAGAUUCCCCAAAAAAUUUAGCCCAGAAAUCGGAGUGGGCUCCACCGAACUGAGUGAAAAUGGGCGUUUGUGUGCCAAACGCAGCCCACCCACUCGCCCAACUCGCGUGACACACGACACCUCAGACAACGAGGGCCCCGCCCACGUGGCCUGUCGGCCACGUUCCAUAGCACGUCCAACGGUUAGUUCCAUCCAAUGGUCACGAUCUACAGGCAGUUGGUUAAUCCAGUGGCCUAGAUUCAUUUUUUUUUGUUUUUAUAUCUAUAUAUUAUUGAAUCCAACAAUUGAGAUCGAAUAUAAUCAAAUCUAACGGUAAAAAAAAGAUCCAAUAGCCCAAAUUUAAAUCCAACGGCUAAAAUAAUUAAAAAAAAUUAUUUAACUCAAAUUCACCCAAAAUUCACCCAGGGUUGAAAGAUUGGUGAAAGUUGAAGGCUUGCUUUGUGGAAAAUUUAGUGAUUUUUCAAUAUUUAUCGGAAUUUAAAUUUUUUUAGAUUAAAAUAUUCAUAAAAUUAAUUUACGUUAGUCUACAUAUUUAUUUAAAAAAAAUUAAUUUAACAAAAAAAAUAGCCUAAGUACAUUCUUUAAUAAUCCCGGGCUAAAAUUUUAGGUCAGAACGGUUGGAGCAGAAAAACUGUUUCUAGACUAAAAGCUAAAUUUUUCGGGAUAAAAUAUUUGGCUUUUAGCGCAACCAUUGGAGAUGGUCUUAGGGGAUUGCUGAUGGGUGGACUGAACUGAGGAAAAUAAAAUACAACAAAAUGAGAGGGAGGGAUCCUAAAUAAGGAUUAGGAUUCUCUUUCCUCUUUUUUUUUUUUUUUUUUCUCUCCUCUUCUUUCCUCUUCUAUAUGAACGGUCACGAUUAAAUUAGGUUAAUAUUUUCUGUUGACUUCUUUGUAGAUAGAGAAAGAUAAAGUAGAAAAUGUACAAGGAGAGGAAGUGAGGUGGGACGAGGAGAAUUGAAGGGGAGGCUGUGCCGACAGUUCUCAAUUAAGGGUACAUAUCUCGAGUCCUAGAUAUAUAUCUAUGUCCUCCUAUAAGUUUAUAACUAUUACUAUGGUCCACUAUACCACUUGUUUUAAACGAAUAAGUUGACUUGAUGUAGUGUUGGAAGUUGGUCUCGUUAUAUAUAGUACCAGUUCUCAUGCAGACAUGUGCAUGUGCUGGUGUGCAUACGCUAUCGCCAGCCGCCGCACUUCUAUAGGAGACGAAUGCCACGCUUUACUUUAUCAAACCUUAAAAAGAGAAAUGCCAAACAGAACCUCACAAAGUGAACUCUUCGUCGACUCUCUAUCACUUUACAGUUUGUCAAUUCUCAUAACAGCAUUAUAAAAUGGGAUAUUUUGGAUGCGGUCUUUAAUCCUUAGCAUUCUUUGAUCAAAAUCUUAAUAGUAUUCAAAGUUUAAUCAAGGUCUCUUGACUUUGUACACCUCAUUAUAUUACUAUUAAUAUUUAUAUUUUAUAGUUUUGACAUUAAUUGUUUGAUAUUUUAUGUGAUUUAUAAUCCUAUAAAUUUAAAAUCCCUCAUUAUAAUACUAUUAGAAACGGUUACAAUAAAAAAAAAUUCAAACAUUUUGAUUGAAUAAAUGGAUAAAAACUAUGUAAAAAUAAGAAAUAAUAAAUGGCAAAAGAAUGUAUCCAUAGUGUUAAAAAAAUUGGUACAUUUCACAUAUAACAAAGUGGUACAUUAAUAAAGAAGAAUGGGUACAUUAGAAAUAGAUUAGGGUACAGAUAAAAGAUUAAAAAUUAUGAAUACAAAUGAAUUUUUUAAAAUAUAGGCGCUAAAAGAAAUUAAUACAUGGGUACAAAAUAAAACUAAAAAGAAAAUACUACAAAUUAAAAAAAAAUGUUGCAAAUUAAAAGUGGGUACAAACUAAGAAUAUAAAUAUAUGAUACAAAGUUUAGGCAUAAAACAUAAAUAUACCAUAUGUAAUUUUUCUAUCAUUAAUUAAAUAUACAAUGUCACGUGACGGUAUACACAUGAGUACAAACACAGAUAAAAUUUUUAAAAAUAUGGGCACAAAAAAAACUAAUAUAUGGGUACAAAUUAAAAAUAAAAGAAAAUUGGUACAAAUUAAAAAAUAUUUGCAAAUUAAAAAUAGGUACAAACUAAAAAUAAAAAUAUAUGAUAAAAAAUUUAGUCAUAAAUAUAAGUAUACUAAUUGUAACAUUUUUAACAUUAAAGGAAUAUAUUUAAAAAUAAAUAUAUUUUAUUAUUCAAAUAAUUAAUGAUGUUAUUAAUAUCCAAGGACCUUGAUCAAAAAUUGAAAAUGAAUAAGAUUUUAAUCAAUGGAGUAACAAAAAGAAUGAUGUGAAUCUAAGAGCCUGUUUGGUAUUCUAUUUAAAUCUAACUUUUUAAACUCAAAAACAAUUUUCAAGUUUUAGGCCUUAAAAAUUUGUUUGGUAUGACUAUUUUCAAAAACUGAACUCAAGACUAACUAAAAAAUAUAGUCUAUUAUCUAAAAACACAAAAAGUGUUGUAGACAUAAUUUACUGAACAAUUAUGAAGGCCUUAGAGAGAAGGGUGCGGUAAUAGGUAGAGAGAAAGAGAGAUGUGUAAUUGUGGGGUGUGUUCUAUUCCACCCCAUUGUGCCUUUAUUUAUAGUAGUAGGAUAGGCAAAAACCUUUCCCUUUAGGAUUACAACAUUUAAUAGGUAAUCUACUCCUAAUAGAAAUAUAAGAGAUAUUCCAAGAUAUACUAGGAUUUACACAAUCACAUUCCUAAUCUAAUAGGACUGGAACACUCCCCAUUGAGUGUGUAAAUACUCAAGUAAAUGGCGCAUCAGGUCUUCAGUGAUGAAGCAAGUACAGUUGAUGAAGUCGUCGGCACAAUAAGUGAAUGUGAGUGUCAAAUCAGCGGAAAAAUGCAUAAAAAGUAAAACUCACAAAACCUCGCUAUGGUAAAACCCAAAAUGGGAGAAAAGCCACAUACUAAGGAGAAAAGUAAGAAGUUGCAUUAAUUCAAAACUAUACAUCUUUUGGACGCAAGUAGAAGAGCUCACAAGGGUAUGAUCAGCCCAGGAUUGGUGCCUCGUUAAAAGCUAGUUAGGUAGCAAAAACCUAGUGGGAAAAAUGCUCCUAAUCAUAGGGAAAAAAGUACAUUAAGAUCAAGUAAGUACACUUCUGGAUACUCCCCCUGAGUUUGACAUAACUUCCAAAUGAGAACUACAAGCAUUGUAUAUGAAUAGUUAGGCAUACCAAUUCCUCAGACAAGCUUCUGGAAGGUUGACUUCGGCAGUGACGUCGUGUAGAGGUAGGCAAGGUUGUCUGGGAUCAGCUUGCAUGACUUCAAUUUCUUGAUGCUUUGCUGAUGUAGAUGUGGACGCAAUAUGUCUUGGUGUUGACUUCGUUGAUGUAUCAUGACCUGGUCGAGUUGAAACAUGCAGUAUAAUCUUCAUGGAUCGUCGUUGGGACUCAACGAUGGAUGAAAACACAGCAAGUACUUCAAAUAUUCUCAACAAGACCUCCUAACCAUGUCUCACUUGUGGAAUAAUGAAGUAAGGUGAGUCUUGGAACAAUUCAAAUAUGUCACAACUAAGGUUAUAUCAUGGACCUCCAAGAUAUUGCGAUAUCCCUAACGGUAAAGACAUAACCAUUUGGGGAUUUUGCCUUGUGCAGGUUUAAUAAGUAACAUGUGUCAGCAUAACAAACAAGGCAAACAUCAUUUCGAGGAUCAAGGGGUUGGAUCGGCUAAGAUGCGUUGGGAUUUGCCCAUGUAGUACCUUCAGGGUACAUCUUUAAUACCAAUUCAGUGGUUGCGUGUAGGCGCAGUGCUGCAUCUUUACCAAGAUCAACAGCGAAUGAGAUGUCCUGUCUAAAUACAAUGAGCUAAGUACAAUGAAGCGCAAAGUUGAACUUUAGAUAAGGAAUUUCGGAUUCCAUAACCUCUUCAAGGGUCUUAUUUGCAUAUAACGUAUGGACGAUCAAAGGUAUACUCAAAGGUAACACAUUCGAGAUGUAGUUCGACUGGUAACCAAAAUAUCGUCAGAACAACGCUUGAACUUCAGGUCAAGGCAUAAACGAGUUUUCCUAAGAUCCUUCAUCUCAAAUUCCAUCUUCAGGUGCGAUGCAGUUUUCUCAAGCUCUUCUGGAGUCUUAGUGAGAUUCGUGUCAACGACAUAAACUGUAACUCUAGCAAUUCAGAAUAAGACUUUAUAGUUUAACACGCAAGGGCAUAAUUCAUCCCUGACUGAUCAAAUAAUCACUUAGACAGGUAUACCACAUCCGUCGGAUUGUAAGUGAACGUCUCAAGCAAGUUAAGAGGGUGUUCCAUGGUUUUGGAACUAUUUAAACCAAUCCAUGUAAUUCUUCAGGAACUUUCAUGUAAAUCUCCGUAUCUAUAUCCCCAUGGAGAAAACACUAACCACAUUUCAUCAUGCUACUAUCAAUCACAGGACGUUUAAGAGAAACCUUGCACCGUAAGGCAUGCAUUAUCGCACUAUUUCAUUCAUCUCAAUACACUUCAUUUCCCACUUGUAACACAACAGGGUUAUCUUAGGCAGUGUAGGGACAACAGGUCCAAACACACUUUGGUAAGGAAUUUGACCUGGAUUGUAAUUUCAGUUAUCCAAUCAAUUCUACGUUGUCACUUAAUCAACAGAAUUGUCGCUUUUCAUUUAUGUCAGUUGCUACCAUAUAAGUGAAAACAUCAUCGAUGAUAAUCUUAUUUCAAUUCCAUUUAGCUCAUCCAAACUAGUACACUAGACCAAGAACAUUAAGUCUCGGGAGAAAUCCGGAAUAAUCUCAUGAGAUGGAAAUGAUUUGAGACAGCGAUCGAGUUUAGAUUCAUUGUUGUGUCGUAUCUUCCUUUUCUAGGGAAGUGAAUCCUACGAAUUGAAUGAUCUUUCGUGCUCCAAGCCAAGACAGAUUGAUUGGCUAUCCGCCAGUGUACCGGAUCGUCCAAUAUGGGUGUCCAAACCGCUCAACAGGGGCGGCACACCCUUCAGGGAUGUUGACUCAACGUCCGUUAAAUACGUCUAUCCUUGCAGGCAUGUUUGCAGCUGGUAUAUGAUCUUGUCACUUUAGCUAAAUUAGAGGAAUAUGUCUGAAGCAACAUUCUGAAAACUAUAAUUCAUCGCAUUUGCUUAUCACACUUGUGCGGUAUGAGGAUCGAGAUGAGACAUAGUGGGCAACGUCCAAGCAACUUCACGCCGUUCUAUAGGAACGAUGACGUUCUUAUCUCCCCCUAAUGGUGGGAAAACUGUCUCAUGAAAGUGACAACCCGCAAAUAAGUGGUAAAGAGUUCACAUGCAAGGGCUCAAAGAGAGCUAGUGUGAAGGAGAAUCAUGGUCGACAAAAGAUACACAUCCUUCUUUUGAGGACCCAUGGUGGUACGUUGCGGCGGCACAACUUGGCAUAUGGAAUGCACACCCAAAUGCGUAAAUACGAAAAUCGUCAGGUUCGUACCCAGUAACCAACUGUAACGUCAUAUAAGUUGGGUGGCAAUGGGCCUCAAGGCAGACCAACAUAACUACAUACAAGGAUUGCAUAGCCCUAGGCAGAAAUCCAAAACUUGGUACAUUUACCAAAAUUCAGGCGAUCAUUUAAAUUGCACUUUAUGAUCGCUAGGCGAGGCUAUUUGGGGUGAACAUGGGAAUUCAAUGUUCAAUUAUAAACUCAAAAUACAUGCAAUACUUUAUCGAAAACUGUCGAUAUAAACUCUCUGGCAUUAUCCAGUCUCUCAGACCUUAAAGGAUAAGUAGGGUGGUGAACCCUUAAUCGGCCAUGAGGUUUAGCAGUAAUGUUUGUAAACAAACAUGUGACCAGUUUAUCGAUUUAUCAACCAAAACCAUAAGUAUUUUAUGGUCCACAUUUUGGUUAGAUUAGUCCACAUAUAUUCCCUUGAAUCCACUGUGAAAAAAUAGUCGUGUCGUAUCUUUGCAAGGAAUGAUAUAGAAAUCAAUUUCCCUAAUGAGCAUGCUUGACAAAGUGUGCUUGUAGGCACAAGAUCCUUACUUCGGGUAAGGAGAUGCGUUGUAGCAUCAUUGUUCGACCUAAGUGUCCCAAAUGGUCGUGCCAAAACAAGUAAACUGCUCAAUCACCUAGCUCCAGGCCGACCACAUGUGGUGUGUUCCCAGUUGGGAGACAACCCAUUGGCCCCAAAUCAAAGCUUCAAGUUCAUUUUUGGAGGUGGUGCAAAGAUAUUUCACUCUAUUUUCUUCAAUGGUUUCAUUUAUGAUCAUUGUCAUCUCGAAUAUUCUUAAACACUUAACGUCAGGGAGAAUUUAAGGUCCCUUAAAUGGUGAUGUAGUACCAUUCAUACAACGAGGAGCGUGCCAAAUGCUUUUAAUCAGGUUGGAUAGACCUGAAGUCGUUGUUAGAGAUGCGAUUUAGAUGUAAAGUUAGUAUGCGUAGUACGCAUUCAUCCAAGCAACUAACUUUCCCACAUUCCUACCUAAUCACGUGUUUAAUUGAAUCGGUCACAUGUAUUAAGAAACAUGAUUCAAUUAACUCAUAUUCGAGGACAAUAUCAAUAAGAUUAUCCAUAAGUAAAACAAGAUUAUCCAUAAGUAAAACAUACACCAAACUUGAAUCCAAGAACAUGGAAAAAUGUUCACAAAGUAAAUGGUUUACUAAGGGGAUUCGGCCAACAAGGCCAUCCAUGUCAAAAUUCUGCUCUUCCAACGAUGUUUGGUGGAGCAAAAUUAUUCUCACAUAUUGACUACUAGAAUGGUACUCCUCAACAACAUUGGUAAGGGCACGAACAGGUGCAUAACCAAUGAUUUAUUCCAUCGAUGCAUAAGUAGAUGAUGCAGGGUUGAGGUUCGGGAAUACUAUCCCUUAUUCUUGAAGUUUUAGGUCUUAGGUGCCAAGGGUCACGCUUCAGGCAUAAUGCUGCACCUUGGCAGGCCCUGAUUCUACCAUAUAUUGUAAAAACAAACUCGAAAUUAGAUUGUGAGAGAAUAUGCCAUUCAGUGUAUCCCUGCCAAAGCAGUGCAUUACCAUUCGAUAGGCUUUGACCGAACUGGGUCGAGCUAUUCAGUAGACUCCAGCCGAACUGGGUCCAUACCUUUCUUUCACAUUUGUGGUAGUAAUCAGAUCCAAAAAUUUGGUAAACUUCCGCUUUCUACACUACUGCUUCAGGGGUGAGUUUGAAACAUGGAAGAACGAGAAAAGUAUUAUCUAGUCAAAAUUCGAUCAGAUUUAUAAACUGCAAAAUUGUACUCAUUCAUGGAGGUAAUCAUGGUGUGCUUCAGGCAAUGUCUUUCAUGAUUAGACAGUCCAUAGGAACAAGCCAAAAAGCCAUGAAACCCUCGUUCGGGAGGUACUUCCAUUUGUAAUGCUUUGAACAUAAGUCUUCAAAUGAAGAUCAUAGUGGAGGCUUAUUCAGCUCUUCCAUGCCAUUGUUGGCUUCAAUGGUUUGUUAGUUUCUUAAUAGUCAAGGGGAGAUUCACUUUUUGUACCCCACAUAAAAUGGUUUCUAUUAGAAACGUCCAAAUCAGGAAAAUCGAACUUGUGACGGUUCGACAAUCCACUAAAUUGGAGGGAACAAGAUUGUGAUUGGUGCUAUGGGAAUGAAUCAUCCAUAAGCAUCAAAGUUAGAACAUUUGAGUUCUAAGACAUGGUUUUCAUGAAAAACGUAUGGUUUUUAUGGGUGUAUUGUUUUAUGAAAACUUCGGGUUUCAAAGGCACUAAAUUUGAAACUACAAAUUCAAUUUAGUUUAUGAACGUUUAGUUCAUAAAAGAGAGGUUCCUGCAAGAACACAUAAUGUAAUAUACAACUAAGUGUAAUGGAUUUGGGUUGCUUGAGGAACUCAAGUGUGAGUGCUUCGGGACUACGAAAGUAUGUCAACGAUUCAAAGAAAAGAAAUAAAAUAUUGAAUCAUUAAUGUCAAAAAGUGAUCUUCAGGUCAAUAAUUUUGGAUUCAUUAUCAGAUUAAUGGAAUGCAUGUCACUUUUAAUUAAUUCAAUAAAUCGGGACCAAACGAGGUCGAUUGUAGAAGCAAAAAUAAUAAUAACAUUCAGAUUAAAAUUAUUGGGAAUGCUUAAAAUAGCAUUAGGAUUCGAAAAUAUAUUGCCCAAAAUUGGUUUUUGUUAAUAAGGCAAGGCCCUAAGGGUAUUUGGGCCUCGGGUGUGGUGCGGGAAGCCUAGCCAAAGGCUAGGAUCAUUUUGGGCCGUGGGGAACUAAGACCAACCAUCUGGGCUGGCGUCUGGGCACUCAGGUUGCGGGCCAGGGUGAGCGCGGGGCAAAGGCUCAACAAGCAAAGCUUGCUGCAAGCCGGGUCGAGCGAAUAGAACAGAGCCCAGCAGCAUGGCUGCUGGCAUUGUGGGCUAAGUGCUAGGGCAGGGCCUUAAUAUGCCUUCCUGUUUGGACUUAUGGCUUCGGGCCAUGUUCAAAACCGAACCCAGGCCGAUGCCUGGUUGCAUGCUCAAAGACAACAAGCCUGCGGGGCUUCUGUGAGAAGGUCUAAGGUGGCGGAACGACGUCGUCCUAGCCAGCUCAACAAUGUGGCACAGUGUCGCUGCUCAACCGCGAUGAAAUCCCGAUAUUUUUUUUUCAAAAUUUAGGGUUGAAACCCUAAGUGCUUCUAAUUUAUUUCAAUUCUUUGACUCACAAUUCCACAUAGCAUAUAUGCGUAAUGCAUGAAACAAAUAUAUAAACAUAUACAAUAUAUAUCGGAGGGAAAAUAUAAACAUAGGGGGGUUCAUGCAUCAUGGGGAAUGUUUUCAUGCUUUAUGGUCGUUUCAAAUAUCUUACUUUAUUUUAAGCGUACCUGAUUGACAGAAAACAACAAAAGCCUUUAAACUUGUAGAAGAUCAUUCUCAUAAAGUCGGAAUUGCAUCUCCAAUGCGUUGUAUCACGUUCAACACAGAAAAAAUUAAAUUGAAUCAAUAGCAUGUAAAUCAAUUCAACAAAAUAAAUAAAUUAAUCAUAAAAAGAAUGAUUAAAACGUAAUACUCCUCUAAUUGAAGAAUAAACUAUCUUUAGCACAGCGUCAAGAGCGUGCUAAUAACGUGUUGUAGGCAUAAUUUACUGAACAAUUAUGAAGGCCUUAGAGAGAAGGGUGCGGCAAUAGGUAGAGAGAAAGAGAGAUGUGUAAUUGUGGGGUGUGUUCUAUUCCAUCCCAUUAUGCCUUUAUUUAUAGUAGUACGAUAGGUAAUAACAUUUCCCCUUAGGAUUACAACAUCUAAUAGGUAAUCUACUCCUAAUAGGAAUAUAAGAGAUAUUCCAAUAUAUACUAGAAUUUACAUAAUCACAUUCCUAAUCUAAUAGGACUGCAACAAAAAGUGAGUUUUUAGAGUUUUUAAACUUAAACUCACUCCUUUAUUUUUUCUCCCUCCUUCACUCUCACUCCAAAUCUAUCUCUCUCCCCCUUCUCUCUUUUUCUUUUUACCUUUUUUGUCUCUCUUCCAAUCUGCUCUUUUUCAUUCUCUCGAUUCUUUCUCUCACUCCUCUUCCUCUCUAUCUCCUCUUAUCCUCUCACUUCUUUCUCUUUCCUCCAAUCAUCUCUUACUUUCUUUUCUCCUCUCUCCUCUUUCUUUCUCGACCCCCUCUUUUUGGAUCUCUUUGUCCAAUUUAAGUUGUAAGAUUUAAAAAUUUUAAAUCGCAUACCAAACAAGUUUCUGAGUCUUAAAGAAAAUUGAUUUCAAGAAAAAUUCUUAAGAAAUGUUUUGAAAAAUUAUAAAAUUUUUCAAAUAGGAUACCAAACAAGCUCUAAUUUUCCCUUAUAAACUAUUGUGCUAAAAGUAUGAGGUGACAAAAAGUCUAUAGAGAGUCAUACUUUUGAGAAACUCUCUUUAGCAUUUCUCCCUUACUAAUUAGCAUGUCGUUAAGCCUUACUAUGAGGAGACGUACGAAUGUCAUGCCUCCUCCACCUAAAAACCUCUCUAAGAUUUGUAUCCGAGAGCACCAAUUUGAAUAACGUAAUUUGUCAAAUGUCAAACACAAAUGAAAUGAUGGCUUAUAUGUAAUUAACAUGAUUUUUUGCAUGCUAUCAUAAUUUGGAUAAAAGAUGAUAGAUUCAUGUAGCCUCAUUUUGCAUUUGAAUAACGAAAUUUAAGAAGACUAAAGAAAUGAAAAAAAAAAUAUGAGAUUUAAAUAUCUAUAAUUUGUAAUAUUUUGUUUAAUUAUCUAUCAAGUUGCAUAUUAUAAUGGGACAUAAUGAAGUUCAAUUUAAUCCCUACAAAAGGUAUCAAUUAAUCGGAGUAAGAAAGACAAGUAGUGUGACGGUAGGGUUGGUGAUAUUAUGGGAUGGUGGUGGUGGUGGUGGUGGUGGUAAACUGGUGACAACGUAGUGUGUUGAGGGUGAUGGUGAUGGUGAUGGUAUAUAUAUGGUGCUAGCGGUGGUGGUCGUAUACGGCCAGUGGAAGGUUAGUGAUAUCAAUGUUUUCAAAACUCUCGUAUGUUUUGGGUAAACGAAUUGCAAGCUUAAAGGCAUGUAUGUGGGGAUGGUGAAUAAUGUAUUUCGAAGUGAAUGGUAAUUCUGCGGUAGAUAGCAUAUUUUGAGUUCUAGGUGUCUUUUUAUGGUUGAAAUCACCUUUCCUGAAAAGAAACAAGAUGAUUCCAAAUCGCUACGUUGCCAAGUUUAAUGUGGAUUUUGCCGUUAAUACCACGUUGAUGAAUAGGUUAAAACUAUUUUUAAGUUUUAAAAUUACUUUUGGAAUUUUUGAAAUUUCCCAAUUUAUUUUUCUUUCGCAACUAGGAUUUGCCUUAGACUAUUAAUUAAAUUUUAAGGUUGUAAUUUGAUAACCUUAACAUCUUAUUCAAUUAAAAAUUGAGAGUUUCUCUCAAGUUUCUAAGGGUGACCGUUUGUAAUCAAUUAAACCUAAUGCACGGCAUAAUAUUUACAAGGCAAUGAGAGGUUUAUUAAUGACUCAUUCCAAGUAUUGAUUUACAAAUAUCUCUGACAUACUUUAAUAAUCCCCUCUAUCUAACAUCAAGUGCAUUUAUAAUUCCCUCUAUUUGACAUUUUGUAGUCUAUUUCUUUCUCAAUUUGCCUAAAUUAUUUCGAAUUUUAAAGUCUCUCAUCCGGACUAGCCUCAAUGUCUUCAAAUUUGAGAAAAGACACUUAUUUACUUUGCUAAAAUUUAAAGUUGGAAAUUUAUGUUUUCAAAACCCCUAUUAGGGAGUUUUCCAAAUAAUUCAACAACCAUUAAUACUUUAUAAAAUGUUCAAAAGUUAACACUAGCUAGCCCUGCUCAUGGACCCUAUUUGGACGUUGGAAAUUGUCUAAAUUUCCAAUAUGCAGCACCUAACCUCAAAACUGACAAAAGAAAUGAAGAUUAAUAUACAACGUACUAGACAUAUGGACUAAAUUUGGACUUAGAAAUAGUUGUCGAACUUUGAAUGUACCUAACCGAAACCUAAUUAACCAACAAAAAUAAGUUACACUACGCCUAAUAACGUAAUUUGUAUACAUAAUGCAUCAUACUCCUUCAUGCACAUUUCAUUUUGUGUUCAUUUAAAUCAGUACGUCUGGUUAAUUUAAUUUCAAUUUGAUUAAUUACGUUAAUCAUAUCACAUGCAAUAGGCAUGGAUGUAACACAAUCUUUCCAUGAAUUUUACACUCAGUAUAGUCUAUAUCUAUUUCCUUAAGAAAAAUUCAUGGACCACUCAAUAUUUAAAAUUUGGAUGACCACAUAGAUUCAAGACAAUAUAUACUAUAUUACGAGCAUGAAAAUUUUCUGCAGGGUCAUUUCUCCUCAUGAUUCAAUAUGAUUUACAAUAUAACUUCUCAGGUACGAUUAGUGCCAUGAUUUUAACUAAUUCAAACAUGUCAAAGUUUUCUAGUUGCUAAUCAUAUUGCAUCCCAUUAGAAAUCAGGAGUGGGUGCACUUUGAUCUCCCUGCCACAAGUCAACGGCAAUUACUUGUUACUCCAAAAGUUCACAUAGAUGCAAGUGACCCUCUAUCACAAAUUCACAAUGAUGGAGAGGAGUGUUGCCAUUCCAUCACGACUUGGGUUCGAAUCCCGUCGGCUCCCUAAUCUAACAAAUCUAUUGUUUGACAAAAACAAAAAAAUCACAUAGGUUAAAAAAACAGCAUCUCAGUUAAUUUAGUAUAUAAAUGAUUAUGGAUUGUUUUAUUCACACCCCAUGUUUUGUUUACUAACCUCACAUACUUAAUACAUCCCACAUGUACUUUUUAAAUCAAAAUUUAUUUUAAUACAGCUCAAGUGUUUUUCAAUGCUACCCCUCCCACCCCCACACGCUCUACUCAAAUCCCACAUCAAACUCUUCAUAAGUUCUAUAAACUUGUUUUCUUCACAACGAAUAGAAGGCAAUGAACAAGCGAAGGAACUAGAAUCAAGUAUGAAACAAAAAAUUUCCCCUAUUCUCUAUUCAAUUUAUAACAUUGUUAUUCGGUGGGGUUAAAUAGCCAUACCUUCCGCCAAUCUUUUCUUUGAUAACAUUGUAUGGUUCCUUCUCUAUUCGAAUAUAUAUGAAUUCACAUGCACAUCUAUUCGGUGUUAUAUCAGUUUGUUCUUCUAGGUUGCACCUGCAAAGUAAAAAAAUGUAUUGCUGGUGUUAAACUAACCAAUUUCCUUUUUUUCUUUCCAAUUCCAAAAUUUCUCUUAUCAGAUAUGCAGAACGAGGAUGAAAAAUAAUCUUUUUGCAUUAACGUUUUGUGCUUCUAGUGGUUAGGGUUUUUGUUAUACAAUGAAGGAGGUGAGUGACUUUGAGAUCUUGAAAAAAAACAAUCUUAGAAUACACGUCUAAAUUAACUUGGGGUGUAUUUAGAAAAUAAUUUUCCUUUUUAAAAUUUUAUUAGGCCUAAAUGGUCAUUUUAUAUUAGGUAUAUAAGCCACUUAACAAUAAAUUUUUAUGUGGGGUGUAUUCAACAAUAUGUGGGGUGUUAAUAAAAAACCCCAUGAUUAUUUGUAACUAAAAUUGGGAUUUUCAAAUAUUCUUUGGUGUAAAUAUAUAAUUUCUAUAUACAAAGGGAGAAGGGGUUCAAGGCGUGUGGCAAAAGACUAGUAGGUUAGGAAAUUCUUGAAGAAUUACGUAGUUUUCUUGUGUGUUAAUUUUCCAUAUAUAUGGCCCUAUUUAUUUAUAACCUCUCUCUAUUUUAAUAAAUUUGUUUUAUAACGAUACAUUAAGGUCAGGAUGUGAGAAUAAAUUAGUAUCGAACUUGUCAUUCAUGAUAUUCAAACCAAAAAAUGUUCACUUACAUUGAAGAAGAAUACCACUAGAUCAUAUACUAAGCGGCCACCUUUUGAUAAUUAAACGAAAGCAAAACUUAUCAAAGACUCCAAAAAUAUGGAUUAGAUUCUUUGUUUUGGACUUAAUUAUUAUGUCUGAAGAAAAAAAAUACUCGUUUUAGAGGCCAAUAUACUUUUUCUUUUGGAAGCAGAUUGUCUGCCCUCCUAUUUGAGUGCCCUUUCCAUCCCCUCAUAUUUGCGCGGUCACGGUUAAGCCACGUCAACAUUUUAUAUUCUUAUUACCUUUUGUCUUAUUAUCUCUAUUAAAAAAUUAAUAUAAAAUGUUGACGUGACUUAACCAUAACCGCACAAAAUAGAAAGGGAUGAGAAUGACAUCCAAACAGGAGAGCAGACAAUCUGCCUCCUUUUCUUUUUCCUUUUCUUAAAGACAAUGACUGAGCUACAUACAUGGGCCGAAUUGUAUACUCAGAAGCAGUAAAUUUGAUAUCUAAAUUAUCCCCUGCACAUUGGAAAUUAACAAAUGCUCACACCACCUAAGUAGAAAAAUUAACACAUAUGAAGUGCAUGCCAAAGAAUCAGUUCUACUUUGUUGUAAUUAGAGACCACUAAUUGGAAGAUAUUUUCAGUAUGUCGGUAACACGGUUUUAUAUAUCAAAUGUCAUAAUACAAGUGGUUGAAAUUUUUAAUUUUAAGUAUUCAACCAUUUAUAUUAUAACAUUGAUGUAUGCCGUGUUUUCGAUAUACUAAAUAAUCUCUCCACUAACUGGUUUUUUGCUAAUUUUUUUUAUUUUUUUUUAGAAAUUGGACCAAAGUGUCUGCCACCUUCCAACUUUUUAGAGCAGAGUGCCUAGAAAUUUCUCUUCUUUAUAGCUUUAAAAGACCAUCUCUAUUUUCCAUAUAAAAAAAAAAGACUUUGGAAUACUGGAUCUUGCUUAUGCAUGCAAAUCUACUAUUAAUCCCCAGAAAGUCCUAAUAUUCUAAUAUGUCUUCUGUGAAAAUAAUAAGAUUUUUUUUUCUUCAUAAGUGGCACAGCAUUGUAUUCCAAGUUCAGAAGUCCACAGGUUCACACUCAUGAUCUGGAUUUUGGUUUUGCUGCUCCAUCGUUCUACACAUAAAGUUAGAAGUGGAAAAGUGUGACAUGCAAGGCUCCAUCGUUCUACACAUAAAGUUAGAAGUGGAAAAGUGUGACAUGCAAGGCAUAUGGAUGCUCCUGUACAUUCAUUGGAUCCUCAACUAUAAUAUUUCAAGUGUGUGUAUAUAUGGGUAAUGCUAAGGAGAUUGUCGAUUUAAACUAUAUUUUGUAAACUAUAUAAGGUGGUUUUUGAUGAUUAGAUUAUUAUUUAAGUGUUGAUUAACGUGUUUAUUUCGUAUUGGUGGCACAUCACAUAAUUCACAAAUAUAAACUAAAAAAUUAGUCUAUCUAAUAGUACUCAAUACUCAUACAAAUAUAUAUAUAUAUAUAUAUGUAUAUGUAUCCCUAUAUAUUAUGUGUUAUUCUUAAGAUUAGAGUAAGAGGGUUGGUACGUAAAUCUUAAUCUAGAGGCCUCUUAUAGGUUAAGGGUCCAAUUUCUUCUAGUGUAAAAAAAUAAAUAAAAGUGAGUAGUGCCCAUAUAUUGACAUAUGGUAGACCUCAACAGUACCAACCGAAUCAGAACACCAACUCGGUAAAGGGUAAUAUUAUUCAUACACUUAUUUUUACUUAUUACAUACCUUUUUUAAUUUUCGGUUGCUGGAUCGAAUGAAUUGAAUAAGACCAAUGACCAAAAAUUAAUAAAGAUGUGUAGAAAGUAAAAAUGAGUAUGUGAAUGGCACUAUCCCCCGAUAAUUAUUGUAAAUUCGUUUUUCUAUUUAUUGAUAUAUCAUGAGGAUACAAUCAAAACUCCAAAAUUACAAAUUAAAACUCCUUCGAAGUUGAAAUUUAACUUUUGUAGAAUAAGGAUCCGUAAAGAAUCUCCGUUGUAAUUUAUGAAUCUCUCUCACAAUCCAAACCCAUGUUUAUUUCAAGCCACAACACGAAUUAGACAAAUCCAAUAAUCUAAGUAGCGAACCAGAAGAAAUUUUCUGUAGUUGAAUAGGUCUCGUUUGAUAAGUUCAAUCCUUUCAAUAUGUUAUCUUUGCUUAGUCUUGCGAAGUAGGAAAUUCCUGAUAAUCUCAAAAAAUAAGAGUCAUCCAAAAAUGACCAAUCAUAGUACUAACGCCAAAUUUGUGUCUCUAAACGCAUACUUUUCUGAAACUAUAAUAAAAACUAGUCGAUCAAUGUUCACAUCAAUAGAUUUUAGCUUUUACAGAACUGCAGGACCUAAAACAGCAUGAAAAGCUUUGAGUUGCCCUGAUUACUAAUUGCAUUGGUGUACAUUACAAAAUUAAGCACAUGCAUGUUAUAUUAUGUUAUCUAGAUGAGAAAAACAACAAGUUUAAAAUGGCGCCAAAUAAUUAGUCAUGUCAGGAUUGAAGUUUUAUAUCGACCAAAAAUCUUUAGGGUCUUCAAGUGGGACCCCCCACCCCAGAUGCAAUUCUGCCUAUUCUUCUUAUAUAAAUGCCCACCACCUCCCCACUUCACAUCCCUCAUCCUUUUCCUAUUUCAGUCUUCAUUCUCUGCUCUCUGCUUUUUUUCUUCUUCAACUAAAUUAGCUACCUCUUUGUUUUGUCUGUCAUCAGCUUCUACUUCACACUCAUAAGAUAGGCCUUUGUCCUUCUAUUUCAAGGCAAAAUUGUGUUACCCUACAAAACUAGGGUUACUGCAUACUGUUGGGGGCUGCGUUUGUCCAACGAAGAUCAGACACGUGGCAAGCAUGAAGGAGAAUGGCAGCAGCAGGAAACAAGGUGCACCCUCGCCCUGUGCAGCAUGCAAGCUUCUCAGAAGAAGGUGUGCUCAGGAUUGUGUGUUCGCUCCCUAUUUUCCUGCGGAUGAGCCCCAAAAGUUUGCUAAUGUUCACAAAGUGUUUGGUGCCAGCAAUGUGAACAAGAUGUUGCAGGUAAUGAAGAUUUGUAUAAUUCGUUAGACAAACAGUGUAAAUUAAUAUAGUUUUAAAACUUUAGGGUGCAAUUCAAGAAAAUUAAAACCACAUGACCCAUUCAUUUUAAAAAUCACUUUAAACCUUGAAGGUAUAAAAUAUAAUUAGCCCUAAAUCGAAAUAGAAUCAAGAAAUAGAAAACAACAAGAAAAGUACAAAAUGAAAAGAAAAAACAAAUGUAAAAAUCACUAUAUAUCUUCUACCCUUUUUUACAUUUCAAUUCUUUUUUGUAGGACAUGAUGCUUCAUAGUCAUAGAUAGAGGCAGGCAACCAAUAAAGUGUCAUAACUUGAUUUGGGACCAUAUAUUUUGUUCAGCCAAAUGAAUAAGCAUGGCUGGUGACGCAUAUUUGUUCUACAAAGAUCAUAGAGUGGUAGUGAUCAUUACAUCAAGCCAAAACAUGUCUUGUAGGACCUUUGGCCUCUCAUUCGGGACUAGGGUUACUAGUUUAGAAGCCACUUUAGGAGACUAACUUACUCAGUUGUACAAUAUUUCAAGUCAAUCACUCACAGUGAUUAAUUUGAAAAAUUGUCAAUUAUGAUGUAAGUUUUCACCGUAACCACUGCCAACUUGCUUUUGUGGUCAAAAGUUAAAAGACCAUGUUUAAUUGUGACAAUUGCAGGAGCUGCCAGAGCACCAGAGAGGAGAUGCAGUUAGUAGCAUGGUGUAUGAAGCAAAUGCCAGGGUGCGAGACCCAGUUUAUGGGUGCGUUGGGGCAAUUUCGUCUUUACAACAACAAAUUGAUGUGCUUCAAACCCAACUGGCUGUGGCUCAGGCAGAGGUGGUGCACCUCAAAGUGCGUCAGACCGCAUCAUUCUCGAACCAUGGGUUAAGUCCGGCUAGCCCGAGUAAUAGUAGGUCACCCUCAUCUAAGUUCAUGGGCUCUCAGGCUCGACCCAUUUUCGACAUGGAUAUGAUGGUGGACCAUACCAGCUUGGGAAUGGGAGAGUCCAUGUGGUCAUGCUAAGCUUAAUUAAUUGAAAACAUUUUUGCUCACCACGAUAAACUAUGGUGUAUGCUCACCAUACAUCUAAUUAAUUGACACGUGUCAUUUCACUUAACUCUAGUUAACUUUCACAUUAAAUGUUAGUUUUUCAAUUUUGAAAAAAAUUAACCAAGAUUAAGUGAAAUGACACAUGUCAAUUAAUUAGGUGUAUGGUGAGCAUACGUCAUAGUUUAUGGUGGUGAGCAAAAAUGCUUCCUAAUUAAUUACUGAAGUCUACUCUACUAUAAUCUAGAGAGUAAUUAGCUUUGGUCAUCAUGCCUAAUAUUUGCUUUAGCACUUAUAAUAUAGUCCUUAAUGUACAUCGGGGGUAAACCUAAGGACGGUUACAACAGUUCAAGCGGUGACGGUGACAAUGACAGUGACCAAGGCGAUUCGCCCGCUUCAGUUUGAGAAGGGUUUUCCAUUAGUAACUGGAUUGUAAAUAUUAGUUUAACUUAUCGAUAUGUACAUUGGGUAAUCAUAUAGUCUUGUGGGACUUUUUAUAUUUGCUCCAAGCGACUUGAUGACUUUGGAUGUGUGAAUCCACUAAACAAAUUGGUAGUUUGGAAACAAAAUUGGGAAGAGGAUUGUAGUAGGAUUUGCAGAUUAUGGAGCAGUAAAUGUAUGAAAUAUUAUUAAAAAAAAAAGUUAUUUUCCUCUUAUUUUUGUGUAAAUAUUUGAUCAUUUGCUGCUUUUCUGUUUUGGAAACGACUCUUUUAUUUGCAUAUUACCACAACCGUUUGAUAUAUGAAGAAUUUUUUUUUAAUUUUUUUUUUUAUGGAUUUUUAACACAUAAUAUGCGUGAUAGACAGAUACCUAAAGAAUGAAAUUACUAUGUCAUAAGUCUUUUUUUCUUGAAGAGUUUUAUCAAAAGAGUUCUUCAAUUGACCGCAUGCAUAUAAGAUAUAACCAUAGCCGUUGAAUACAGGGAGGAUUAAUUAUGAAUUGUCUUUUUUUGUCGAAAUAAUUAUGAAUUGUCUACUCUACACACAAUAUGCUUGACUAACAAGUGUCACGAACUAACUGUGACAAUUACCUAAACAAAGAAAAUUACUAUGUUUAAAGUCUUUGGUUAAAGAUUUUGUACCAAAAAAGUUCUUGAAGAUUUCGUUCACCAAUCUUUGGUAGGUAACCUCCGCAUUCUUGAGGCCAAAUGACAUCACCUUGUUGCAGUAUGUUCAUCUCUCUGUCAUUUGCACAAUUGAUCUACAAAUUUUCAUGUAAGUCAUUCCUACUUACCUACAAAUUACAGUCUAACAUGUUUGCAAAGCAACUCACUAAAAUAACAAAAAGAACAGCUUAUACACACACGCCAAACUGCUAUUUGAUACGGUUCCCAAGUAUUUUCAAAUGACAAAUGAGUACCUUACUACCAUAUGACGGUAAUUAAACUAUGCUUAGGUAUAGCACAAAUAGAAAAAGAAAUGUUACGUGGGAUCAGUUUCAAACACAAGCAUUUGGUACAUAUAAUUUCAAGUAAUUUUACAAAUUAUACAAAGAAAUUAAAAACAAACAAGAAAAAGAAGCUCAAACGUCCUUGGCAAUAAGUUCACCAUUCACUAACUCUCUGUAAGCAGCCACAGGCCAGCUGAAGCCUCUGAAAACCAAGCUAGUAGCCAAGGGUACGUCAAUGAUGAUCUCCUUCUGCGUCGGCUUCUUGUCAUCCCUAAUGGCAAUCAAGUAGCUCCUCCCAACCCACCCGAUCCACCCAGCAAUGUACAGGAACAAAAUACCAGGCGUGAUAAACUCACCCCAGUGCCUCUGGUCACCGCUGACAAUCAAAUGGGGGAGCCCAUCGGACCCACAAAGCAAACCCUGCUUGCCAUAG
rnacentral:lncRNA from 1 species